rnacentral:lncRNA from 1 species
GUUAAAUUAACAAUACAUGGAAUAUCAUUAAAGUAAAAUACACAACAUAAACUUCAUUAAAACAUAAAUCAAGCCAAGUGAUGUUAACAUUAGAUACAACAUUCAAAAUUAAUUUCACUAGAACAAACGAUAUAACAUAAACUAUAACCAUUCAGAAUCUCUAUGCAUGCAAAGAGAUUCAGCAUUGCUACAUGGAUGAAUGCACACACACAUUUCCCACUCACCAUCUUUUUUAUUAACAAUAUAAUUACGAUAUCCCAUGAAAUUACUGCAUGAUGAUGGCACAUGCAGCAGUGUCAUAUGGCUUAAGGCUUAAUGCUCGAGCCAGACUGAGUAAACAUGGACUUCGGCCAUUCAGGCAUUUUAACCCACUCAGGGUACUCUGCCUUUCUCAGGUUUCUUCUCCUCUUCUUUUUCAUGCUUUGGGAACUCAUGUUUAUCUUCCUUAUCCUCAUCUUGUUUUUCCUUGCACUCGGGUAUUUUUGGAUAUUCGGCUUUAUGUUUCUCGUGCUCUUUAGGCUUUUCCCAUUUGAAGAAAUUGGAUUUUUCUUUCUCGUACUCUUCGUGAUCUUUCGAUUCGUGUGACUCGUGGCACUCUUCAUCUUUAUGUUCCUUACUCUUAUCUUGCUUUUCCUUGUACUCGGGUAUUUUCGGAUAUUCGACUUCGUGUUUCUCGUGCUCUUUAGGCUUUUCCCAUUUGGGGAACUCGGGUUUUUCUUUCUCGUAUUCUUCGUGCUCCUUCGAUUCGCGUGAUUCAUGGUACUCUUCAUUUUUAUGUUCCUUAUCCUCAUCUUGUUUGUCCUUGUACUCGGGUAUUUUCGGAUAUUCAACUUCGUGUUUCUUGUGCUCUUUAGGCUUUUCCCAUUUGGGGAAAUCGGGUUUUUCUUUAUCGUACUCUUCGUGCUCCUUCGAUUCGCGUGACUCGUGGUACUCUUCAUGAUGUUUGCAGGGUUUUUGUUUUUCCUCCUUGUGCAUUUUAGGCUUUUCAUGUUUUGGGUACUUUUCGUGAUAUUUUGGUUGUUUGUAUUCAGACUCUUUGUGCUUUUCGUAUUUUGAAGCCAAUUGUGACAGCUCUGAUGAGGUUGUUUGUGUCUGGAAUAAAUGUCGAGCCGCUGACGAGACGGUGUGACUACCGAUCAUUAGUGAGACAGUAAUGAGUAAAAGUUGGAAAAGGAAGAAAGGAUGACAAAAGUUAUGAGCCAUGGUUAACCAAAUAGAAAGAAAAGAAUUUUGAGUGUAUUUUUGUGUGGAUUGUUGUCUAUGUGUAGCAAGCCUUUUAUAGGAGAGGAUGAGAGAUGGUUUGGUGGGAUUUGGCUCCACGUUGUUUGUACCAAUUUCUCAUCUACAUAAUUGACUUAUGGUGGGAUUAUGUUAAGAAGGUGCUCAAUCUAUGUCAAAUAUUUUUACGUAAAUAUACAAAAUAUAAUCUUUCAAAUAUAUGAAAAAAAUGUUAUAAAAAUUAAGUGUUUUUCUUUAUUUAGAUAAUAGUUUGUGAGAGCAUUUAAUUCGAGUAAUAUUAGAUUACUUUUCAUAAUAAGAUUACGGGGAUGUAAGAUUAUAAGUGGGAUGUUCCGUAUGUUAUAUUAUCUUAUUUGGUUAAUUUGAUUUGAAUUUUUGAUUUUGGUUAAGAGUACUUAAAAUUACCUAAAAGUACAUUUUUACUAAAUUGUCUUUGUUAUAGAAUUUAUUCUCUUAAUGUUUCUUGGUCUCAAUUUCUAUAAAAUUAUGAUAAAUUCGACUAACCAAACAUCACAUUAAUAUUUUAUUUUUUAGUGUGACCAGCCCAUCUUAUUUUAAUUUCAUUUUAACAUUAUUCUGUGAGCAGUUGAACUAGACAAAGUGCCUUUAUCCAUUAUAGGCAAAAAUUGGCUCAUUGAAGGCAGCUCAAACUUUGAUCACUCUUGGGUAGACCAGCCAACUGCUUGCAAAAAGUAUAAUGUUAUAUACUUUACGUAUAUCCCCACUGUCACAUUCACCAAAGUAUAAUUAUGAUUAAAUUAUUAAUAUUAUAUGUUAAUUAUGAUUAAAUUAUUAAUAUUAUAUGUUAAAACAUAAUAAAAAAAGAUAUGGUCAAUCUUCAUUUCCCUCUUCUCUCCACCGUUUGCAAGAAAAAGAAACAAAAGAAGCCAUUUUUAAGCUCUUAGCAUUCGGCUAACCUCUGUUUUUGAAAUUGAUAAGUGAUUUUAAGCUUGUUUUUUUAUAAUUUUUAUAUUUUUGAAGUCUUAUAAGCUUGAUUUAACUAAUCAUGAAUUGGUGUCAUUUGGUUAGAUUUGAUGCUUAGAUAUGAAAAAGGAUUAAUUUCUAAAGUGAAAAUUUAUAGUUUUGAACUUAAGGAUUAAAGUGUAAAUAUUUCAAAAUUGGUUUGAAAUUUCUGUAAUUAUAGAUGAUAGAGGGUUAUAGAAGUAAGAAAUUGAAAUCAGAUUGAAAAAAUGAAACUUAAAUUUGAAAGAUAUAGCUAUUUCAGGGAAUAAAUUUAAUAAAUUUUAAAACUUUAGGAAACUGAAUUGAACUGAUUUAUAUUUAUAAUAGGAUGAUAUAAGGUGAUUGGAAUUGAUAAAUUGUAAUAAAUUAUUAUAGGUCGCAACUUUAAUAAACCAUAUGAUAAUUGAAGAAAAACGAAAAAUUGUAGAUUAAACCCUGACGUCAUGUCGUUGUGGUUUUGUCAGGUAAGUUUAUAUGGACUUACUAUUGUAAUACCCCAAACUCGGUCUAGAAUUUAUGACCGGAUCUUGAGGGUUACACUGACUACUUAAAGCUAGAUUAUUCGCUUCCCAAAACAUUGCUUGAUCUUGCAUUAGUAAUUUUGUAAAAAAAAAAUCAUUUACAUUUAUUUCCUAGAAAACUUAAUUAUUGUGAAAUAAGUAUUUUUGAAAACAUAUAUUACUUCCCACCAAAUCAAAUUGAAAGUCGUAAUAUUAACUUAUUUACUCUUUUUGAAAAAUAAAUUCACUUAUUCUGAAUUUGCAGCGGUAAAAAUUUUUAAACAUUUCCAUUUUGAAAAAAAAAUCGAACAUCCUUUUCAAAUAAUAGAAAAUUUAUGCAGAUUAUUUAAACUAAUUAUCUAAAAAACUCAACAAAACUCAAAACCAAAAUAAAAUUCCAAAAAUUAGUCCGACGGUCCAAAAGUACGUAAAUUUUAAUUAAUAAUUAUUUAAUAAAUAUUAUGUAAAACCGUGUUUACCUAAAAACCGUUACAGUUACCACCUUUUACUUAACUCAGAAAUCAUAUAUAUAUUGAUUAAUUUGCUUGGAAACAUUUCUUAGUUCGCGGAAGCUUAAGAACAAAUAAAGUUGUAGUUCCAAAAUCCAUAAACAAUAUUUUCAAAUUCUAAACUUAUACCAAACAGCCUGAAACCAAAAAUUUCAUAAUUACUCCCAACUAUAGCAAAUAAAAUAAUAAAAGCAUUAAAAACCUUUAAAACCAGAGUGUAUGUAGCAAUGGUCACCGUCGAGCCCUCCGCAGCACCGAUCCACCUACUGCUGGGGAUUACCUGAUAGACAAAUAAAAAUAAGGGGUGAGUUUUCAAAAACUCAAUGUGUACAUCCCUACAGCAAGCACGCAUGUAAAUGGAUAGCAGUCAAAUAGUCAUAAUCCUGAGUUCUUAACAGAAUCAAUGUAGGUUUUAGCCCACUCAGAAUAGUAUUAGAUACAUUCGGGCCUUCACCCAUACAGACAUACAUGCAUAUCGAUUAGAACAGUAAUGCUCACCAACCCAGCACACCAUUUCCGUCCAACCUAACAGACCAUGUGGGGAUGAAAUCUACCUACCCAGCCCUACACACCAAGUAUGGGGAUAAAAUCAACCCAUCCAACCCUACACACCCAGUGGUACCGUAUACGGAACGUAUCAGAUAUAUACAGCAUAGUUGCCCGAUGACAGGUCAAUAGCCUUUCAGUCUUCCUUCUCUUCAACAACAAACCCAACCUAACCCAAUACAAUGCAAUAUAAAUAAUAUGGCAUGCUUAUGUGCAGACAUCAAAUCAUAACAUUGUCAUCAAAUUAGAACAGAUACACAUGCUUUAAUUAUCAUACUCUUACGUACAUCUUAGUAUCAGAUCAGAGUAUAGGGGUCUAAGUAACACUUACCGACCCUACCAACAGGUUACAGUCGACUUGGGUGACUCGUGCAACCUUGCAGAACAUUCCAAACAACUCGGGCUCACACAUCCAUGUGCCUUGCCCAUGUGGGCUCACAUGCCCGUGUGGCUCACACGGCCCAGAUUGGCCUUACCCGUGUCGAUCACAUGGCCUGGCCCAAGAUCUCACACUCUCGUGUGGUUCAUCCGUGUGGCCCACACGGCCCAAUUGGUCAAGGCCAUGCCUCACACACGGUCUCGCUAGCCUCACAUGCCAGUGUUCGUCAUGCCCAUAUGGCGUGCGCACGGUCUACUUCUUCGACCACACGGUCGUGUCUCGCCACACGGCCUCCACAUGGGCAGUCUACACUCCCAUGUGGCAUCGACAGCAGCAUUUUUGGCUUUCGCCGAAACGCGACUUCAGAUUGAUUGGAGUACACACCUGGUUUUGAUUGAAGCCUAACGCAAUCCUGAGCCCUUUAGAAGCUAUAUUCAACAAUGUCAAAACCCAUUUCAGUCACUUAAACAAUGUUUGAUUGAAACUAAACAAGGUAUUCCGCGCCGAAAUCGGUAAAUUUUGUACCUCGAGCAAAAACCAGCAAAUACUACGCGCUUAACUCGCUAUUCAGGAACGAAGAAUAGCCCCUUGAUCUGUACCUAAACACCCAAACAAAAUUUCCACUUAAUCUCUUAAUCAAAAAGAUGCUUACGAACGACAAGAAGAAACCUACCAAUGAGGAGAAUGUCAAUGAAACGCAGAAGCCCGUUAAUACGAAAUCAAAAUGAAUGAGAGGAAGGCAAGGGAAAUUUCGGCAAAAAGAAAAGAAAUAGAAUGUGGAGAGGAGAACAAUAGUAGAGAAUUUCGACAAAGAGAGAGUUCUUUUGGGGAAACUACUCAGAAAAAUCUGAUAAACCCCACCACUUCAGAGUUUUAGUUCACCUCCAAUUUUAUCACGGCCUUAGUGGCAAAAGUAAUGCCCAAGCUAGGAUUCGAACACAGGACUUCUAGCAUAAACCCUUUCCAAUUAACCCUUUCCAAUUAACCACUAGCUUAUUAACCAAAAGCCAAGCUUUACUUAAACAAAAAAUUUGCCCAAGUUGAGACUUGAACUUGGGACUUCCCUAACACACCCUCAAAGCACUUAAACACAAAAGAAGACAAAUAUUAUGUAAAUUCAUGCAAAAACAUAUUCAGAUAUUUUCCUAUGCUACAAUUUCACAAAAACUGAAAUUACAAAAAUCUGGGGUGUUACAACUUUACCCCCUUAAAGAAAAUUCGUCUUCGAAUUUUACCUGGUCAGAAAAUGUGAGGAUAUCGCUGACGCAUUGAAUCCUCUGGCUCCCAAGUAGCCUCCUCAGUGCUAUGAUUCUGCCACAGCACCUUCACUAAGGGAACAGACUUCCUACGCAGAACUUUGACGUCGCGAUCCAAAAUUUGAACUGGCUCCUUCUCGAAUGUCAGAUCUGGUCUAACCUCAAUUUCCUCUAUAGGCACAAUGUGCGUGGGAUUAGAGCGGUAACAUCUCAACAUCGAGACAUGAAAGACAUCGUGAAUACGAUCUAACUCGGAGGUAACUCCAACUGAUACGCAACUGGCCCCACUCGCUUCAGAAUUUGGUACUGCCCAAUAAACCAGGGACUCAACUUACCUUUGCGACCGAACUUCAGAACCUUUCUCCAAGGCGAGACCUUAAGGAAAACCAAGUCCCCCAUAGAAUACUCAAUAUCGUUCCUCUUCAAAUCAGCAUAGGACUUCUGUGUAUUUGAAGCCGCUUUCAGUCGAUCCCGAAUCAAACAAACCUUAUUUUUAGUCUCUGAAACCAACUCCGAACCCAGAACACGUCGCUCACCCAACUCAAUCCAGCAUAAAGUGGUGCAACACUUACGACUAUAAAGUUCCUCAUCAGGAGCCAUCUGAAUACUAGACUGAUAGGUGUUAUUGUAAGCGAACUCUGCCAAAGGCAAGUACUCCUCCUAACUAACUUGGAAAUCCAUAACACAGCCCCUUAACAUAUCCUCCAGUAUCUAAAUCACCCUCUCCGGCUGACCAUCUGUCUGAGGAUGAAAUGCAGCACUGAAGUCAAGUCGUGAACCCAAAGCUUCAUGAAGCUUCUGCUAAAAUCAAAAAGUAAACUGAGGAUCUCUAUUGGAGAUAAUCGACACUGGAACCUCAUGUAGUUUUACUAUCUCUGAGAUGUAAAGUUUAGAAAACUUCUGUAAAGAGAAGUCUGCCCUAACAGGAAUGACGUGUGCAGACUUGGUCAAUCGAUCCAUGACGACCCAAACAGAAUCCUUCUUAGUGGGUGUUAGUGGCAACCCACUAACGAAAUCCAUCGUUAAUCGCUCACAUUUCCACGUAGGUAUCUUAACAGGCUGUAGCAACCCCGAAGGCAACUGAUGCUCAGCCUUAACCUGCUGACAAGUCAGACAGCAUGCAACGAAAUUGGUCAACUCACGCUUCAACCCUGGCCACCAGUACAACUCUCGGAGAUCUUUAUACAUCUUAUUUCCACCAGGAUACAUAGCUUACGGACUACUAUACGCUUCUUUUAAAAUCGACAGCCUCAAAUCCUCAUCAUUAGGUACACAGAUCCUACUUCAGAAGCACAAUACCCCUUCACUAUUCAGCCCAAAAUCUGUAGUAGUCCCACUCUAAACCUGACGAAAUUGCAUCUCGAGAGUCUUAUCUUCUAACUGCUUAACUCUAAUCUGCUCAAUCCAUGUCGGCUUCACUUGAAGCUCUGCCAGAAGACUCCUAUCAUUAUAAAGACUCAGUCGAGCGAAAAAAGCUCUCAAAUUAGCCACAACACUACGGCUUAAUGCUCGACCACCACAUUGGCCUUUCCAGGGUAAUACUCUAUACUACAGUCGUAAUCCUUAAGUAGCUCAACCCAUCGUCACUGCCUAAAAUUUAACUCCUUCUGAAUGACCAGAUGCUUGAGGCUCUUGUAAUCAGUGUAUAUGGUACACCUCUCACCGUACAGAUAGUUCCUCUAAAUCUUUAAUGCAAAGACGAUUGCAGCCAACUCCAAAUCAUGCGUUGGAUAAUUAGCCUCGUGAGUCUUAAGUUGUCGAGAUGCAUAGGCAACUACCUUACCAUAUUACAUCAAGACGCAACCCAAACCCACAUGUGAUGCACCACUGUAAACCACAAAGUCCCUACCAGGCUCAGGCUGUAUCAGAAUUGGAGCCUGAGUUAACACGGUUUUGAGCUUCUCAAAGUUCUCCCACUAUGCAUUAGUCCAAACAAAGGAAACUCCCCUACAGAGUAACUUAGUCAAAGGCGCUGCAAUCAAAGAAAACCCUUCUUCGAAACGUUGAUAAUAUCCUGCCAGUCCCCGAAACUACGAAUCAUCGACACAUUCUUCGGCUGUUUCCAAUCCAGCACAGCCUCAAUCUUACGAAGAUCAACAUGAAUUGCCCCAGCAGACACCAUAUGUCUCAAAAAGAUUACUUCAUGAAGCCAAAACUCACACUUAGAGAACUUUGCAUAAAGCUGUUUCUCACGAAGGAUCUAUAGAAUAACCCUAAGAUGCUCAUCGUGCUCAUCCUCAGAUUUAGAGUAAAUCAAGAUGUCGUCGAUAAACACCACCACGAACUGGUCUAAGUAGGGCUAAAACACCCGGUUCAUCAAGUCCAUGAAUACCGCUGGUGUAUUAGUCAACCCAAAGGGCAUAACCAAGAACUCGUAAUGUCCAUAACGAGUCCUAAAUAUCGUCUUAAGCACAUCAGCCUCCUAACCCUUAACUGAUGAUAACCUGAUCGUAGAUCGAUCUUUGAGAACACCGAAGCCCUUUUGAGCUGAUCGAAUAAAUCGUCUAUCCCCGGAAGUGGGUAUUUAUUCUUAAUCGUCAACUUACUCAACUGACGGUAAUCGAUACACAUCCUCAUCGUACCGUCCUUCUUCUUUACGAAUAGAACAGGUGCUCCCCAUGGAGACACACUGGGACGAAUAAACCCACGAUCUAAUAGCUCCUGAAUUUGAGCCUUCAGUUUUGCCAGCUCCUUUGGUGCCAUUCGACAAAGGGCGAUAGACACCGGAGCUGUACCAGGAAUCAACUCAAUAAAAAAUUCUACCUCACGACUCGGAGGCAAUCCCGGUAGUUCUUCUGGAAAAACAUCUGGAAAGUCCUUCACAGUACGGAUGUCCUUAACCGAAGAGUCCACAGAAUCAGAAACACUGAUGUAGGCCAAGUAUGCCUCACAUCCCUUUCUUACAAGCUUCUCCGCUACCAACGCAGAUAUCACAUUACUUAGAUAAUUUCGUCGUUCUCCAAUCACGACUAUCUCAUCGUCCUCCUUGGUCCUCAGAACAACCCUCUUUUCAGCACAAUCCAGACUUAAACGAUGCUUCACCAACCAGUCCAUGCCCAGAAUUAAAUCGAACUCCUUAAACGGAAGUUCCAUCAGAUCAGCCAAGAAUACUGUUACUUGGACUUCCAACGGAACGUCUCUAAACAAUUUAUUAACCCUAAUGGACUGCCCCAACAGACUCACAGCUGAAAUCUCACUAGAAUUGCUCUCCUGUGGAGUCCCUAAAGUCUCAGACACAGAACAUGCAACAUAAGAAUGUGUAGAGCCUAUGUCUAUCAGUGCAACAUAAGGUACAUCAAGAAUUAAAAACGUACCCGUGAUGACAUCCGAAGCAUCUCCAUCCUCACGGCGACAAGUAGCAUAGACAAAUGCAGGUUACCUCGCUUGAGUCGGCCCAGAACCUCUCCCUAGUGCUCUCUGACCUCGACCCAUAUCGUUACCACCCCUAGCCUGUCCUCAGCCCCUGGUGGCUGCUGUAUAACUCUUUACGGCUGCGCAGCCUCAACAACUGAAGCUUGCAUCUGAUUACUCCUCAAUAGACAAUCCUUUACACCAUGCUUAGUCAAACCACACCUCAAACAAGAUCCAGUAGCCCUCCAACACUCGCGUGGAUGACAUCUAUUACAGAGCUAACACAUCGCCAUCCCAACAGGAACAACAACAGUAGUGUAACACCCUUAACCCCGUCCCGUUACCAGAACAGGAUUACAGAGUAUUACCAGUCAUUACAGUAUAUUUGCACAUAAACAAGUAUAAAUGCAAUAUUAUCCAUCUAAAUAUAACUUUAAUGGGUCCACACUACUUCACAAGUGUAAUUAAAACAAACCGGGAUUCAAUCGGAAUCUUAGGAAAUUUUUCGUGAAAUUUUAAAUUUUCUUCCUUUGAACAGUACCACACGGCCGUGUGGCUAGUUUAACAUGCCCGUGCGGCUUGGGACACGCCCGUGCCCUCAACCCUGUGCAACACUGACUUUUAAACACGGCUAUGACACACAUCCGUGUGGCCUGCCCGUGUACUAAACUGGCUUUAGGACACGGCCGUGGCAACCAAGGCACACACCCGUGUAUUAACUUGGUUGUAACAAUUUAAGUGCAAGGGACACAUGGCCUAACAACAUGCCCAUGAGCAAGCCGUGCACACGCCCGUGUGACAAACCAUGUGAACUCAAAAUGAACCUUGUAUUUUAAAAUUUACCAAUCCUUCAAAUUGUAGACAACAAGCAUUUCAAAAUUUCUCCAUUCAAUCAGUCCAGACAUCCUAGGUACAUGUCAUUAUCAACAAUUAACAUACUUUACCUUAUUGAGUUCGGGAUCGGCCUGGGAUGCUGAUUCAACGAUCUGACUUUAACUUAACCUGCGCACAGAAACAAACCAUACGCUGAGUAUGAACUCAAUGGUAUUUCUAUAAUCCGAACAUUUAAAACAUAGCAUACACUUAUUGUCCUACAAUAAUCAUAAAUAUUCAUUUAUUCAUUUCAUAGAUAAUUUCUUUACAACUCAUUCAAAUUUCAUCAUCUAAUAACUUGAUUAGCUUUUCCAUUUAAUUCACAACAAUAAUAUUCUCUAUUCAUAUGUCUUACUUGUGUUUCUAUUCACUAUUCAAUAUCAAUAAACAUAUUUUAGUAUCGAUUAAUUUAUCAGUUCCUUUCAGAAACAUUUAGUCAUUCGAUAACAAUUAGUUAUCCAGUAACGAUUACUCGCUCAGUAGCAAUCAAUUAUUCGAUGACAAUCAGUAUUUUUCAAUAACAAUCAUUUAAUCACUAUUAUUUAGUAUCAGUCAUUCAUUUAUUCAGUAACAGUCAAAUAUUCAGUAGCAGUAAAUUUUUCAGUACCUUUAUUUGCCUUAUUAGCAUAACUCGGACUUGGACAGAUACACGGAUCCGACCCACACACCGGGGAUAGUAUAUAGUGUUUUAUCGGCCGAAGCCAGAAUACACCGUAAGGGUAACAGUAACAGUAACAGUAAUAGUAGCGAUACACAAAGUACUUCAUUGGAACAAAUCCAAAACAGUAACAGUAACAGUCACAGUCAGGUUCAGAGUAUCUCUUUGAAACGAAUCCGGAACAGUCACGGCAGUCGACACAUAUAGUGUCUCAUCGACACACAGUCGGAAUAUCCCUGAACACUUCCAAUUCUAUGGCAUACUAACUAUAUACGACUAGUCCGAUACAAUUAACAGGGUAUUCAGUGAACUUUCAAAUUUUCAAUUUCAUUUGUAAUUUAAUUUCAAUUCAAUUUAAUACAUUUUUCCUUAUCAAUCAACAUGCAAUUUAAUUGCAAUACAAUAUAUAUUUUGAUUCAUUUCAAUAAUCAUAAAACACAAUAAUGCUUACCUGAAUUACUUACCAUAACAUUCAAUCAAAAUAUAAUAAUUAACAAUUAAAUUUCACUUUUCAAUGCAUCAACCUACACAUUAAAUAAUAAAUUCAACAAUUAAAUAUUAAGUUCGGAUUAUAGAAACACAAACCGUGAUUUCUGAGCUAACCCUCGUUGACCUCGUCUUUUCCUUUCUUAACCGAGGAUUUUUCGGCACCCCGUUAGCUACGAAAUUAAUACAAUUUAUAAUCAUUAAUAUAGUAAAAUUUUCACAUUGAAUGUUUCAAUUUUUAUUCAACUUUUGUCUAAAUUCCAAUUUAGUCCCAAACCGAGACUAACUUUUAUUCUUCACAUUUAACUCAAUAUUUUCAUUCAAUUUUCACUUUAAACUAAUUUCAGCUCUCUAAUUUCAGCAUAAAAUCAUAAUUUCAAAAUUCUUUCAAUUUAGUCCCUACCAUUCAAAACUUAUGAAUUACUUUACAAUUCAAUCCUUAUCUCACUUCUAACUUGAAUUUCUAUCAAUUUAAUCCCUAAUUCAUCGUUUUAUUCAACAUAAACAAUAUUUAAAAAUCUAAUAACUUUCAAUAUAUCAAUUUAAUUUCAUCAAAAACUUAUUUCAAAGCUUCUAAAACAUCAAAAUUAAGUAAAAAGGGCUAAAUUGACUUACCUAUUAAACUUCCAAGCUUCAAACCUUCAAUUUUUCCUUUCUUCUUUCUUUCUCCUUUCCUUCCCCAUUUUCGUUUAAACAUUCUGUUUCUUUCAUUCUCUUUUCCUUUUCUUUAUUUCUUUUGUUUCAUUUACUUUUAUGUUUUAAUUAUAUUAUAAUAUAACAUUAUUAUUAAAUAAUAAGUAAGUAUACACGUAUAUUACAAAUGUAUAUAUAUCAUUGUUACACAUAUAAAUUAUUAUUACGACACACUUAUCUUUAUUUAAUUAUUUACUUUAAUUAAUUAAUUAUAAAAUAAUAAGACGCUAUGAAAUGUUCCUUCUGAUCUCUUGAAUUUGUCAAUGCCACAUUCUUCGCUGAGGGAAACAGAAUUCCCGAGCCAAAACUGUCGAGAAAUACCAAGAUGGGUGUCAAAUUGACUAUAGGAAAGGGAGCCCGAGCAAGGAAAGGUUUGGGAAGGUACCUGCAAGGAAUAGUCAGGGCUCUAAAGCCAGUACACCACAAGGCCAGAUACGGUUUAGGGUUCCAGCCGGACAUGCGUCAAAGAAGAAAGCAGUGGAAGAAAUAUCAAGAAAGAAGGAUCGCAAGAUCACUAGGCCGAGAACCAGAAUGGGAGCCCAUGGGAUUCCCUCAUUUGUCAAGAAUAUUUACGUCUGCAGGAAUGAUAUACCCAGGGCAGUAUAGUGCACAAAGCACAAUGAUAAUGAUCGAAGAGGGUUUUCAGAAUAUCAGUAUAAAUGUCAUUGAUAAAGGAGCUGAUGCGAGUAAAGACGUCUCAAAGAUACGCCCUUAUCCCCCGGGUUUCAUGUUGAACAAUUGGACUGCCGAGGAUCUUCUUGUAGUUUAUAAGUCUUCAUAGUAAUGCUCAAACGUUAACAUUCUGUUAUGUCCUUAGAUAUAACAGAAUUCUUUUGUAAGAGCUUGCAUUCACUCUUUAUCAUUUAAAUGAAUAUCAAUAAAGAUGCAUUUUGUCACGUUUUUUUCGCAUUAUCACUAAUUCCAUAAUCAUUUCAUAGCCUAUCUUUACAAUUGCCUCACGCCAUACCAUAACAUUCAGUUUGUUGGUUUCAAUACUUAGAUGUCCCUCUAUAGUUUCAUUUUUCCAUUCAACUUUCAGGUGCUCGGAUAUCAAUUGCACGAACAAUCUCGUUACGAGUCCUGAAAUCAAUUUUGAGAAGGCUAUUUGCUUAGGAGAAUUCGAAGCCGAAGAAAAUGCUGAAGACUAUGUCUCGUCUCCUAACUUACUAAGAAUGGUGGAAUAAGAGGAUAAACAGAUUUUGCCUCAUCAAGAAUCUGUUUAAACAAUAAAUCUGGGAACUGAAGAAAGGAAACAAGAAGUGAAGAUUGGAACUUCUAUUUCAGGGGGCACCAGGCAUAAUUUGAUUGCUUUGCUCCACGAGUACAAAGAUGUAUUCGCAUGGUCAUAUCAGGACAUGCCAGGAUUGGAUGAAAAUGUAGCGGUCCAUAAGCUCCCAUUAAAGCCAGAAUGCAAGCCCAUUCAACAAAAGCUAAGACGGAUGAGGCCUGAGAUGUUGUUGAAGAUAAAAGAGGAAGUCAAGAAGCAAUUUGAUGCUGGCUUCCUACAAGCCUCCAAAUAUCCAGAAUGGGUGGCUAACAUAGUCCCGGUACCAAAGAAAGACGGCAAAGUACGAAUGUGCGUGGAUUAUCGUGACCUGAAUCGAGUAAGUCCUAAAGAUAAUUUUCCCUUACCACACAUUGAUACGUUGGUAGAUAACACAACAAAACAUUCAUUGUUUUCUUUCAUGGAUGGAUUCUCGGGGUAUAAUCAGAUCAAGAUGGCCCCUGAGGAUAUGGAGAAAACUACCUUCGUAACAAUGUGGGGAACAUUCUGCUACAAGGUGAUGCCAUUUGGGUUAAAGAAUGUUGGGGCAACAUAUUAGAGGGAUAUGGUGACGUUAUUCCAUGACAUGAUGCAUAAAGAAAUAGAGGUCUACGUCGAUGAUAUGAUUGCUAAGUCCCGAGGGAAAGAAGAGCAUGUAGCGAAUCUGAAGAAUUUGUUCGACAGACUGAGAAAGUUCCAGCUAAAGCUCAAUCCGUCCAAAUGUACGUUUGGGGCUACUUCAGGAAAAUUGCUUGGCUUCAUUGUCAGCGAGAAAGGCAUUGAAGUUGAUCCAGAUAAAAUAAAAGCCAUUCAAGAGUUACCACCCCCGCGCAUGCAAAAGGAAGUCAGAGGAUUUUUAGGGAGAUUAAACUACACCGCCCGAUUUAUCGUUUAACUUACCAACCAAUGCGACCCAAUCUUUCGACUCCUUCGAAAACAUAAUCCCGGAGAAUGGAACAAGGAGUGCCAAGUGGCUUUUGACAAGAGAAAACAGUAUUUGUCUAAUCCUCCAGUGCUAGUACCUCCAAUGCCGGGAAGACCAUUGAUAUUGUAUUUGACUAUGUUCGAGAAGUCAAUGGGUUGCGUACUGGGGCAACACGAUGAGUCAGGAAAGAAAGAAAAGGCGAUCUACUACCUCAGCAAAAAGUUUACUGAAUAUGAGGCAAAGUAUUCGUCCAUAGAAAAAUACUGCUGCGCUCUGGUUUGGGUAGCUCGGAGACUUAGGCAAUAUAUGCUGUAUCAUAUGACAUGGCUAAUUUCAAAGUUGGACCCAAUAAAGUACAUGAUGGAAUCACCCGCACUCUCAGGAAGAAUGGCAUGAUGGCAGAUCUUAAUAUCAGAAUAUGACAUCGUCUAUGUGAGCCAAAAGUCGAUAAAAGGGAGUGCAAUAGCUGACUUCUUAGCAACUCGAACAACGGAGGAAUACUAGCCAUUGAAAUUUGAUUUCCCAGAUGAAGACUUAAUGUGCAUUACAGAAAAACAAUGUGAGUCAUCAAAAGAAAAGUCAUGGAGGAUGAGCUUUGAUGGUGCAUCGAAUGCAUUGGGGCAUGGGAUUGGAGCAGUCUUAGUAUCACCAGAAGGGAACCAUUAUCCGUUCACUGCCAGACUGAAUUUCUUCUGUACCAAUAACAUAGCGGAAUAUGAAGCUUGUAUCAUGGGACUUCGUGCAGCAAUUGAACGAAACAUCCAAACUUUAGAGGUAUACGGAGACUCAGCAUUAGUGAUUUAUCAAAUCCGUGGAGAUUGAGAAGUGAGGGAUUCAAAAUUAGUCAAAUACAGUGAUCUCGUGGCAGGGUUGAUUAAAGAAUUCAAAGAAAUAACUUUUAAUUACUUUCCACGAGAAGAAAACCAGUUAGCUGAUGCCCUGGCCGCUUUGGCUUCAAUGUUUAAAGCAAAUAGAGAAACAGAAAUAAUGCCUCUUCAAAUGAGCAUAUAUGAAGUCCCUGCAAAUUGUUUCAGCAUUGAGGAAGAGCCAGAUGGGCAGCCAUGGUUCCAUGAUAUCUUAAAAUACAUCAAGAAUCAAAGGUAUCCCGAGCAAGCAAAUGUGAACGACAGAAGAACAAUCAGAAGAAUGGCAGCGGAAUUUAUUCUUGAUGGGGACAUCCUAUACAAAAGAGGAAAAGAUCAGGUGCUCUUGAGAUGCGUGGAUACAGUUGAAGCCAGAAAAAUACUUAAAGAUGUCCAUGAAGGAAUUUGCGGGACACAUGCCAAUGGUUUCACUAUGGCCAGGAAGAUUAUAAGACUCGGAUAUUACUGGCUGUCGAUGGAAAGCGACUGCAUUAAUUUCGCACGAAAAUACCACAAAUGUCAAAUCUAUGGUGAUAAAAUUCAUGUAGCCCCUUUGCCCCUUCACGUCAUGACUUCUCUGUGGCCUUUUUCUAUGUGAGGCAUGGAUGUUAUAGGGUAAAUCUCUCCAAAAGCUUCCAAUGGACACCGGUUCAUUUUUGUGGUCAUUGAUUACUUCACAAAAUGGAUAGAAGCCGCAUCGUUUGCCAAUGUGACGAAGACUGUAGUUUGUAAAUUUUUAAAAAAGGAAAUCAUUUGUCGAUAUGGUUUGCCUGAAAGAAUCAUCUCAGAUAACGCCUUGAAUUUGAACAACAAGAUGAUGAAAGAAGUGUGUGAGCAAUUCCAAAUAAAACAUCAUAACUCCUCACCCUAUCGCCCAAAGAUGAACGGAGCUGUUGAAGCAGCCAAUAAGAAUAUUAAAACGAUUAUUAGGAAAAUGACCGAGACAUAUAAAGACUGGCACGAUAAGCUACCAUUUUCUUUGUAUGCAUAUCGUACUUCUGUGCGGACAUCUACGGGAGCAACUCCUUUCUCUCUGGUCUAUGGAAUGGAAGCUGUGCUACCCAUCAAAGUUGAGAUCCCUUCUCUACGAGUCUUAAUGGAAUUAAAAUUAGAAGAAGCAGAAUGGGUUCGAGCUCGAUAUGACCAGUUAAACCUUAUCGAAGAAAAACGUCUGCAGGCAGUCUGCCAUGGACAGAUGUACCAGAAGAGAAUGAUCGCAGCCCAUGACAAGAAGGUACGACCAAGAGAAUUCCACGAAGGAGAACUCGUGCUGAGGAAGAUUCUCCCAAUACAAAAAGAUUUCCGAAGAAAAUGGGUGCCAAAUUGGGAAGGUCCAUAUGUCGUAAAGAAGGCAUUCUCGGGCGGAGCUUUGAUCCUCACUAAGAUGGAUGGAAAAGAGUUACCGAGUCCAGUGAAUUCAGAUGCUGUAAAGAAAUAUUAUGCUUGAAAAAGGAAACCAAGAUGAAAACCCGAAAAGGGCAUAUAAAAAAAAAGAAAGAAAAAGGGUGAUCAAGGUGAAAACCUGAAAAAGGCGUCUUGAUUAAACACAAAAGAUUAGGAUGAAAACCCGAAAGGGCAUUCUAAUGAAGCAAACCCGUGCUUAAAGAACAAGGCGUUUUGAACGGUGGGUCAAAUAGUGAGACUACCAUAUUUGAAGCAUUUCUGAAAGCUCGAAAUCUUUUACGCAAGAAGCCAUGCUCAAAAAGAUUCUUGAUUGAGGAACGUGGAAGAGUUCAUGCAUUGAAUAUCUAGAGAAUUUGUAUUCGUUGAAUGCAAUCCCUCUUCUCUUUAUGACACUCUUUUACUAGCAUUAGUUAACUUUCUUUGUUUGCUACAUUUGAAGUGAAUAAAUGUGAGGUAUCCUUUUGUCCCUACCUGACCAUUUUCACGCAUCUCAUUAUGUGAUUCAUUUACAUGAUAAAUAGUGAAAUGACAUACUCUAAACGAAAGAAAUGUUAAGCAUUACCCGGGUAAGAAUUUGAUAAGUACAAGAGCCUCAACGCAAGGAAAAAGCUCAACCAGGGGCAAAAGAGUGAUAUUUGAGAAACAUUGAUUACUCGUGAAACUUGAGGACGGGUACAGGGCCUAAGGAGAAAGUCAGGAGCCGAAGUAAUGAAUACAGAUCAUCACGAAAAUCAUGAUGAAAAAGGGCAUACGACAAACAUGCCUAAGACACAUAGCAUAAUCAUGUAGGCAUAAAAUCAUUUACGAAAAACAUAUGCAUAUCAUGAUAACAUCAUGCAUGACAUAUACAGGUACUCCAGUAGGGCAAGAAGAUGUGAUGAUAGCUGAAAAGACACAUGAGUUCCACCAGAUGACAUGUUCUGGUAUUCUGAUGUUUUAUUUCAAAAUUUAAUUCAUAUUGCGAGAGGUGAGUUGAGCCUCAGGACACGCUGAGGUAUUUUCAAUUUCUGUUGUCAAAAAAAUCAACCCGUAUUGGGAGAGGUGAGUUGAGCCUCGGGACACGCUGAGGUAUUGUCAAAUUUUCGUAUGUUUCAAAAAAAUCAACUCAUAUUGCGAGAGGUGAGUUGAGCCUCAGGACACGCUGAAGUAUUUUCAAUUUCUGUUGUCAAAAAAAUCAACUCAUAUUGCGAGAGGUGAGUUGAGCCUCAGGACACGCUGAGGUAUUGUCAAAUUUUCGUAUGUUUCAAAAAAAUCAACUCAUAUUGCAAGAGGUGAGUUGAGCCUCAGGACACGCUGAAGUAUUUUCAAUUUCUGUUGUCAAAAAAAUCAACUCAUAUUGCGAGAGGUGAGUUGAGCCUCAGGACACGCUGAGGUAAUUUCAAUUUCUGUUGUCAAAAAAAUCAACUCGUAUUGCGAGCGGCGAGUUGAGCCUCAAGUCACACGCCGAGCUAUUUUCAAUUUCCGUUUUUCAAUUUCUGCCUUUCAAAAAAAAAUCAACUCAUAUUGCGAGAGGUGAGUUGAGCCUCAGGACACGCUGAGGUAAUUUCAAUUUCUGUUGUCAAAAAAAUCAACUCGUAUUGCGAGCGGCGAGUUGAGCCUCAGGUCACACGCCGAGGUAUUUUAAAUUUCCGUUUUUCAAUUUCUGCCUUUCAAAAUAAAAUCGACUCAUAUUGCGAGAGGUGAGUUGAGCCUUGGCUCACGCGCUGAGCUAUUUUCAAUUUCUGUUUUUCAAAAAAAUCAACUCAUAUUGCGAGAGGUGAGUUGAGCCUUAGAUCACACGCCGAGGUAUUUUCAAUUUCCGUUUUUCAAUUUCUGCCUUUCAAAAAAAAAUCGACUCAUAUUGCGAGAGGUGAGUUGAGCCUUGGCUCAUGCGCUGAGCUAUUUUCAAUUUCUGUCUUUCAAAAAAAUCAACUCGUAUUGCAAGCGGCGAGUUGAGCCUCAGGUCACACGUCGAGGUAUUUUCAAUUUUUGUUUUUCAAUUUCUGCCUUUCAAAAAAAAAUCGACUCAUAUUGCGAGAGGUGAGUUGAGCCUUGGCUCACGCGCUGAGCUAUUUUCAAUUUUUGUCUUUCAAAAAAAUCAACUCAUAUUGCGAGAGGUGAGUUGAGCCUCAGAUCACACGCCGAGGUAUUUUCAAUUUCUAUUUUUCAAUUUCUGCCUUUCAAAAAGAAAAUCGACUCAUAUUGCGAGAGGUGAGUUGAGCCUUGGCUCACGCGCUGACCUAUUUUCAAUUUCUGUCUUUCAAAAAAAUCAACUCAUAUUGCAAGAGGUGAGUUGAGCUUCAAAUCACACACUGAGGUAUUUUUUUAUUCAAUUUAUAUUUUUCAAAAAUCAACUCAUAUUGCGAGAGGUGAGUUGAGCCUUGAGUCACAUAUCGAGGUAUUUUCAAAAUUUUCUUUUCAAGUUAAGUUUCAAAAAUCAACUCAUAUUGCGAGAGGUGAGUUGAGCCUUGGCUCACGCGCUAAGCUAUUUUCAAUUUCUAUUUUUAGAGAGUCAAUUCAUAUUGCGAAAAUGAGUUGAGCUCAGGAGCACAUGCCGAGUAGAGAAUAAAGAUUGAAGCUGAUUGAAGACGUCAGAUUCUGUCUCCUUAAAGUUGCAGUGGAGUUGUUCAAGGACAUCAGAUCUUGCCUUUCUGAAGUCGCAGAAGAAAAGACCACAAACCUUAUCUCACUGAAGCGAUAGAAGAGCAGAUUCAAGUUGUAGAUCUCACCUUUCUGAAAUUACAGUGAAGUAGGUCGAAGCCAUAAAUUUCAUAUCCUUGAAGUUACAUUGGAACAGAUUGAAGCUACAAGGCGUAUAUCAUAAGAUGCAGUGGAGUGAACCAAAGCUACAAGAUGCGGUGGACUGAAAAGGGACUAACUAAACAAGAAGAGUUCCAAAGCAAGUCAAGACCUAGCAAGACCGGGCAAAUUUGGUCUUCCUUGAAAGUCUUUGCUCUAUUCUUUUUGCACGACAAUGAGCAAAGAGGGGCAGCUGUAGAAGCCCAAAUUGCCCGAGCCCGAUUUCAUCAAAACCCAACCAAACCUCUAAACCCACUAAAACCCUUAACCCAUGACCCAUUUACAUCUACCCAAACCCAUUACAAAACCCAAAUAUUAAACCCAAUUCAAAAGCCCAUUAAGCCCCCCCAAAAAAAAAACUAAAAAGAAAAACCUAACCCAAAAAAAAAACCAAGAAACCCUAGCCACCUAGCCACUUUCCCACUUGCCCUAUUUUUCCUCCCAUUUUUGAUAUCCAUUGUCUACCACCACCACCUACAAAAUAGAAAAAGAAAUAAUAGAAAAUCAUGUAAAAGAUGGCUAUAAAAAGCCAUUCAAAAAUCAUGUUUGGGGGGAGGGGGAAUUUUGAUCAAUGCAAAGAAUUUAUCUUCAUUUUUGCAUCAAUAUUAGUAGAUUAAAACCAAGAAAGAAAGUGGAUAGUGUCGAAUACAAAUAAAAAAUCUCAGAAAUCGAAAGCUAAAAAAUACCCAAAGGUGAUUUUAUCUUUUUUAUUAUUUUACUCUUAUUUUUAUUUUUAUUUUAUUUUUUCCCUUUUUUUUCGAAUCUAUUAAUCUAUAUAUAUACAUCAUAAUAAAAAUAUAAUAAAAAUAUAUAUACAAAAAAAAUAUUUUAAAAAAAAUUUACCUUUUCCAGCCACCACGUGUGGUGGCCGGCGCCGGCGACGGACGGCGGCCGACGGUCGGACGGUGACCGGCCUUGUGGCCGGAAAUCACCUCAACCCUCUCCCUCUCUCUCUUUUUUUGCUUUUCAAGUCCAAGAAUGAAUUUUUUUUUUUGAAUAAAAAAAGGCCUUUUAUAGCCCCCAAAACGACGUCGUUUUGACUUGGAUCGGUUCGACCCGACCCGACCCGCUUAGGAUCCGCGUGUUUUUUUAAGGAAGGGCUAAUUGCGCUUUUAGCCCUUCCGCUUUUUAUUGUUUGCAAUUAAGUCAUUAUUCGUUUUUUUAAUUUGGCCCCAAAAUUUAUCGCGAUUUUCAAUUUAGUCCCCGCUAAUGUGCUGAGUUUUGAUGGGAAGGAAUAUUUGUUGUUUUGGCCCCCCACUAUUUCCGCUCAUGUUCAAUAUAGUCCUUUCCUUUUAUUUUUAUUUCAAUUUUGCCCCAAAUAUUUUGUUUUUAGUUCAAUUUAAUUCUUUUUAGUUACUUUACUAUUUAAAUUAAUUAUUUUAGUAUUAUUAUCAUAUUUCAUUUACUUAUGUAGUGUGUUAAUAAUUUUUUAUCAUUUCUAAUACGUAUAUAUAUAUUAUAUGUAUUUUAUAUAUAUUAUGUAUAUAUAUUUUUUUAAAUGCCAUUAGUUAUAUAUUUCUUAUACUAUUCCAUGUAUGUAUUUUAUAUCAUCUUAUGUAUCUUAAAUACUAUUGUAUAUACAUAUAUAUAUAUUUAAAUAUCAUAUUGUGUAUAUAUUAUUAUUACAAAUUAUUACUAUUACUAGUAUUAUUAUAACUAUUAUUAUAUUAGUGUAUAUUUUAUGUACAUAUGUGUAUAUAUAUAUUGUACAUAUUAUUAUUUUAUAUUAUUAUUACCAAAUAUAUCAUUUUUCCUAUUUUAUUAUUAGUACAUGAUUUGUUUUUGUUUUUAUUUUUUGUAAAUAUCAUUAUUAUUGUUAUUCUAAUAUUCUAGUAUUCCACGUUAAUAUUUUUCAUUAAUGAUAUCAUUUUUUUUUGCGUCCUUUAUCUAUUUUUAAUUUUUCACUUUAGGAAUAUUUUUUCUCAUGUUUUAAUUAAUUUCGAAAAUAAGGCAAUGUACCGAUUUAAUAUUAAGCCAUCGAUUUCAUCGCUAUGAUGGGUGAAAUUUGUCGGCUUGUGUUAAAAAAACGGGACACCCUUUCUAAUAAAAAAAUCGAAAACUAAAAAUUCUCAUUUUUCAAUUGGAUCACGAGUAAAUGUCUAAUUGAAUUCGUACUUUUCAAAAUCAAGACAACACGAGUUUAACAAGAUACCAAUUUUGGGCGUCGCAAGGGUGCUAAUACCUUCCUCGCGCGUAACCGACUCCCGAACCCAACUUUACUCUGGCUUUUGACGUAGACCUAAAUUCGGCCUUCAUUUUUGUGCAAGAAUAAGUUUUCUUUUCUAAAAAAGGAUGAUUUAUUAAGUGUCCGAUCACACCUAGAAAAAAGAUCGGUGGCGACUCUCUUUUUUAAUAAAAUUGAAAGUAGAUUUUUAAAUUUUUAAAUUUUCAAAUAAUCGCCUCAAUUAGCGACCGAAAGAGAAUUUUUUACGUCGCUACAAGAUAUAUACAACAUAGUUGCCCGAUGACAAGUCAAUAGCCUUUCAGUCUUCCUUCUCUUCAACAACAAACCCAACCUAACCCAAUGCAAUGCAAUAUAAAUAAUAUGGUAUGCUUAUGUGCAGACAUCAGAUCAUAACAUUGUCAUCAAAUUAGAACAGAUACACAUGCUUUAAUUAUCAUACUCUUACGUACAUCUUAGUAUCAGAUCAGAGUAUAGGGGUCUAAGUAUUGCUUACCGACCCUACCAACAGGUUACAGUCGACUUGGGCGACCCGUGCAACCUUGCAGAACAUUCCAAACAACUCGGGCUCACACGUCUGUGUGCCUUGCCCGUGUGGGCCCACAUGCCUGUGUGGCUCAUACGGCCCAGAUUGGCCUUACCCGUGUCGAUCAUAUGGCCUGGCCCAAGAUCUCACACUCUCCUGUGGUUCAUCCGUGUGGUCCACACGGCCCAGUUGGUCAAGCCCGUGCCUCACACACAGCCUCGCCAGCCUCACACGCCAGUGUCCGUCGUGCCCGUGUGGCAUACGCACGGUCUACUUCUUCGACCACACGGUCGUGUCUCGCCACAUGACCUCCACACGGGUAGUCCACACUCCCAUGUGGCGUCGACAGCAGUGUUUUCAGCUUUCACCGAAACGCGACUUCAGAUCGAUUGGAGUACACACCUGGUUUUGAUUGCAGCCUAACGCAAUCCUGAGCCCUUCAGAAGCUAUAUUCAACAAUGUCAAGACCCAUUUCAGUCAGUUAAACAAUGUUUGAUUGAAGCUAAACGAGGUAUUCCGCACCGAAAUCGGUAAAUUCCUUACCUCGAGCAAAAACUAGCGAAUACUACGCGCUUAACUCGCUGUUCAGGAACGAAGAACAGCCCCUUGAUCUGUACCUAAACACCCAAACAAAAUUUCCCUUUAAUCUCUUAAUCAAAAUGAUGCUUACGAACGACAAGCAAAAACUUACCAAUGAGGAGAAUGUCAAUGAAAUGCAGAAGCCCGUUAAUACGAAAUCAAAAUGAAUGAGAGGAAGGCAAGGGAAAUUUCGGCAAAAAGAAAAGGAAAAGAACGUGGAGAGGGGAACAAUAGUAGAGAAUUUCGACAAAGAGAGAGUUCUUUUGGGGAAACUACUCAGAAAAAUCUGAUAAACCUUACCACUUCAGAAUUUUAGUUCACCUCCAAUUCUCUCACGGCCUUAGUGGCAAGAGUAAUGCCCAAGCUAGGAUUCGAACACAGGACUUCUAGCAUAAACCUUUUCCACUUAACCACUAGACCAGCCGGCCCAUUCUGUUAAGUUUUUACCAAAAAAUCCUUAUAAGCUUAUUAACCAAAAGCCAAGCUUUACUUAAACAAAAAUUUUGCCCAAGUUGAGACUUGAACUUGGGACUUCCCUAACACACCCUCAAAGCACUUAAACACAAAAGCAGACAUAUAUUAGGUAAAUUCAUGCAAAAACAUAUUCAGAUAUUUUCCAAUGCUACAAUUUUACAAAAACCGAAAUUAUCAAAAUCUGGGGUGUUACAACUCUACCCCUUAAAGAAAAUUUGUCCUCGAAUUUUACCUGGUUAGAAAAGGUGAGGAUAUCGCUGACGCAUUGAAUCCUCUGGCUCCCAAGUAGCCUCCUCAGUGCUAUGAUUCUGCCACAGCACCUUCACUAAGGGAACAAACUUCCUACGCAGAACUUUGACGUCGCAAUCCACAAUUUGAACUGGCUCAUUCUCGAAUGUCAGAUCUGGUCUAACCUCAAUUUCAUCCAUAAGCACAAUGUGCGUAGGAUUAGAGUAGUAACAUCUCAACAUCGAGACAUGAAAGACAUCGUGAAUACGAUCUAACUCUGGAGGUAACUCCAACUAAAACGCAACUGGCCCCACUCGUUUCAGAAUUCGGUACUGCCCAAUAAACCGGGGACUCAACUUACCUUUGCGACCGAACUUCAGAACCUUUCUCCAAGGCGAGACCUUAAGGAAAACCAAGUCCCCCACAGAAUACUCGAUAUCGUUCCUCUGCAAAUCAGCAUAGGACUUCUGUGUAUUCGAAGCCGCUUUCAGUCGAUCCUGAAUCAAACAAACCUUACUUUUAGUCUCUGAAACCAACUCCGGACCCAGAACACGUCGCUCACCCAACUCAAUCCAGCACAAAGUGGUGCAACACUUACGACUAUAAAGUGCCUCAUAAGAAGCCAUCUGAAUACUAGACUGAUAGGUGUUAUUGUAAGCGAACUCUGCUAAGGGCAAGUACUCCUCCUAACUAACUUGGAAAUCUAUAACACAGCCCCUCAACAUGUCCUCCAGUAUCUAAAUCACCCUCUCCGGCUGACCACCUGUGUGAGGAUGAAAUGAAGCACUGAAGUCAAGUCGUGAACCCAAAGCCUCAUAAAGCUUCCACUAAAAUCAAAAAGUAAACCGAGGAUCCCUAUCGGAGAUAAUCGACACUGGAACCCCAUGUAGUCUUACUAUCUCUAAGAUGUAAAGUUUAGAAAACUUCUGUAAAGAGAAGUCUGCCCUAACAGGAAUGACGUGUGCAGACUUGGUCAAUCGAUCCAUGACGACCCAAACAGAAUCCUUCUUAGUGGGUGUUAGUGGCAACCCACUAACGAAAUCCAUCGUCAUUCGCUCACAUUUCCAUGUAGGUAUCUUAACAGGCUGUAGUAACCCCGAAGGCAACUGAUGCUCAGCCUUAACCUGCUGACAAGUCAGACAGCGUGCAACGAAAUUGGUCACCUCAUGCUUCAACCCUAGCCACUAGUACAACUCUCGGAGAUCUUUAUACAUCUUAUUUCCACCAGGAUACAUAGCGUAAGAACUACGAUGCGCUUCCCUUAAAAUCGACAGCCUCAAAUCCUCAUCAUUAGGUACACAGAUCCUACUUCGGAAGCACAAUACCCCUUCACUAUUCAGCCCAAAAUCUGUAGUAGUCCCACUCUUAACCUGACGAAAUCGUAUCUCGAGAGUCUUAUCCUCUAACUGCUUAGCUCUAAUCUUCUCAAUCCAUGUCGGCUUCACUUGAAGCUCUGCCAGAAGACUCCUAUCAUUAUAAAGACUCAGUCGAGCAAAAAAAGCUCUCAAAUCAGCCACAGCCCUACGGCUUAAUGCUUCGACCACCACAUUGGCCUUUUCAGGGUAAUACUAUAUACUAUAGUCGUAAUCCUUAAGCAGCUCAACCCAUCGUCACUGCCUAAGAUUUAACUCCUUUUGAAUGACCAGAUGCUUGAGGCUCUUGUAAUCAGUGUAUAUGGUACACCUCUCACCGUGCAGAUAGUGCCUCUAAAUCUUUAAUGCAAAGACGACUACAGCCAACUCCAAAUCAUGCGUCGGAUAAUUAUCCUCAUGAGUCUUAAGUUAUCGAGAUUUAUAGGCAACUACCUUAUCGUAUUAAAUCAAGACACAACCCAAACCCACAUGUGACGCACCACUGUAAACCACGAAAUCCCUACCAGGCUCAGGCUGUAUCAGAACUGGAGUCUGAGUUAACAUGGUUUUGAGCUUCUCAAAGUUCUCCUACUGUGCAUCAGUCCAAACAAAGGAAACUCCCCUACACAGUAACUUAGUCAAAGGCGCUGCAAUUAAAGAAAACCCUUCUUCGAAACGUCGAUAAUAUCCUUCCAGUCCCCGAAAACUACGAAUCUCCGACAUAUUCUUCGGCUAUUUCCAAUCCAGCACAGCCUCAAUCUUACGAGGAUCAACACGAAUCGCCCCAGCAGACACCACAUGUCUCAAAAAGAUUACUUCCUGAAGCUAAAACUCACACUUAGAGAACUUUGCAUAAAGCUGUUUCUUACGAAGGAUCUGCAGAACAACCCUGAGAUGCUCAUCGUGCUCGUCCUCAUACUUAGAGUAAAUCAAGAUGUCGUUGAUAAACACCACCACGAACUGGUCUAAGUAGGACUAAAACACCCGGUUCAUCAAGUCUAUUAAUGUCGCUGGUGUAUUAGUCAACCCAAAAUGCAUAACCAAAAACUCGUAAUGUCCAUAACGAGUCCUAAAUACCGUCUUAAGCACAUCGUCCUCCUUAACCCUUAACUGAUGAUAACCUGAUCGUAAAUCGAUCUUGGAGAACAUCGAAGCCUCUUUGAGCUGAUCGAAUAAAUCGUCUAUCCCCGAAAGUGGGUAUUUAUUCUUAAUCGUCAACUUACUCAACUGACGGUAAUCGAUACACAUCCUCAUCGUACUGUCCUUCUUCUUUACAAACAGAACAGGUGCUCCCCAUGGAGACACACUGGAACGAAUAAACCCACGAUCCAACAGCUCCUGAAUCUGAGCCUUCAGUUUUGCCAGCUUCUUUGGUGCCAUUCGACAAAGGGCAAUAGACACCGGAGCUGUACCAGGAAUCAACUCAAUACCAAAAUUUACCUCAUGACUCGGAGGCAAUCCCGGUAGUUCCUCUGGAAAAAUAUCUGGAAAGUCCUUCACAGUACGAAUGUCCUUAACCGAAGAGUCCACAGAAUCAGAAACACUGAUGUAGGCCAAGUAUGCCUCACAUCCCUUUCUUACAAGCUUCUCCGCUACCAACAUAGAUAUCACAUUACUCAAAUAAUUUCGUAGUUCUCCAAUCACGACUAUCUCAUCGUCCUCCUCGGUCCUCAGAACAACCCUCUUUUCAGCACAAUCCAGACUUACACGAUGCUUCACCAACCAGUCCAUGCCCAGAAUUAAGUCGAACUCCUCAAACGAAAGUUCCAUCAGAUCAGCCAAGAAUACCGUUACUUAAACUUCCAACGGAACGUCUUUAAACAAUUUAUUAACCCUAAUAGAGUUCCCCAAUAGGCUCACCGCUGAAAUCUCACAAGAAGUGCUCUCAUACGGAAUCCCCAAAGUCUCAGACACAGAACAUGCAACAUAGGAAUGUGUAAAGCCUAUGUCUAUUAGUGCAACAUAAGGUACAUCAAGAAUUAAAAACGUACCCGUGAUGACGUCUGGAGCAUCUCCAUCCUCAAGGGGACAAGUAGCGUAGACAAAUACAGGCUGCCUCGCCUGAGUCGGCCCAGAACCUCUCCCUAGUGCUCUUCGACCUCGACCCAUAUCGUUACCACCCCUAGCCUGUCCUCAGCCCCUUGUUGGCUGCUGUACAACUCUUUACGGCUGUGCAGUCUCAACAACCGGAGCGUGCAUCUGAUUACUCCUCAGUGGACAAUCCUUCACAUGAUGCUCAGUCGAACCACACCUCAAACAAGCUCCAGUAGCCCUCCAACACUCGCGUGGAUGACGUCUAUUACAGAGCUAACACAUCGCCAUCCCAACAGGAACAACAACAGUAGUGUAACACCCUUAACCCCGUCCCGUUACCAGAACAAGAUUAAAGAGUAUUACCAGUCAUUACAGUACAUUUGCACAUAAACAAGUAUAAAUGCAAUAUUAUACAUCUAAAUAUAACUUUAAUGGAAUUAAAACAAACCGGGAUUCGAUCGGAAUCUUGGGAAAUUUUUCGUGAAAUUUUAAAUUUUCUUCUUUUGAACAAUACCACACGCCCGUGUGGCUAGUUUAACAUGCCCGUGCGGCUUGGGACACACCCGUGCCCUCAACCCGUGUGCAACACUUACUUUUAAACACGGCCAUGACACACAUCAGUGUGGCCUGCCAGUGUACUAAACUGGCUUUAAGACAGGACCGUGGCAACCAAGGCACACGCCCGUGUAUUAACUUGGUUGUAACAAUUUAAGUGUAGGGGACACACGGCCUAACAACAUGCCCAUUUGCAAGCCGUGUGUCUCAUACGGCCUGGUCACACGCCCUUGUGACAAACCAUGUGAACUCAAAAUGAACCUUGUAUUGUAAAAUUUACCAAUUCUUCAAAUUGUAAACAACAAGCAUUUCAAAAUUUCUCCAUUCAAUCAGUCCAGACAUCCUAGGUACAUGCCCAUUAUCAACAAUUAACAUAAUUUACCUUAAUGAGUUCGGGAUCGGCCUGGGAUGCUGAUUCAACGAUCUAACUUUAACUUAACCUGCGCACGGAAACAAACCCUACGCUGAGUAUGAACUCAGUGGUAUUUCUAUAAUCCGAACGUUUAAAACAUAGCAUACACUUAUUGUCCUAUAAUAAUCAUAAAUAUUCAUUUAUUCAUUUCAUAGAUAAUUUCUUUACAACUCAUUCAAAUUUCAUCAUCUAAUAACUUGAUUAGCUUUUCCAAUUAAUUCACAACAAUAAUAUUCUCUAUUCAUAUGUCUUUCUUGUGUUUCUAUUCACUAUUCAAUAUCAAUAAACAAAUUUUAGUAUCGAUUAAUUUAUUAGUUUCUUUCAGAAACAUUUAUUCAUUCGAUAACAAUUAGUUAUCCAGUAACGAUUACUCGCUCAGUAGCAAUCCUUUACUCAGUAGCAAUCAAUUAUUCGAUGACAAUCAGUAUUUUUCAAUAAAAAUCAUUUAAUCACUAUUAUUUAGUAUCAGUCAUUCAUUUAUUUAGUAACAGUCAGAUAUUCGGUAGCAAUAAAUUUUUCAGUACCUUUAUUUGCCCUAUUAACAUAACUCGGACCUGGACGGAUACACGGAUCCGACCUCGACGGAUACAUGGAUUUGACCCACACACCGGGGAUAGUAUACAGUGUUUCAUCAGCCGAAGCCGGAAUACACCGUAAGGGUAACAGUAACAGUAACAGUAAUAGUAGCGGUACACAAAGUACCUCAUUGGAACAAAUCCAAAAGAGUAACAGUAACAGUCAUAGUCAGGUACAGAGUAUCUCUUCGGAACGAAUCCGGAACAGUCAUAGUAGUCGACACAUAUAAUGUCUCGUCGACACAUAUAGUGUCUCGUCGACACAUAUAAUGUCUCAUCGACACACAGUCAGAAUAUCCCUGAACAGUUCCAAUCCUAUGGCAUACCAACUAUAUACGACUAGCCCGAUACAGUUAAUAGGGUAUUCAGUGAACUUUCAAGUUUUCAAUUUCAUUUGUAUUUUAAUUUCAAUUCAAUUUAAUACAUUUUUCCAUAUCAAUGAACAUGCAAUUUAAUUUCAAUACAAUAUAUAUUUUGAUUCAUUUCAAUAAUCAUAAAACACAAUAAUGCUUACCUGAAUUGCUUACCACAACAUUCAAUCAAAAUAUAAUAAUUAACAAUUAAAUUUCACUUUUCAAUGCAUCAACCUACACAUUAAAUAAUAAAUUCAACAAUUAAAUAUUAAGUUCGGAUUAUAGAAACACAAACCGUGAUUUCUGAGCUAACCCUCGUUGACCUCGUCUUUUCCUUUCUUAACCGAGGAUUUUUCGGCACCCCGUUAGCUACGAAAUUAAUACAAUUUAUAAUCAUUAAUGCAGUAAAAUUUUCACGUUGAAUGUUUCAAUUUUUAUUCAACUUUUGUCUAAAUUCCAAUUUUGUCCCAAACCUAGACUAACUUUUAUUUUUCACAUUUAACUCAAUAUUUUCAUUUAAUUUUCACUUUAAACUAAUUUCAUCUCUCUAAUUUCAGCAUAAAACCAUAAUUUCAAAAUUCUUUCAAUUUAGUCCCUACUAUUCAAAACUUAUGAAUUACUUUACAAUUCAAUCAUUAUCUCACUUCUAACUUGAAUUUCAAUCAAUUUAAUCCCUAAUUCAUCAUUUUAUUCAACAUAAACAAUAUUUAAAAAUCUAAUAACUUUCAGUAUAUCAAUUUAAUUUCAUCAAAACCUUAUUCCAAAGCUUCUAAAACAUUAAAAUUAAGUAAAAAUGGCUAAAUUGACUUACCUAUUAAACUUCCAAACUUCAAACCUUUAAUUUUUCUUUUCUUCUUUCUUUCUUUUUUCCUUCCCCAUUUUUUUAAACAUUCUGUUUCUUUCAUUCUCUUUUCCUUUUCUUUAUUUCUUUUGUUUCAUUUACUUUUAUGUUUUAAUUAUAUUAUAAUAUAAUAUUAUUCUUAAAUAAUAAGUAAGUAUACACGUAUAUUACAAAUGUAUAUAUAUCAUUGGUACACAUAUAAAUUAUUAUUACCAUACACUUGUCUUUAUUUAAUUAUUUACUUUAAUUAAUUAAUUAUAAAAUAAUAAUAUUUACUUAAAUAAUAAGUAAAUACAUACAUGUAUUACAAAUGUAUGCACAAUAUUUAUUACACAUGUAUUUUAUUUUUAUCACACACUUGGCAUUCACUUUGGCUUAUUUACUUAUUUAGUCCCUUUAAUUUUCUUUAUUCUAUAAUUAAACUUUCACAUUAUAUUCAAUUUAAUCAUUUUUCCUAAUCACUCUUAAUUAAAUUAAACUUACUUAAUUAAACUCUAAUUAACCACUCAUUUUACUUCGUAAAUAUUUUUAAUAAAUAUUUACGAAUCCAUUUUUCAAAAACGGAGACCCAAAAAUACACUUUUCGGUAAUAGUAAAAUUUGGGUCAUUACAAGUAGGCCCAGCUCUCACGAGCCCAUCAGUCCUGGCCUUUUUAUUAGGCCUCAUCCCAGUAUUCGAAGGCUCAGAAUCCCACUUAGCCUUCCUUUUUUCACGGUUUUGGCGCUCAGAGCGCUUUACCUCCUCGGCUAUCUUGGCCUUCUCGACCAAGGCGGAGAAAUCCCGCUCCCUCUGUGGAGCUAUCAGAACUCGCAGGCUAUCACGGAGACCAUCCUCAAAUCAGACACAACGCUCAUACUCGGUUGCCACCAUGCCCCUCGCAUAACGGCUCAAUCUAAUGAACUCAGCCUCGUACUCAACCACUGAACAGUCACCCUGAGUGAGAUUUAGGAACUCACGUCGCCUAGCCUCAGUGUAGCUAGCUCCCACGUACUUAUUCUGAUAAGUGGUCUUAAACAUAUCUCAAGUUAGUCGGUCGGGCUGAGUGCCCUCCUUAACGGAUAGCCACCACUGAUACGCCUCAUCUCGCAGCAAUGACACAACCCCUUAAGCUUCUGUUCAUCAGAAAAGUCCAGAUCGUCCAUGAUAUGCUCUGUGGCCUCCAUCCAAUACUCAGCCAAACUCAGAGCAACUCCAGCGAUGCUGCUGAAUAUCACAACCCCAUUCGACCCAUGAUAACCCGAAUUAGGGCCUAAUCAAAAUAGUGGUUUUGGGGCCACAAAAUUCAAGAUAGAAAUAAUUAUUUUAUGAUUAUUUUGAGGUCUAUGAUAUUAUUGCAAGAUUGUGUGAAAAUUUCGUGAAGAAAUUCUAUGCAUAAAGUGCUUAAUUUGAAGUUAGGGACCAAAUUGAAUAAGUUGCAAAACUUGCAUUCUAGAAUUUUCUAGUAUGAAAUUGCUUUGAAAUAUUAAUUAGGAGGUCUCAAAUAGCAAUUUGACCAAUUUCUAAGUUUAUGGACAAAAAUUGGAAAUGGAUGAAAAUUUUGAAAGUUUAGUAAGGAAGGGCAUUUUGGUCAUUUGGAUAUUAAAUGAAAUAAAAUGGGAAAAAUAACACAAAAAUGAUCAUCUUCUCCAUAAGUUGCUGCCGAAUUUUGCUCUCCACCAUAUCUAGGGUUUCAACACUUUUAAGCCUUGAUUGUAAGUGAUUUCUAUGCCCGUUUUUAAUGUUCUUUACAUUUUUGAAAUCCUCGUAGCUCAGUUACUUAUUUCUACCAAUAUUUUGAGUUAGGGUUUAUAUUUAAAAUUUUACCCAUGGAUGAUAUGUAUGAAUUUCGAUGUUUUAUGGUAGAAUAUGAAGUUUGAGAUUGUGUUAAACAACUUUUGCUAAGUGAUUUUUCGUAAAAACGAGUAAAAUGACAUAAUCGGUAAAAAUACCUAAUAUUCAUAAGUACAUGUUAGAGUGUGAAUUUGAUGUUGCUAUAGAAGGGAAAAAUGACCAACAUGUCAUAAAACAUAAGAAAAUAGGAUGAGGUUUAAUUUAUGAGCCUUGGGGUAAAAGUGUAAAUAUGUGAAAGUUUAGGGGUAAAAUGGUAAUUUUUCCAAAGUUCGUACUAGGGGAUUUUUUGAUGAAUGUGUGUAUUAAAUAAAUUAAUUUGGUAUUAUAGAUCAAGAGAAAAGAGAUUCGAGUCGAGAUCGGGGGAAAAAUAAAGUUUACGAGGAAUAGGCUCGACUAUUCUCAUUUUGUAUCGAGAUAAGUUCUUAUGUAAAUAUUGUAAUAUAACCGUUAUUUUAAAUCAUUUAAUGCUAUUUAUACGAUAUUAUGAUUGUUAUCAUGCAAUUCUAUGUUUUGUGGUCAUUGUUAGACAACAUGCAAAAAUUUUAUGAAUUAUGUGAAAAAUGUGAAAAACUACCGAAGUAUCGUCAUUGGUAUUCCAAGGAGAAUGGUAAAGGAGUACGAACGAGGAAAGUCCCGUUGAACCUUAGGAAUAGAUUAGGAUAUUUGGGCAUCCGAGCUCGUUGAGUUGAGUCUGAGUUCACUUAUGGAUGCGAACGCCCGAGCUCGUUGAGUUGAGUCCGAGUUCGUGAGAUGUAACUAGGCAUCCGAGCUCGUUGAGUUGAGUCCGAGUUCACUUAUGGAUGCGAAUGCCUGAGCUCAUUGAGUUGAGUCCGAGUUCACUUAUGGCCAGGUUACAUGGUAGCUUGGCUACAUAUGUGGCACUUAUGUGCAAAUUUUCCAUGUAUCCGAGUUAUAUUCCGAUGUGUUUAACGGGUAAAAUUCUAGUGAAAUGGAAGAAUACUCAAGAUGCAAGUGACGUAUUGGUAAGUGUUGUGGAAUGGACACUUUGGAUAGGUAUGUACUUAAUCCUCAGGUUGAGACUUGAUACGACAACAAUAAUAUGGUAAGAUGAUGAAUGAUGAAUAGAAAUGUGAUAUAGGUUUUGGUGAUAUUAUGCUAAUGUUGGUUGGUAUAAUUGCUUUGUUAAGUUAUUUGUUAUUUGCAUGUGGACUUACUAAGCAUCUAUGCUUACUCCCUCCUUUUCAUUCUUUGUAGUUUUGACAAGUCAAUUUGGAGAUCGGGACGGUCGGAGGCACGCUCACACUAUCACUAGACAAUCGCGGUAUAAUGACUUGAAAUUUUGGAAAUAUGGCAUGUAUAGCAUUCCAAUCAUUUAGUGUGUAUAAUCUUACGAUAUGGCCCAUGGAUGGAAUGGAAAUUUUUGAGAAUGAUUAGCUAUUGGAAUAGCUAAUCAAGUUUAUAUAUGAUAACAUGUAUGCUUUAUGUCUUAACUAAACCAUGAAAAUCCUUGGAAAGGUAAAAUUGGCCACAAAACAGAAUCAGACAGCAGUAGUGAUGUGAAUUUGAAAAAUCACUAAAAAUAUUAUAAAUGGAAUUAAAUGAUGAAUAAGUUAUGGAAUCGAAUCUUGAUGAGUCUAUUUUCAUAUGGAAUAAACAAAACAGGUAAAUGAGUUAUAUUUUUUGAGAUAUUUAAGUUUUGGCGGAACAGGGUCAGAGCGAUCUCUGAAUCCCUUGUUCUAACUUUAAAAAUUCACCAUAAAUUGUAAAAAAAUAAUUAGGAGUUUUACCUUACAUGUAUGAAAUCCUUAUUGAAUCUAGUUUUAUGAUAAAAAAUGGCAUAGUCAUUGAAACUCUGGACAGGGAGAUAUCAGAUUCGUAAUACACAAGGGUCAGAGUAGCCGAACCCUGAAACAGGGGAGACUUUAACUAAUAAACUGUACUAAUUGGCCUGACCAAAAAUUCUAGAAACAAAUUAGAAAGUAGGUAUAUGAGUCUAGUUUCAGGAAAAAUUUACGGAAUUGAAUUUCAAGUUUUGUAACUCGAGAUAUGGAUUUUUUAGCGACUGUGAUGCAGUUAGCCAACUUGUCUGAAAAUUUUAAAAUAAAUUGUUUGAGCUGUUUAAUUAACGAAUUAUGUUCGUUAACUCCUCGUGCUCGACUCUGGUGAUGGUCUCGGGUACGGGGCAUUACACGACCUGAGUCGUUCCGUAACCGACCCACGGCCUCCAGAUCUAGUAUUAGCCCCAGCGACCCUCUCUAGAAUUCGCAGCAUUUCCUAGGACAGUGCGUCGUCCCCAACUGCUCGGUCCUGAGACUCAGCACCAGUCUCAGUAACAGGUGACACCGGUGUCUCGCUAGUGUCCAAAUUAGGGAUCACAUCAGAUGCGAAAGACUCAGCUCGAAUCCCUCUACGGCCUCUACCUCGGCUUCUAGUACUUCGUCCACGAGUACCACGUGUGUGCUCAUCGUAACUACCGAAUUAAUCUGUAUUUAGAAUUUUGAUGCACAUCAGUUUACAGUUUCAAUAAUUAUCAAUUUACAGUUUUGAUAAUUAUUAGCAGAUAUUGCCAAUUUCCAAUUUAGUCCCUAAGCCGAGACUAACUUUUAUUAUUCACAUUUAAUUCUUUAUUUUCAUGCAAAUUCCACUUUAGACUAAAUUCAACUCCCUAUUUUCACAUAAAUUCCUAAAUUUUGAAUUUUUUACAAUUUAGUCCUUAUUACACAAAAUUUACUAUUUGUUCUACAAUUUAAUCAUUUUUCAUUUCUAGCUUAAAAAUCUAUCAAUUUAAUCCCUAAUACUAAAAUUAUUCAACAUAGACAACACUUAAAAACUCAAUAAUUUCUAAAAUUUUGACAUGGGUCAGGUAAUAUUUAAUACUGGCAUUCCAAAAACAUAAAAAUUACAAGAAAAUAGGGACUAAAUUAACUAACGAAUUGAGCGUGAAACUUUGAAAACCUUAGCUUUGGUCUUUCUCCUUAUCUUUCCUUUUUCUUUCUUUUUCCCUUCUGUUUCGUUUGUUCUUUCUUUCUUUUCUAUUUCUAUUUAUUUUAUUUUAUUAUUAUAAUAUAAUAAAUAUACUUAAACAUUAAGAUUUAUUAUUAUAUAAUAUUAUAAUAAAUUUUUACUUUAAAUUUUAUAAUAAUUACACUUAUGCCGCCUCAUUUAUGAGCAAUGUCAUAAUUUCUUCUUUAGUCCUUCUAAUUUUUCUUUAAUCUAUAAUUCAAUUUUCACCCUUUAUACAAUUUAGUCCUUAUACCUAAUUACUCUUAAUUCAUGCAAAUUUUCCUACCAAAACCUAAUUAACCACACAACUAACUUUGUAAAUAUUUCUAAUAAAUAUUUACGAGUCUAAUUUACGAAAACGGAGUCUCAAAAAUACAUUUUUCGACACCCAUAACUAUCGGGUCCUUACAUGUACUUAGGAGUUUGUUUUGGUUUCCUUACAUGUCCUUACAUCUACUUAUGCGGUACGCUAAAAUGGAUGCUACAUUAAUGUCACAUGCGAUAAGUCUAUUCGAACGUGGUAUGUUGUACCAAACAGGUGAAUAUAUGUAGGCAUAAUAUAAUAAUAACAAAAUUAUGAUAUUAUAAUUAUAGCAACACAAAUAAUAAAAUAACACUAUAAUAAAAUAACAAAAAUAAUAAUAGGAAUAAUAAUACUAUUUAAUAAUGAUAAUAAUAUAUAGUAAAAUAACAGAAAAAGAUAUGAUGAUGUUAUAAUUAUAACGUGUAAUAUUAACAAUAAUAAAAUUUUAACGGAAAUUAACAAUAAUCAUCUAAUAAAAUAAAUGGUAGAAGGACUUAAAUUAAAUAAUAUAGAAAUUUAAAGAUGAAAAACAUGAAUUGCGUAACUUGAAGGGUAAAAAUGCAAAUAAUAAAAUUAAAAGUGAUCGAAAUAAAUCGUUUUUACUAACUCAUGUGUUUUUUCGAAAAUAGACUAAUUUUUAUUUAUAAAUAAAUAAAUGUUUUAAAAUCGACUUUUUUUAAACCCUGAUUUCUAUUAGGCCAUCUCGGUGGCCGAUGUAAUCUCCUAUAUUCGAGUCUAGCGUCUAGCCGGGUGAAGGAGGUUACAAAUUAAGAUAAUUAAGAAUUUAAAUUAAAUUAGAAUAUUUAAAGUUUUAAUUUAUAUAAGAUAAUUAGGAGUUUAAAUUAAAUUAAUAUAAUUAAAAUUUUAAUUUAUUUAAAAAGAGUUCUAAUAAUAUGAUAAGAAUAAAAAUAUUUAAACUGAAAUUUUAGGGAUUAUAAGUUAGACCCUAAUUCACUUAAGAAUAUGGUACAUAUUAUAUUACAAUAUUAUAACAAUUAUUUGAUAUUUUAUUUUAUUUAUUUUAUUUUUGGUUGUGUAUUAUAUUAUAAUAAUUAUUUGUUAUUAUUUAUUAAAAUUUUAAAUGGAAUUUUUUAAAAUGUAAUUAAGAUUGAAUCAUCAAUAACAUACUAAGAUAGCGAACACUGAACUAAAACUUGUAAUUAUAUUGUCAUAUAUUUAUACAUGGCUUAACUUAUAAAAAAUUUAAACAAGACGAUACAAUUUAUAAUUAACAAUAGAAGAGUAUAAUAAUCAAGCUAUGUUAAAUUAACAAUACAUGCAAUAUCAUUAAAGUAAAAUACACAACAUAAACUUCAUUAAAACAUAAAUCAAGCCAAGUGAUGUUAACAUUACAUACAACAUUCAAAAUUAAUUUCACUAGAACAAACGAUAUAACAUAAACUAUAACCAUUCAGAAUCUCUAUGCAUGCAAAGAGAUUCAGCAUUGCUACAUGGAUGAAUGCACACACACAUUUCCCACUCACCAUCUUUUUUAUUAACAAUAUAAUUACGAUAUCCCAUGAAAUUACUGCAUGAUGAUGGCACAUGCACCAGUGUCAUAUGGCUUAAGGCUUAGUGCUCGAGCCAGACUGAAUAAACAUGGACUUCGGCCAUUCAGGCAUUUUAACCCACUCAGGGUACUAUGCCUUUCUCAGGUUUCUUCUCCUCUUCUUUUUCAUGCUUUGGGAACUCAUGUUUAUGUUCCUUAUCCUCAUCUAGUUUUUCCUUGCACUCAGGUAUUUUUGGAUAUUCGGCUUUAUGUUUCUCGUGCCCUUUAGGCUUUUCCCAUUUGGGGAAAUCGGGUUUUUCUUUCUCGUACUCUUCGUGCUCUUUCGAUUCGUGUGACUCCUGGCACUCUUCAUCUUUAUGUUUCUUACUCUUAUCUUCCUUUUCCUUGUACUCGGGUAUUUCCGAAUAUUCGACUUCGUGUUUCUCGUGCUCUUUAGGCUUUUCCCGUUUGGGGAACUCGGGUUUUUCUUUCUCGUAUUCUUCGUGCUCCUUCGAUUCACGUGAUUCGUGGUACUCUUCAUUUUUAUGUUCCUUAUCCUCAUCUUGUUUGUCCUUGUACUCGGGUAUUUUCGGAUAUUCGACUUCGUGUUUCUCGUGCUCUUUAGGCUUUUCCCAUUUGGGGAAAUCGGGUUUUUCUUUAUCGUACUCUUCGUGCUCCUUCGAUUCGCGUGACUCGUGGUACUCUUCAUGAUGUUUGCAGGGUUUUUGUUUUUCCUCCUUGUACAUUUCAGGCUUCUCAUGUUUUAGGUACUCUUCAUGAUAUUUUGGCUGUUUGUAUUCAGACUCUUCGUGCUUUUCGUAUUUUGAAGCCAAUUGUGGCAGCUUUGAUGAGGUUGUUUGUGUCUGGAAUAAAUGUCGAGCCGCUGACGAGACGGUGUGGCUACCGAUCAUUAGUGAGACAGUAAUGAGUAAAAGUUGGAAAAGGAAGAAAGGAUGACGAAAGUUAUGAGCCAUGGUUAACCAAAUAGAAAGAAAAGAAUUUUAAGUGUAUUUUUGUGUGGAUUGUUGUCUAUGUGUAGCAAGCCUUUUAUAGGAGAGGAUGAGAGAUGGUUUGGUGGGAUUUGGCUCCACGUUGUUUGUACCAAUUUCUCAUCUACAUAAUUGACUUAUGGUGGGAUUAUGUUAAGAAGGUGCUCAAUCUAUGUCAAAUAUUUUUACGUAAAUAUACAAAAUAUAAUCUUUCAAAUAUAUGAAAAAAAUGUUAUAAAAAUUAAGUGUUUUUCUUUAUUUAGAUAAUAGUUUGUGAGAGCAUUUAAUUCGAGUAAUAUUAGAUUACUUUUCAUAAUAAGAUUACGGGGAUGUAAGAUUAUAAGUAGGAUGUUCCGUAUGUUAUAUUAUCUUAUUUGGUUAAUUUGAUUUGAAUUUUUUAUUUUGGUUAAGAGUACUUAAAAUUACCUAAAAGUACAUUUUUACUAAAUUAUCUUUGUUAUAGAAUUUAUUCUCUUAAUGUUUCUUGGUCUCAAUUUCUAUAAAAUUAUGAUAAAUUCGACUAACCAAACAUCACAUUAAUAUUUUAUUUUUUAGUGUGACCAGCCCACCUUAUUUUAAUUUCAUUUUAACAUUAUUCUGUGAGCAGUUGAACUAGACAAAGUGCCUUUAUCCAUUAUAGGCAAAAAUUGGCUCAUUGAAGGCAGCUCAAAAUUUGAUCACUCUUGGGUAGACCAGCCAACUGCUUGCAAAAAGUAUAAUGUUAUAUACUUUACGUAUAUCCCCACUGUCACAUUCACCAAAGUAUAAUUAUGAUUAAAUUAUUAAUAUUAUAUGUUAAAACAUAAUAAAAAAAGAUAUGGUCAAUCUUCAUUUCCCUCUUCUCUCCACCGUUUGCAAGAAAAAGAAACAAAAGAAGCCAUUUUUAAGCUCUUAGCAUUCGGCUAACCUCUGUUUUUGAAAUUGAUAAGUGAUUUUAAGCUUGUUUUUUUAUAAUUUUUAUAUUUUUGAAGUCUUAUAAGCUUGAUUUAACUAAUCAUGAAUUGGUGUCAUUUGGUUAGAUUUUAUGCUUAGAUAUGAAAAAGGAUUAAUUUCUAAAGUGAAAAUUUAUAGUUUUGAACUUAAGGAUUAAAGUGUAAAUAUUUCAAAAUUGGUUUGAAAUUUCUGUAAUUAUAGAUGAUAGAGGGUUAUAGAAGUAUGAAAUUGAAAUCAGAUUGAAAAAUGAAACUUAAAUUUGAAAGAUAUAGCUAUUUCGAUUUUAGGGAAUAAAUUUAAUAAAUUUUAAAACUUUAGGAAACUGAAUUGAACUGACUUAUAUUUAUAAUAGGAUGAUAUAAGGUGAUUGGAAUUGAUAAAUUGUAAUAAAUUAUUAUAGGUCGGAACUUUAAUAAACCAUAUGAUAAUUGAAGAAAAACGAAAAAUUGUAGAUUAAACCCUGACGUCAUGUCGUUAUGGUUUUGUCAGGUAAGUUUAUAUGGAGUUACUACUGUAAUACCCCAAACCCGGUCUAGAAUUUAUGACCGGAUCUUGAGGGUUACACUGACUACUUAAAGCUAGAUUAUUCACUUCCCAAAACUUUGCUUGAUCUUGCAUUAGUAAUUUUGUAAAAAAAAAAUCAUUUACAUUUAUUUCCUAGAAAACUUAAUUAUUGUCAAAUAAGUAUUUUUGAAAACAUAUAUUACUUCCCACCAAAUCAAACUGAAAGUUGUAAUAUUAACUUAUUUACACUUUUUGAAAAAUAAAUUCACUUAUUCUGAAUUUGCAGCGGUAAAAAUUUUUAAACAUUUCAAUUUUGAAAAAAAAAUCGAACAUCCUUUUCAAAUAAUAGAAAAUUUAUGCAGAUUAUUUAAACUAAUUAUCUAAAAAACUCAACAAAACCCAAAACCAAAAUAAAAUUCCAAAAAUUAGUCCGACGGUCCAAAAGUACAUAAAUUUUAAUUAAUAAUUAUUUAAUAAAUAUUGUGUAAAAAUCAUGCAAAAAUCAUGUUUUAAAUAGUUACAAAUGCGUGACAUAUCUCACGAUGCAACAUGACAGAUAGAUCAAUUACUAAUACAAAUGCAAUUUCAGAUAUAGAUACAAAUACAGGUCCGACCCCAUCCGCUACACACUAUCUCCAUCCAUCCUUACACAGCAAAUGAGGUAAUAAAUACCCAUCCAACGCCACACACCAAUAAGUAAGCGUAUUUCACUUUUCAGAAUAUUGCAGUCAUGCUGCCAGAAAUAAUGCGGUAAUCCAUCAAAAUAGAUAAGUGCGGUCAAGCCACCAGAAUUGCAGUCAAGCUGCCAAAACAGAUAUGUGGUUAAACCACCAGAUAAGACAGAUCAUUAAAUUGCCAACACUUCCUCCGUCACAUAAUUCUCUCACCCCAAUGCACGUGUUGAAACAUAAUACAUACUCAGAUGCACACAGAUGAAUCAUGCUUUAACAUACUAGAAACAUGCUAACAGAAUUCUCAGAUUUGUAGAUCAAAUGUGAGAUUUAUACUACUGACAUGCUUACAGGUGAUACACAUAUAAUAUCAGUAGCCCAGAUUUCUUAUAUUGGGAUCAUACCUACCACAUAUCAAACCCAAAGAAGUAGCUGACCUCGAAACGCACAUCAAACAUGACCCUAACUAAAUUUUACUUAAAAUGGGCCCACAUGGCCGUGUGGCCCACAUAACCUACCUGGCCCAAGCCGUGUGGCCCACAUGGCCCACAUGACUUUUUUGGCUUUGAGUCGUUUGUUAUUUUUUAGGAUAGAACAUACACACCUGAUCGUUUUUCAAUGCAACCAUAAUAGCAAGGAUUCCAAAACCUAAAAUGACAUUUAGAAUGAACAAUUUAGCAAUCAUACACUAAAUCUAAGCAACUAAUUCAGCCACAACUGUUAACAUUUGGCCUUAAUAAACAGAGUCAACCCCUAAUCGAAAGCAUUAAUCACUUACCCAACAGAAUAGUAGCCCUAAAAAUCCCUUAAUUCGUUAGAGGAACAUCGUACACUUCAUGAUCUUCACCAACAAAGAACUCGAAAUGAUUAAUAUCGAAUAUUCAAGAAGAUCCCAAAAUCUCCCAACAUUCACAUGAAACAAAAUUAGUUAAUCUUACCACCAAAAAAUACACAUAGUAAUUGUAAUGCCCUGAAUAAUUUAUUUUCAUUUCUGUAAAUAUCUGACACAAAUGUAUAUUUGUUUUAGUGGCUAAGUGUUCUGGGUGUGUGUGUGUGAGGUCUUGGGUUCAAGUUCCACUUUUUCCAAAUUUUGUUAUUUUUCUGAUCCUAGCCUUACCCUUGUUGAGUGGGCUUUUAUAAAAUAGCCUGUUAAUCUAUGUCAGAAUGAGCUACUGGUUCGAGUGGUAAGGGUGUUGGUGUAACACCCUAAACCCAGCCUAGAAGUUUAGACCGAAUUCUUGAUGCUACAUUGAUCACCGAAGUGAUCGUAGAAAAAUUUUUACAAAUCAGUUUAUAUGUCGGUUCAUAAUACUUAAUCAUUUAAAAUCAGUCAGUAAAAUUACAGUUGAGAUAGUAUAUAUAUAAGCGGAAUAAAAACGAUUAAAACUUUAACUUGAAGUUUGUACCACAGCUUUAUAAAAAUCUUACAGUUCAAAACCAAAUAAUCAAAUAGAUACUGAAAAUCCAAACUGAUAAUAAUUAAUUUUCAUUGAGACUGCCUGAGACAUCCGCACACCGAGUCUAGUGUCAUAUUUUAAAAAAGGUACCUAAAAAGGAAACACUAAGAGGGGCUGAGCUACUCGAGCUCAGUGUAAGUUUGAAAACUGUUAAAAAUAGAUUUUAGAAAAGAACACCAGAUGGUUGUUCAAAACAAACAUACUUACAGACGUAAGUAGAAACAAAUACUAGAUAAGGAACCAAUGUCCCAACACGCAAUCAGAACAGAUCACACCAAAUCACACACGGAAUUCGAAAGACCAAUCCAACCCAACACACCACAUAUGUGGACUAAGCCACUCAGAUAAUAAUACACUCAGAUAAUAAUAACGCACUUCAAACACGACCCUAACUAAAUUUUACAGAAAAUGGGCCCACAUAGCCGUGUGGCCCACACAACCUACCUGGCCCAGCCCGUGUGGCCUACAUGACCUGGCACACAGCCGUGUGGCUUCAACAGUAACUUUUUUAGCUUUGAGUCGUUUGUUAUUUUUUGGGAUAGAAAGUACACACCUAGUCGUUUUUCAAUGCAACCACAACAGCGAGGAUUCCAAAACCUAAAAUGACAUUUAGAAUGAACAAUUUUGAAACACCCUAAACCCGACCAAGACGUUAUGGCUGAAUCUGACGAAGUCACAUAAGAAUGUAUUUAAAACCGUGUUACCCAAAAACCGUUACAGUUACCACCUUUUACUUAACUCAGAAAUCAUAUAUAUAUUGAUUAAUUUGCUUGGAAACAUUUCUUAGUUCGCGGAAGCUUAAGAACAAAUAAAGUUGCAGUUCCAAAAUCCAUAAACAAUAUUUUCAAAUUCUGAAAUUAAACUAAACAGCCUGAAACCAAAAAAUUCAUAAUUACUCCCAACUAUAGCAAAUAAAAUAAUAAAAGCAUUAAAAACCUUUAAAACCAGAGUGUAUGUAGCAAUGGUCACCGUUGAGCCCUUCGCAGCACCGAUCCACCUACUGCUGGGGAUUACCUGACAGACAAAUAAAAAUAAGGGGUGAGUUUUCAAAAACUCAAUGUGUACAUCCCUAUAGCAAGCACGCAUGUAAAUGGAUAGCAAUCAAACAGUCAUAAUCAAUCUUGAGCUCUUAACAGAAUCAAUGUAGGUUUUAGCCCACUUAGAACAGUAUUAGAUACAUUCGGGCCUUCGCCCAUACAGACAUACAUGCAUAUCAAUUAGAACAGUAAUGCCCACCAACCCAGCACACCAUUUCCGUCCAACCUAACAGACCAUGUGGGGAUAAAAUCUACCUACCCAGCCCUACACACCAAGUAUGGGGAUAAAAUUAACCCAUCCAACCCUACACACCCAGUGGUACCGUAUUCGUAUCAGAUAUAUACAGCAUAGUUGCCCGAUGACAGGUCAAUAGCCUUUCAGUCUUCCUUCUCUUCAACAACAAACCCAACCCAACCCAAUGUAAUGCAAUAUAAAUAAUAUGGCAUGCUUAUGUACAGACAUUAGAUCAUAACAUUGUCAUCAAAUUAGAACAGAUACACAUGCUUUAAUUAUCAUACUCUUACGUACAUCUUAGUAUCAGAUCAGAGUAUAGGGGUCUAAGUAACACUUACCGACCCUACCAACAGGUUACAGUCGACUUGGGCGGCCCGUGCAACCUUGCAAAACAUUUCACACAACUCAAGCUCACACGUCUGUGUGCCUUUCCCGUGUGGGCCCAUAUGCCCAUGUGGCUCACACGGCCUAGAUUAGCCUUACCCGCGUCGAUCACAUGGCCUGGCCCAAGAUCUCACACUUUUGUGUGGUUCAUCUGUGUGGUCCACACGGCCCAGUUGGUCAAGCCCGUGCCUCACAUACGGCCUCGCCAGCCUCACACACCAGUGUCCGUCAUGCCCGUGUGGCAUGCGCACGGUCUACUUCUUCGACCACACGAUCGUGUCUCACUACACGGCCUCCACACAGGCAGUCCACACUCCCAUGUGGCGUCAAUAGUAGCGUUUUCAGCUUUUGCGGAAACGCGACUUCAGAUCGAUUAGAGUACACACCUGGUUUUGAUUGAAGCCUAACGUAAUCCUGAGCCUUUCAGAAGCUAUAUUCAACAAUGUCAAGACCCAUUUCAGUCACUUAAACAAUGUUUGAUUGAAACUAAACAAGCUAUUCUGCGCCAAAAUCGGUAAAUUUCUUACCUCGAGCAAAAACCAGCGAAUACUACGCGCUUAACUCGCUGUUCAGGAACGAAGAAAAGCCUCUUGAUCUAUACCUAAACACCUAAACAAAAUUUCCCUUUAAUCUCUUAAUCAAAACGAUGCUUACGAAUGACAAGCAGAAACUUACUAAUGAGGAGAAUGUCAAUGAAAUGCAGAAGCCCGUUAAUACGAAAUCAAAAUGAAUGAGAUGAAGGCAAGGGAAAUUUCGGCAAAAAGAAAAGAAAAAGAAUGUGGAGAGGGGAACAAUAGUAGAGAAUUUCGACAAAGAGAGAGUUCUUUUAGGGAAACUACUCAGAAAAAUCUAAUAAACCUUACCACUUCAGAGUUUUAGUUCACAUUUAAUUCUAUCACGGCCUUAGUGGCAAAAGUAAUGCCCAAGCUAGGAUUCGAACACAGGACUUCUAGCAUAAACCCUUUCCACUUAACCACUAGACCAGUCAACCCAUUCUGUUAAGUUUUUACCAAAAAAUCCUUAUAAGCUUAUUAACCAAAAGCCAAGCUUUACUUAAACAAAAAAUUUUCCCAAGUUGAGACUUGAACUUGGGACUUCCCUAACACACCCUCAAAGCACUUAAACACAAAAGCAGACAUAUAUUAUGUAAAUUCAUGCGAAAACAUAUUCAGAUAUUUUCCUAUGCUACAAUUUCACAAAAACUGAAAUUACAGAAAUCUGGGGUGUUACAACUCUACCCCCUUAAAGAAAAUUCAUCCUCGAAAUUUACCUAGUCAGAAAAUGUGAGGAUAUCGCUGACGCAUUGAAUCCUCUGGCUCCCAAGUAGCCUCCUCAGUGCUAUGAUUCUGCCACAGCACCUUCACUAAGGGAACAGACUUCCUACGCAGAACUUUGACGUCGCGAUCCAAAAUUUGAACUAGUUUCUUCUCGAAUGUCAGAUCUGAUCUAAACUCAAUUUCCUCCAUAGGGACAAUAUGCGUGGGAUUAGAGCUAUAACAUCUCAACAUCGAGACAUGAAAGACAUCGUGAAUACGAUCUAACUCUGGAGGUAACUCCAACUGAUACACAACUGGCCCCACUCGCUUCAGAAUUCGGUACUGCCCAAUAAGCCGGGGACUCAACUUACCUUUGCGACCGAACUUCAGAACCUUUCUCCAAGGCGAGACCUUAAGGAAAACCAAGUCCCCCAUAGAAUACUCGAUAUCGUUCCUCUUCAAAUCAGCAUAGGACUUUUGUGAAUUCGAAGCCGCUUUUAGUUUAUCCCGAAUCAAACAAACCUUACUUUUAGUCUCUGAAACCAACUCUGAACCCAGAACACGUCGUUCACCCAACUCAAUCCAGCACAAAGUGGUGCAACACUUAUGACUAUAAAGUGCCUCAUAAGGAGCCAUAUGAAUACUAGACUGAUAGGUGUUAUUGUAAGCGAACUCUGCCAAAGGCAAGUACUCCUCCUAACUAACUUGGAAAUCCAUAACACAGCCCCUCAACAUAUCCUCCAGUAUCUAAAUCACCCUCUCCGGCUGAUCAUCUGUCUGAGGAUGAAAUGCAGCACUGAAGUUAAGUCGUGAACCCAAAGCCUCAUGAAGCUUCCGCUAAAAUCAAAAAGUAAACCGAGGAUCCCUAUCGGAUAUAAUCGACACUGGAACCCCAUGUAGUCUUAAUAUCUCUGAGAUGUAAAGUUUAGCCAACUUCUGUAAAGAGAGGUCUGCCCUAACAGGAAUGACGUGUGCAGACUUGGUCAAUCGAUCCAUGAUGACCCAAACAGAAUCCUUCUUAGUGGGUGUUAGUGGCAACCCACUAACGAAAUCCAUCGUCAUUUGCUCACAUUUCCACGUAGGUAUCUUCACAGGCUGUAGCAACCCCGAAGGCAACUGAUGCUCAGCCUUAACCUGCUGACAAGUCAGACAGCGUGCAAACCUCACGCUUCAACCCUGGCCACCGGUACAACUCUCGGAGAUCUUUAUACAUCUUAUUUCCACUAGGAUACAUAGCGUACGGACUACUAUGCGCUUCCCUUAAAAUCGACAGCCUCAAAUCCUCAUCAUUAGGUACACAGGUCCUACUUCGGAAGCACAAUACCUCUUCACUAUUCAGCUCAAAAUCUGUAGUAGUCCCACUCUUAACCUGACGAAAUCGCAUCUCGAGAGUCUUAUCCUCUAACUACUUAGCUCUAAUUUGCUCAAUCCAUGUCGGCUUCACUUGAAGCUCUGCCAGAAGAGUCCUACCAUUAUAAAGACUCAGUUGAGCAAAAAAAGCUCUCAAAUCAGCCACAGCCCUACGCUUAAUGCUUUGACCACCACAUUGGCCUUUUCAAUGUAAUACUCUAUACUACAGUCAUAAUCCUUAAGCAGCUCAACCCAUCGUCACUGCCUAAGAUUUAACUCCUUCUGAAUGACCAAAUGCUUGAGGCUCUUGUAAUCAGUGUAUAUGGUACACCUCUUACUGUGCAGAUAGUGCCUCCAAAUCUUUAAUGCAAAGACGACUACAGCCAACUCCAAAUCAUGCGUCAGAUAAUUAGCCUCGUGAGUCUUAAUUUGUAGAGACGCAUAGGCAACUAUCUUACCGUAUUACAUCAAGACGCAACCUAAACCCACAUGUGACGCACCACUGUAAACCACGAAAUCCCUACCAGGCUCAGGCUGUAUCAGAACUGGAGUCUGAGUUAACACGGUUUUGAGCUUCUCAAAGUUCUCCUACUGUGCAUCAGUCCAAACAAAGGAAACUCCCCUACACAGUAACUUAGUCAAAGACGCUGCAAUUAAAUAAAACUCUUCUUCGAAACGUCGAUAAUAUCCUACCAGUCCCCGAAAACUAUGAAUCUCCAACACAUUCUUCGGCUAUUUCCAAUCCAGCAUAGCCUCAAUCUUACGAGGAUCAACACGAACCGCCCCAGUAGACACCACAUGUCUCAAAAAGAUUACUUCCUGAAGCCAAAACUCACACUUAGAGAACUUUGCAUAAAGCUGUUUCUUACGAAGGAUCUGCAGAACAACCCUGAGAUGCUCAUCGUGCUCGUCCUCAGACUUAGAGUAAAUCAAGAUGUCGUAGAUAAACACCACCACGAACUGGUCUAAGUAGGGCUAAAACACCCGGUUCAUCAAGUCCAUGAAUGCCGCUGGUGUAUUAGUCAACCCAAAGGGCAUAACCAAGAACUCGGAAUAUCCAUAACGAGUCCUAAAUACCGUCUGCCUCCUUAACCCUUAACUGAUGAUAACCUGAUCACAGAUUGAUCUUGGAGAACACCGAAGCCCCUUUGAGCUGAUCGAAUAAAUCAUCUAUCCCCGAAAGUGGGUAUUUAUUCUUAAUCGUCAACUUACUCAACUGACGGUAAUCGAUACACAUUAUCAUCGUACUGUCCUUCUUCUUUACAAAUAGAACAGGUACUCCCCAUGGAGACACACUGGACGAAUAAACCCACGAUCCAACAGCUCCUCAUUUUGAACCUUCAGUUUUGCCAGCUCCUUUGGUGCCAUUCGACAAAGGGCGAUAGACACUGGAGCUGUUCUAGAAAUCAACUCAAUACCAAAUUUUACCUCACGACUAGGAGGCAAUCCUGGUAGUUCCUCUGGAAAAACAUCUGGAAAGUCAUUCACAGUACGGAUGUCCUUAACCGAAGAGUCCACAGAAUCAGAAACACUGAUGUAGGCCAAGAAUGCCUCACAUCCCUUUCUUACAAGCUUCUCCGCUACCAACGCAGAUAUCACAUUACUUAGAUAAUUUCGUCGUUCUCCAAUCACGACUAUCUCAUCGUCCUCCUCGGUCCUCAGAACAACCCUCUUUUCAGCACAAUCCAGACUUACACGAUGCUUCACCAACCAGUCCAUGCCCAGAAUUAAAUCGAACUCCUCAAAUGGAAGUUCCAUCAGAUCAACCAAGAAUACCGUUACUUAGACUUCCAACGGAACGUCUCUAAACAAUUUAUUAACCCUAAUGGACUGCCCCAACGGGCUCACCGCUGAAAUCUCACUAGAAGUGCUUUCAUGUGGAAUCCCCAAAGUCUCAGACACAGAACAUGCAACAUAGGAAUGUGUAGAGCCUAUGUCUAUCAGUGCAACAUAAGGUACAUCAAGAAUUAAAAACGUACCCGUGAUGACGUCUGGAGCAUCUCCAUCCUCAAAGGGACAAGUAGCGUAGACAAAUACAGGCUGCCUCGCCUGAGUCGGCCCAGAACCUCUCCCUAGUGCUCUCCGACCUCGACCCAUAUCGUUACCACCCCUAGCCUGUCCUCCGCCCCUUGGUGGCUGCUGUACAACUCUUUACGGCUGCGCAGUCUCAACAAUCGGAGCUUGCAUCUGAUUACUCCUCAGUGGACAAUCCUUCACACGAUGCUUAGUCGAACCACACCUCAAACAAGCUCCAGUAGCCCUCCAACACUCGCGUGGAUAAUGUCGAUUACAGAGCUAACACAUCGCCAUUCCAACAGGAACAGCAACAGUAGUGUAACACCCUUAACCCCGUCCCGUUACCAGAACAGGAUUACAGAGUAUUACUAGUCAUUAUAGUACAUUUGCACAUAAACAAGUAUAAAUAAAAUAUUACCCAUCUAAAUAUAACUUUAAUAGGUCCACAGUACUUCACAAGUGUAAUUAAAACAAACCGGGAUAGAAUCUUAGGAAAUUUUUCGUAAAAUUUUUAAUUUUUUUUAACAGUACCACACGCCCGUGUGGCUAGUUUAACAUGACCGUGUGGCUUGGGACACGCCCGUGCCCUCAACCCGUGUGCAACACUUACUUUUAAGCACGGCCAUGACACACAUCCGUGUGGCCUGCCAGUGUACUAAACUGGCUUUAAGACACGGCCGUGGCAACCAAGGCACACGCCCGUGUAUUAAAUUGGUUGUAACAAUUUAAGUGCAGGGGACACACAGCCUAACAACAUGCCCAUUUGCAAGCCGUGUGUCUCACACGGCCUGGUCACACGCCCGUGUGACAAACCAUGUGAACUCAAAAUGAACCUUGUAUUUUAAAAUUUACCAAUCCUUCAAAUUGUAGACAACAAGCAUUUCAAAAUUUCUCCAUUCAAUCAGUCCAGACAUCCUAGGUACAUGCCAUUAUCAACAAUUAACAUACUUUACCUUAUUGAGUUCGAGAUCGGCCUGGGAUGCUGAUUCAACGAUCUGACUUUAACUUAACCUACGCAUGGAAACAAACCGUACGCUGAGUAUGAACUCAGUGGUAUUUCUAUAAUCCGAACGUUUAAAACAUAGCAUACACUUAUUGUCCUAUAAUAAUCAUAAAUAUUCAUUUAUUCAUUUCAUAGAUAAUUUCUUUACAACUCAUUCAAAUUUCAUCAUCUAAUAACUUGAUUAGCUUUUCCAAUUAAUUCACAACAAUAAUAUUCUCUAUUCAUAUGUCUUUCUUGUGUUUCUAUUCACUAUUCAAUAUCAAUAAACAUAUUUUAGUAUCGAUUAAUUUAUCAGUUUCUUUCAGAAACAUUUAGUCAUUCUAUAACAAUUAGUUAUCCAGUAACGAUUACUCGCUUAGUAGCAAUCCUUUACUCAGUAGCAAUCAAUUAUUCGAUGACAAUCAGUAUUUUUCAAUAACAAUCAUUUAAUCACUAUUAUUUAGUAUCAGUCAUUCAUUUAUUCAGUAACAGUCAAAUAUUCGGUAGCAGUAAAUUUUUCAGUACCUUUAUUUGCCCUAUUAACAUAACUCGGAUUUGGACGGAUACACGGAUCCGACCUGGACGGAUACACAGAUCCGACCCACACACCGGGGAUAGUAUACAGUGUUUCAUCGGCCGAAGCCGGAAUACACCUAAGGGUAACAGUAACAGUAACAGUAAUAGUAGCGGUACACAAAGUACCUCAUUGGAACAAAUCCAAAACAGUAACAGUAACAGUCAUAGUCAGGUACAGAGUAUCUCUUCGGAACGAAUCCGAAACAGUCAUAGUAGUCGACAUAUAUAGUGUCUCGUCGACACAUAUAGUGUCUCAUCGACACACAGUCGGAAUAUCCCUGAACAGUUCCAAUCCUAUGGCAUACCAACUAUAUACGACUAGCCCGAUACAGUUAAUAGGGUAUUCAGUGAACUUUCAAAUUUUCAAUUUCAUUUGUAUUUUAAUUUUAAUUCAAUUUAAUACAUUUUUCCAUAUCAAUGAACAUGCAAUUUAAUUUCAAUACAAUAUAUAUUUUGAUUCAUUUCAAUAAUCAUAAAACACAAUAAUGCUUACCUGAAUUACUUACCAUAACAUUCAAUCAAAAUAUAAUAAUUAACAAUUAAAUUUCACUUUUCUAUGCAAUAACCUACACAUUAAAUAAUAAAUUCAACAAUUAAAUAUUAAGUUCGGAUUAUAGAAACACAAACCGUAAUUUCUGAGCUAACCCUCAUUGACCUCGUCUUUUCCUUUCUUAACCGAGGAUUUUUCGGCACCCCGUUAGCUACGAAAUUAAUACAAUUUAUAAUCAUUAAUGCAGUAAAAUUUUCACGUUGAAUGUUUCAAUUUUUAUUCAACUUUUGACUAAAUUCCAAUUUAGUCCCAAACCUAGACUAACUUUUAUUUUUCACAUUUAACUCAAUAUUUUCAUUUAAUUUUCACUUUAAACUAAUUUCAUCUCUCUAAUUUUAGCAUAAAACCAUAAUUUUAAAAUUCUUUCAAUUUAGUCCCUACUUUCAAAACUUAUGAAUUACUUUACAAUUCAAUCCUUAUCUCACUUCUAACUUGAAUUUCAAUCAAUUUAAUCCCUAAUUCAUCAUUUUAUUCAACAUAAACAAUAUUUAAAAAUCUAAUAACUUUCAAUAUAUCAAUUUAAUUUCAUCAAAACCUUAUUCCAAAGCUUCUAAAACAUUAAAAUUAAGUAAAAAUGGCUAAAUUGACUUACCUAUUAAACUUCCAAACUUCAAACCUUUAAUUUUUCCUUUCUUCUUUCUUUCUCCUUUCCUUCCCCAUUUUUGUUUAAACAUUUUGUUUCUUUCAUUCUCUUUUCCUUUUCUUUAUUUCUUUUGUUUCAUUUACUUUUAUGUUUUAAUUAUAUUAUAAUAUAAUAUUAUUCUUAAAUAAUAAGUAAGUAUACACGUAUAUUACAAAUGUAAUAUAUCAUUGGUACACAUAUAAAUUAUUAUUACCACACACUUGUCUUUAUUUAAUUAUUUACUUUAAUUAAUUAAUUAUAAAAUAAUAAUAUUUACUUAAAUAAUAAGUAAAUACUUACAUGUAUUACAAAUGUAUGCACAAUAUCUAUUACACAUGUAUUUUAUUUUUAUCACACACUUGGCAUUCACUUUGGCUUAUUUACUUAUUUAGUCCCUUUAAUUUUCUUUAUUCUAUAAUUAAACUUUCACAUUAUAUUCAAUUUAAUCAUUUUUCCUAAUCACUCUUAAUUAAAUUAAAUUUACUUAAUUAAAAUCUAAUUAACCACUCAUUUUACUUCGUAAAUAUUUAUUAAAAAUAUCUACGAAUCCAUUUUUCAAAAACGGAGACCCAAAAAUACACUUUUUCGGUAAUAGUAAAAUUUGGGUCAUUACAAGUAGGCCCAGCUCUCACGGGCCCAUCAGUCCUGGCCUUUUUCUUAGGCCUCAUCCCAGUAUUCGAAGGCUCAAAAUCCCACUUAGCCUUCCUUUUUUCACGAUUUUGGCGCUCAGAGCGCUUUACCUCCUCGGCUAUCUUGGCCUUCUCGACCAAGGCGGAGAAAUCCCGCUCCCUCUGUGGAGCUAUCAAAACCCGCAGGCUAUCACGGAGACCAUCCUCAAAUAGGACGCAGCGCUCAUACUCGGUUGCCACCAUGCCCCUCGCAUAACGGCUCAAUCUAAUGAACUCAGCCUCGUACUCAACCACUGAACAGUCACCCUGAGUGACAUUUAGGAACUCCUGUCGCCUAGCCUCAGUGUAGCUAGCUCCAACGUACUUAUUCUGAUAAGUGGUCUUAAGCAUAUCCCAAGUUAGUUGGUCGGGCUGAGUGCCCUCCUUAACGGAUAGCCACCACUGAUACGCCUCAUCUCGCAGCGACGGUCUCGGGUACGGGGCGUUACAUGACCUGAGUCGUUCCGUAACCGACCCACGGCCUCCAGAUUCAGUAUUAGCCCCAGCGACCCUCUCUAGAAUUCGCAGCAUUUCCUAGGACAGUGCGUCGUCCCCAACUGCUCCGUCCUGAGACUCAGCACCAGUCUCAGUAACAGGUGACACCGGUGUCUCUCUAGUGUCCAAAUUAGGGAUCAUAUCAGAUACGAAGGACUCAGCUCGAAUCCCUCUACGACCUCUACCUCAACUUCUAGUACUUCGUCCACGAGUACCACGUGUGUGCUCAUCGUAACUACCAAAUUAAUCUGUAUGUAGAAUUUUUAUGCACAUCAGUUUACAGUUUCAGUAAUUAUCAAUUUACAGUUUCGAUAAUUAUUAGCAGAUAUUGCCAAUUUCUAAUUUAGCCCCUAAGCCGAUACUAACUUUUAUUCUUCACAUUUAAUUCUUUAUUUUCAUGCAAAUUCCACUUUAGACUAAAUUCAACUCCCUAUUUUAAGAUAAAUUCCUAAAUUUUGAAUUUUUUUAUAAUUUAGUCCCUAUUACACAAAAUUUACUAUUUGUUCUACAAUUUAAUCCCUUUUCAUUUCUAGCUUAAAAAUCUAUCAAUUUAAUCCCUAAUACUAAAAUUAUUCAACAUAGAAAACACUUAAAAACUCAAUAAUUUCUAAAAUUUUGACAUUGGUCAAGUAGUAUUUAAUACUGGCAUUCCAAAAACAUAAAAAUUACAAGAAAAUAGGGACUAAAUUGACUAACGAAUUGAGCGUGAAACUUUGAAAACCUUAGCUUUGGUCUUUCUCCUUUUCUUUCCUUUUUCUUUCUUUUUCCCUUCUGUUUCGUUUGUUCUUUCUUUCUUUUCUAUUUCUAUUUCUUUUAUUUUAUUAUUAUAAUAUAAUAAAUAUACUUAAACAUUAAGAUUUAUUAUUAUAUAAUAUUAUAAUAUAUUUUUACUUUAAAUUUUAUAAUAAUUACACUUAUGCCGCCUCAUUUAUGAGCAAUGUCAUAAUUUCUUCUUUAGUCCUUCUAGUUUUUCUUUAAUCUAUAAUUCAACUUUCACCCUUUAUACAAUUUAGUCCUUCUACCUAAUUACUCUUAAUUCAUGCAAAUUUUCCUAACCAAAACCUAAUUAACCACACAACUAACUUUGUAAAUAUUUCUAAUAAAUAUUUACAGUCUAGUUUACGAAAACGGAGUCUCGAAAAUACAUUUUUCGAUACCCAUAACUAUCGGGUCCUUACAUGUACUUAGGAGUUUGUUUUGGUUUCCUUACAUGUCCUUACAUCUACUUAUGCGGUACGCUAAAAUGGAUGCUACAUUAAUGUCACAUGCGAUAAGUCUAUUCGAACGUGGUAUGUUGUACCAAACAGGUGAAUAUAUGUAGGCAUAAUAUAAUAAUAACAAAAUUAUGAUAUUAUAAUUAUAGCAACACAAAUAAUAAAAUAACACUAUAAUAAAAUAAAAAUAAUAAUAAUAGGAAUAAUAAUACUAUUUAAUAAUGAUAAUAAUAUAUAGUAAAAUAACAGAAAAAGAUAUGAUGAUGUUAUAAUUAUAACGUGUAAUAUUAACAAUAAUAAAAUUUUAACGGAAAUUAACAAUAAUCAUCUAAUAAAAUAAAUGGUAGAAGGACUUAAAUUAAAUAAUAUAGAAAUUUAAAGAUGAAAAACAUGAAUUGCGUAACUUGAAGGGUAAAAAUGCAAAUAAUAAAAUUAAAAGUGAUCGAAAUAAAUCGUUUUUACUAACUCAUGUGUUUUUUCGAAAAUAGACUAAUUUUUAUUUAUAAAUAAAUAAAUGUUUUAAAAUCGAUUGUUUUUAAACCCUGAUUUCUAUUAGGCCAUCUCGGUGGCCGAUGUAAUCUCCUAUAUUCGAGUCUAGCGUCUAGCCGAGUGAAGGAGGUUACAAAUUAAGAUAAUUAAGAAUUUAAAUUAAAUUAGAAUAUUUAAAGUUUUAAUUUAUAUAAGAUAAUUAGGAGUUUAAAUUAAAUUAAUAUAAUUAAAAUUUUAAUUUAUUUAAAAAGAGUUCUAAUAAUAUGAUAAGAAUAAAAAUAUUUAAACUGAAAUUUUAGGGAUUAUAAGUUAGACCCUAAUUCACUUAAGAAUAUGGUACAUAUUAUAUUACAAUAUUAUAACAAUUAUUUGAUAUUUUAUUUUAUUUAUUUUAUUUUUGGUUGUGUAUUAUAUUACAAUAAUUAUUUGUUAUUAUUUAUUAAAAUUUUGAAUGGAAUUUUUUUAAAUGUAAUUAAGAUUGAAUCAUCAAUAACAUACUAAGAUAGCGAACACUGAACUAAAACUUGUAAUUAUAUUGUCAUAUAUUUAUACAUGUCUUAACUUAUAAAAAAUUUAAACAAGACGAUACAAUUUAUAAUUAACAAUAGAAGAGUAUAAUAAUCAAGCUAUGUUAAAUUAACAAUACAUGCAAUAUCAUUAAAGUAAAAUACACAACAUAAACUUCAUUAAAACAUAAAUCAAGCCAAGUGAAGUUAACAUUACAUACAACAUUCAAAAUUAAUUUCACUAGAACAAACGAUAUAACAUAAACUAUAACCAUUCAGAAUCUCUAUGCAUGCAAAGAGAUUCAGCAUUGCUACAUGGAUGAAUGCACACACACAUUUCCCACUCACCAUCUUUUUUAUUAACAAUAUAAUUACGAUAUCCCAUGAAAUUACUGCAUGAUGAUGGCACAUGCACCAGUGUCAUAUGGCUUAAGGCUUAGUGCUCGAGCCAGACUGAGUAAACAUGGACUUCGGCCAUUCAGGCAUUUUAACCCACUCAGGGUACUAUGCCUUUCUCAGGUUUCUUCUCCUCUUCUUUUUCAUGCUUUGGGAACUCAUGUUUAUGUUCCUUAUCCUCAUCUUGUUUUUCCUUACACUCAGGUAUUUUCGGAUAUUCGGCUUUAUGUUUCUCGUGCCCUUUAGGCUUUUCCCAUUUGGGGAAAUCGGGUUUUUCUUUCUCGUACUCUUCGUGCUCUUUCGAUUCGUGUGACUCUUGGCACUCUUCAUCUUUAUGUUUCUUACUCUUAUCUUCCUUUUCCUUGUACUCGGGUAUUUCCGAAUAUUCGACUUCGUGUUUCUCGUGCUCUUUAGGCUUUUCCCGUUUGGGGAACUCGGGUUUUUCUUUCUCGUAUUCUUCGUGCUCCUUCGAUUCACGUGAUUCGUGGUACUCUUCAUUUUUAUGUUCCUUAUCCUCAUCUUGUUUGUCCUUGUACUCGGGUAUUUUCGGAUAUUCGACUUCGUGUUUCUCGUGCUCUUUAGGCUUUUCCCAUUUGGGGAAAUCGGGUUUUUCUUUAUCGUACUCUUCGUGCUCCUUCGAUUCGCGUGACUCGUGGUACUCUUCAUGAUGUUUGCAGGGUUUUUGUUUUUCCUCCUUGUACAUUUCAGGCUUCUCAUGUUUUGGGUACUCUUCAUGAUAUUUUGGCUGUUUGUAUUCAGACUCUUCGUGCUUUUCGUAGUUUGAAGCCAAUUGUGGCAGCUCUGAUGAGGUUGUUUGUGUCUGGAAUAAAUGUCGAGCCGCUGACGAGACGGUGUGGCUACCGAUCAUUAGUGAGACAGUAAUGAGUAAAAGUUGGAAAAGGAAGAAAGGAUGACGAAAGUUAUGAGCCAUGGUUAACCAAAUAGAAAGAAAAGAAUUUUAAGUGUAUUUUUGUGUGGAUUGUUGUCUAUGUGUAGCAAGCCUUUUAUAGGAGAGGAUGAGAGAUGGUUUGGUGGGAUUUGGCUCCACGUUGUUUGUACCAAUUUCUCAUCUACAUAAUUGACUUAUGGUGGGAUUAUGUUAAGAAGGUGCUCAAUCUAUGUCAAAUAUUUUUACGUAAAAAUACAAAAUAUAAUCUUUCAAAUAUAUGAAAAAAAAUGUUAUAAAAAUUAAGUGUUUUUCUUUAUUUAGAUAAUAGUUUGUGAGAGCAUUUGAUUCGAGUAAUAUAAGAUUACUUUUCAUAAUAAGAUUACGAGGAUGUAAGAUUAUAAGUGGGAUGUUCCGUAUGUUAUAUUAUCUUAUUUGGUUAAUUUGAUUUGAAUUUUUGAUUUUGGUUAAGAGUACUUAAAAUUACCUAAAAGGACAUUUUUACUAAAUUGUCUUUGUUAUAGAAUUUAUUCUCUUAAUGUUUUUUGGUCUCAAUUUCUAUAAAAUUAUGAUAAAUUCGACUAACCAAACACCACAUUAAUAUUUUAUUUUUUUGGUGUGACCAGCCCACCUUGUUUUAAUUUCAUUUUAACAUUAUUCUGUGAGCAGUUGAACUAGACAAAGUGCCUUUAUCCAUUAUAGGCAAAAAUUGGCUCAUUGAAGGCAGCUCAAAAUUUGAUCACUCUUGGGUAGACCAGCCAACUGCUUGCAAAAAGUAUAAUGUUAUAUACUUUACGUAUAUCCCCACUGUCACAUUCACCAAAGUAUAAUUAUGAUUAAAUUAUUAAUAUUAUAUGUUAAAACCUAAUAAAAAAAGAUAUGGUCAAUCUUCAUUUCCCUCUUCUCUCCACCGUUUGCAAGAAAAAGAAACAAAAGAAGCCAUUUUUAAGCUCUUAGCAUUCGGCUAACCUCUGUUUUUGAAAUUGAUAAGUGAUUUUAAGCUUGUUUUUUUAUAAUUUUUAUAUUUUUGAAGUCUUAUAAGCUUGAUUUAACUAAUCAUGAAUUGGUGUCAUUUGGUUAGAUUUGAUGCUUAGAUAUGAAAAAGGAUUAAUUUCUAAAGUGAAAAUUUAUAGUUUUGAACUUAAGGAUUAAAGUGUAAAUAUUUCAAAAUUGGUUUGAAAUUUCUGUAAUUAUAGAUGAUAGAGGGUUAUAGAAGUAUGAAAUUGAAAUCAGAUUGAAAAAUGAAACUUAAAUUUGAAAGAUAUAGCUAUUUCGAUUUUAGGGAAUAAAUUUAAUAAAUUUUAAAACUUUAGGAAACUUAAUUGAACUGACUUAUAUUUAUAAUAGGAUGAUAUAAGGUGAUUGGAAUUGAUAAAUUGUAAUAAAUUAUUAUAGGUCGGAACUUUAAUAAACCAUAUGAUAAUUGAAGAAAAACGAAAAAUUGUAGAUUAAACCCUGACGUCAUGUCGUUAUGGUUUUGUCAGGUAAGUUUAUAUGGAGUUACUACUAUAAUACCCCAAACCCGGUCUAGAAUUUAUGACCGGAUCUUGAGGGUUACACUGACUACUUAAAGCUAGAUUAUUCACUUCCCAAAACUUUGCUUGAUCUUGCAUUAGUAAUUUUGUAAAAAAAAAAAUCAUUUACAUUUAUUUCCUAGAAAACUUAAUUAUUGUCAAAUAAGUAUUUUUGAAAACAUAUAUUACUUCCCACCAAAUCAAACUGAAAGUUGUAAUAUUAACUUAUUUACACUUUUUGAAAAAUAAAUUCACUUAUUCUGAAUUUGCAGCGGUAAAAAUUUUUAAACAUUUCAAUUUUGAAAAAAAAAUCGAACAUCCUUUUCAAAUAAUAGAAAAUUUAUGCAGAUUAUUUAAACUAAUUAUCUAAAAAACUCAACAAAACCCAAAACCAAAAUAAAAUUCCAAAAAUUAGUCCGACGGUCCAAAAGUACAUAAAUUUUAAUUAAUAAUUAUUUAAUAAAUAUUAUGUAAAAAUCAUGCAAAAAUCAUGUUUCAAAUAGUUACAAAUGCGUGACAUAUCUCACGAUGCAACAUGACAGAUAGAUCAAUUACUAAUACAAAUGCAAUUUCAGAUAUAGAUACAAAUACAGGUCCGACCCCAUCCGCUACACACUAUCUCCAUCCAUCCUUACACAGCAAAUGAGGUAAUAAAUACCCAUCCAACGCCACACACCAAUAAGUAAGCGUAUUUCACUUUUCAGAAUAUUGCAGUCAUGCUGCCAGAAAUAAUGCGGUAAUCCAUCAAAAUAGAUAAGUGCAGUCAAGCCACCAGAAUUGCAGUCAAGCUGCCAAAACAAAUAUGUGGUUAAACCACCAAAUAAGACAGAUCAUUAAAUUGCCGACACUUCUUCCGUCACAUAAUUCUCUCACCCCAAUGCACGUGCUGAAACAUAAUACAUACUCAGAUGCACACAGAUGAAUCAUGCUUUAGCAUAUUAGAAACAUGAUAACAGAGUUCUCAGAUUUGUAUAUCAAAUGCGAGAUUAUACUACUGAUGUAAUAUCCUGAUUUUGGGCCUAGUUGGAAUAGUGGUUUCGUGACGACAAAAUCCGAGAUAGAAAUAAUUAUUUUAUGAUUAUUUUAAGGUCUAUGAUAUGAUUGCAUGAUUGUGUGAAAAUUUCGUGAAGAAAUUUUAUGCAUAAAGUGCUUAAAUUGAAAUUAGGGACUAAAUCGAAUAAUUUGCAAAACUUGCAUUCUAGAAGUUUCUAGUAUGAAAUUGUUUUGAAAUAUUAAUUAGGAGGUCUUAAAUAGAAUUUUACCAAUUUCUAAGUCUAUGGACAAAAAUUGGACAUGGAUGGAAUUUUUGGAAAGUUUAGUAGUAAGGGCAUUUAGGUCAUUUAGGGGUAAAAUGAAUUAAAAUACAAAAUUAAUAGCCAAUUUUGCUCAUCUUCAACCCCAUGGCCGAAUAUAGCAAGAGAAACCAUGGAUAGGGUUUUUCAAGCUUCCAAGCUCGAUUUUAAGUCCGUUCUAGCCUCGUUUUUAAUGAUUUUUACGUUUUUGGAGUCUCGGUAGCUCGAUUUAGCUUAUGCUAGCAAUAAUUCAACCUAGAGUUCAUAUUUGGAAAAAUACCCAUAGGUAAAAUUUGUGUAUUUUGGUGUUUUAUGAUAGAAUAUGAGGUGUUAAAUUAUGUUAGACAACUUGUGCUACUCGGUUUUAAGUGAAAACAAGCAAAAGGGCUUAAUCGGUAAAAAUACCUAAUAGUCAUAAGUACAUGUUAGAGUGAGAAUUUGAUGUUGCCAUAGAAGGGAAAAAUGAUCAGCAUGUCAUAAAACAUAAGAAAAUAGGCUGAAGUUUAAUUUACGAGCUUUGGGGCAAAAGUUUAAAUAUGCAAAAGUUUAGGGGCAAAAUUUUAAUUUUUCUAAAAUAUGAUUUUGGGUCAAUUUGAAUAAUUUGAGUCCUAAUUAGACUAUAUUUUAAAUGAUAGAGCAAGGAAAACUGAAAUUUGGGCUAAAAUGGGAAAAUACCAAGUUGUGGACGAAAUGGUAAAAGUAGCCAUUUUCGCAUACGAGGUAAGUUCAUAUGUAAAUAAUGUAGCAUAAUUUUUAUUUUUAAGUUAUUGAUGUUAAUUAUAUGAUAUGCUGAUUUUUAUUAUGAAAUAUAUGCUUUGUGGUUAUUUUCGAAUAAAAUGCAAAUUAUGUGUAUUAAUUGUUAAAUAUAAAGUCCUACCGAGUAUUGGUUUUGGUAUUUUACGGAAGAUGGCAAGGAUAUGUGUUCGAGGAAAAUCCCGUUUGAACCUUAGGAAUAGAUUAGGAUACAAGUGACAUGUCACUGGGAUAUUUGGGCAUCCGAACUCGUUGAGUUGAGUCCGAGUUCACUUAUGGAUGCAAAUGUCCGAACUCGUUGAGUUGAGUCCGAGUUCGUGAGAUGUAACUAGGCAUCCGAGCUCGUUGAGUUGAUUCUGAGUUCACUUAUGGAUGCGAACGCCCGAACUCAUUGAGUUGAGUCCGAGUUCGCUUAUGGGCGGGUUACAUGGUAGCUUGGCUACAUAUGUGGCACUUAUGUGCAAACUUUCCAUGUAUCCGAAUUAUAUUCCGAUGUGUUCAACGGGUAAAGUUCUACUGAAAUGGAGGAAUACUCAAGAUGAAAGGGACGUAUUGGUAAGUGUUGUGAAAUGGGUACUUUGAACAGGUAUGUACUUAACCCUCGGGUUGAAAAAUCGAUAUAACAACAAUAUGGUAAGAUGAUAAAUGAAAAUGUGAUAUGAAUGUCUUGGUGAUGAUUAUGCAAAUGAUGUUUUAUAUUUGCUUAUAUGGUUAUGUUACUUGCUAUUUGCAUGUGAACUUAUUAAGCAUUUAUGCUUACUCCCUCCUUUUCAUUCCUUGUAGUUUUGACAAGCCAACUCGGAAAUCGGGAACGGUCGGAGGCUCGCUCACACUAUCCGUAUACCAUCUUGGCAUAAUGGCUUGUAUAUUUUGAGCAUGGCAUGUAUAGCAUUAUAAUCAUUUUGUAUAUAUGGUCUUAUGAUAUGGUUAUUGAGUGGUAUGGAAAUGCUUGAUAAUGAUUAGCCAUUGGAAUGGCUAAUCGUGAUCAUAUUUGGUGUUAUGUAUGUCAAAUUACUAGCUAAUCCAUAGAAAACCAUGAAAUAGGUAAAAUUUACCAUAAAAUAGAUUCAGACAGCAGUAGUAACGUAAAUUUGAAAAAUCACUAAAAAUAGUAGAAAUAGAAUUAAAUAAUGAAUAAGUUAUGGAAUCGGAGCUUGAUGAGUAUAUUUUCAUAUGGAAGAAGUGAAACAGGUAUAUGAGCUAUAUUUUAUGAGAUGUUUAAAUUUUUGUGAAACAGAGCCAGAGCAAUUUUUGGAUCCCCUGUUCAAAUUUUUUAAAUUCACCAUAAAUUUUACAAAGAUAAUUAGAAGUCAUGCUUUAUAUGUACAGAUUCAUUAUUGAGUCUAGUUUUAUUAGAGGCAAACUGCAUAGUUAUUGAAGCUCUGUACAGGGAGAUAUCUGAUUCGUAAUACACAGAGGUCAGAGUAGUCGAACCCUGAAAUAGGGGAGAAUUUAACUAAUAAACUGUACUAAUUUGCCUGACUAAAAAUUCUAGAAAAAAAUUUCUAGAUAGAUAUAUGAGUCUAGUUUCAGGAAAAAUUUACGGAAUUGGAUUUCGAGUUUUGGAACUCGAGAUAUGAUUUUUAAAGCGACUAUGAUGCAGUUAGUCAGCUUGUCUGGAAAUUUUAAAAUGAAUUGUAUGAGUUGUUUAAGUAAUGAAUUAAGUCCGUUAACACCUCGUGUUCGACUCCGGCAACGGUCUCGGGUACGGGGCGUUACAACUAACAUGCUUACAAGUGAUACACAUACAAUAUCAGUACCCCAGAUUUCUUAUAUCGGGAUCAUACAUAUCAUAUAUCAGACCCAAAGAAGUAGCUGACCUCAAAACGCACUUCAAACACGACCCUAACUAAAUUUUACUGAAAAUGGGCCCACAUAGCCGUGUCGCUUCAACAGUAACUUUUUUAGCUUUGAGUCGUUUGUUAUUUUUUGGGAUAGAACGUACACACCUAGUCGUUUUUCAAUGCAACCACAACAGCAAGGAUUCCAAAACCUAAAAUGACAUUUAGAAUGAACAAUUUAGCAAUCAUACACUAAAUCUAAGCAACUAAUUCAGCCACAACUGUUAACAUUUGGCCUUAAUAAACAGAGUCAACCCCUAAUCGAAAGCAUUAAUCACUUACCCAACAGAAUAGUAGCCCUACAAAUCCCUUAAUUCGUUGGAGAAACAUCGUACGCUUCAUGAUCUUCACCAACAAAAAACUCGAAAUGAUGAAUAUCGAAUAUUCAAGAAGAUCCCAAAAUCUCCCAACAUUCACAUGAAACAAAAUUAGUUAAUCUUACCACCAAAAAAUACACAUAGUAAUUGUAACGCCCUGAAUAAUUUAUUUUCAUUUCUGUAAAUAUCUGACACAAAUGUAUAUUUGUUUUAGUGGCUAAGUGUUUUAGGUGUGUGUGUGUGUGAGGUCUUGGGUUCAAGUUCCACUUUUGCCAAAUUUUUUUUAUUUUUCUGAUCCUAGCCUUACCCUUGUUGAGUGGGCUUUUAUAAAACAGCCUGUUAAUCCAUAUCAGAAUGAGCUACUGGUUCGAGUGGUAAGGGUGUUGAUGUAACACCCUAAACCCAACCUAGAAGUUUAGACCGAAUUCUGGAUGCUACAUUGAUCACCGAAGUGAUCGUAGAAAAAUUUUUACAAAUCAGUUUAUAUGUCGGUUCAUAAUACUUAAUCAUUUAAAAUCAGUUAGUAAAAUUACAGCUGAGAUAGUAUAUAUAUAAACGGAAUAAAAACGAUUAAAACUUUAACUUGAAAUUUGUACCACAGCUUUAUAAAAAUCUUACAGUUCAAAACCAAAUAAUCAAAUAGAUACUGAAAAUCCAAACUGAUAAUAAUUAAUUUUCAUCGAGACUAUCUGAGACAUCCGCACACUGAGUCUAGUGUCAGAUUUUAAAAAAGGUACCUGAAAAGGAAACACUAAAAGGGGGUGAGCUAUUCGAGCUCAGUGUAAGUUUGAAAACUGUUAAAAACAAAGUUUAGAAGAGAACACCAGAUGGUUGUUCAAAACAAACAUACUUACAGAGUAAGUCGAAACAAAUACUAGAUAAGGAGCCAAUGUCCCAACACGCAAUCAGAACAGAUCACACCAAGUCACACACAGAAUUCGAAAGACCAAUCCAACCCAACACACCACAUAUGUGGACUAAGCCACUCAGAUAAUAAUACACAGCAGAGCUGGCGUAUAUGUUGUAUAGUACAAUGCAGUAAUCUGCUGUACAGUCCUGGUAUGUGGUAGCUCGUUGUGGUAUCGGUUUAAGUGGCUAAUGCGGUGUUUCAUCGAUCAGCUAUAGGUUCUGGUGGUCUUAGGAUUGCAUUUGUUGCAAAAGUGAACAAGGUGUGUACCUGAAUCACGAAAAAUCGAGCUUCAGCGAAAGCGAAAAACUUUUUUGUCGAUGCCACAUGGGUGUGUGUCUGACGAAGGUGAGGUCGUGUGCAAGACACGACCGUUUGAUAGUAUGGGCGUGGCCGUGUGAGCCACACGGGCUAAACCGAGUUGGGCGUGUGGAUUUUGGACCAGGCCGUGUGGGCCACACAGGUACGACCAAUCUGGGAGUGUGGGCCACAUGGGCAUGCCACACGGGCAUGUGGGCCCAUUUUUCUGACAUUCUCCCUAAGGUCGCACAGGUCGUUCUAAGCCACACGGGCAUGUGGGCCCAUUUUUCUGACAUUCUCCCUAAGGUUGCACAGGUCGUUCUAAUUGACUGUGGGUCUACCGUAGGGUCAGUAAGGGCCAACGAAACCCUAAAACUAUGGAAUCUGAUUGUAUAAUAUUUUGUUUUGAGUAUGAUACUAUUAUGCAUGUCUGAUUGUUCCGUUAGAUGUAUAUCUGUUAUAUGUAUUUAAGCAUGUUGAGCAUGUUUAAUCUAUUAUUUUUGCAUCUGUUUUGGGGUGGGAUUGGAUAUAUGUGGAGGAAGUGUAAUAGCCUAAAUUUUCAGUGGUGUCAGAACAGUGAUUCGAGAUCACUAAAUCCGGCAAAUGAGUAGAAGAUAUUAAUAAUUUAGUGAAUAUAAGUUAAAUGUGAAGUUAGGAAAAUUUUUGAAAUAGCGAAUAGUGUACUAGAAAUAAAUAUUUAAAAAAAUCAGAAUUAGAAACAAGGUAUCGAGAGUUUGAAAUUUUUAAAAUGAGCCAUAAAUAUUUUUAUAAAUAUUUAUGGAGUGUUAAUAAGUUAGUAUUAAAGUUUCGUCAAGAAAUUUUAAAGUUCUGAUAGUUAAUUGAAUAAAAAGGACUAAAUUGUAACAAAUGUAAAAUUAUGGAAAAUGAUUAAAUAGCUUAAAUGAUAAAAGAAAGAGGGUUUAAAAGGAAGGUAUAUUUGGGCUGGAUGGCAAGAGGCAUGAAAUCAGUAGGAAAAUUGAUGAAUUAAGGGCAAAAUUGGAAUAUUGCAAAAUUUACUUAAUAAAGCUAGGACUAAAGUGGAAUUAUCUAGAUUUCUCUUUAUUUUUUUGAAUUCUCAUCAGAAAAAACACCAUAGAAGGCUUUCCUUAAGCUGGUUUUUCAUAUUUUUACUGCAAGUAAGUUCAAUUCUUGAUUAUUUCUUGAAUUUUUUGUGUUUUUAUGAUUUUUACAACUAGGUCCACUUGUUGAAUUCACUAGUUUUUGAUUCUAUGAAAGAAAUUGGAAGUUGCUAUGAAUAUGUUAUGGAAGUAUAUGAUGAUUUAGCAUGGAAUUAGAGCUUUAAACUGUUUAUAUGCUGAUUUUAUUGAAAGAAUUGAAUAGAAAGUGAAUGUUUGGGACCUGAUGGUGAAAGAGUUUGAAGUUAAGGUUUUAUGUGGAAAUUCUGAAUUUUAAUAGUUGUGAAAUAACUUAUAAUGUCUAGGUAAAGUAUUAAUUAAGAAAAAUCAGCUCAAUUGAGAGGCUAAUUGAGUAGGGAUGAAAUUGUUAUUUAUUAAAAGCUUGCACUAAAACAAUUUUGGACAGCAGCAGUAGACUAACUUUGAAAAAUCACCAUAAAUUGUAUAAAUCUAAUUAAAAGAUGAAAAAAAUAUUAAAUUAAAUAUUAUUGAGUCUAGUUUCUCAUAGAAGAAAUUUUGUAAGCAAUGGAUUUGUAAAUCAUGAGAUAUAAUGAAUUUUAUGAGAUAAGUUCAGAAUGAAAUAGAGUUCCCCUGUUCUAAAUUUAAAAAAUAAUAAAAAAUUUAAUAAAAAUAAUUAGGGGCUUAAAUUUAUAUGUAUAGAAUCCUAAAUGAGUCUAUUUUCAAUAAAAACAAUCUAGAAUAUCAUCUGAAUUCCGUACAAGGAGAUAAUUAUUUUUUAGUGAAGAAGGGUUGGAACUGUCAGACAGCAGAAUAGGGGUGACUUUAAAGAAUAAACUGUACUUAUUGGCUAAACCAAAAAUUCUGAAAAUUUUAUGAUAAGAAGAUAUGUGAGUCUAGUUUCAGAGAAAAUUAGCGGAUCCUAAUUUGAAGUUCUGUAGAUACAGAUAAAAAUAAUUUAGUGACUAUGACAUGGACGGACAACAUUGAAUAUACAUAGAUAAAUAGUGAAAUUGCAGAUAAUGUUACUUAUAAGUGGGUUAUAAACAUUAAGGAUGUGAAGUAGAACGAAUGUGAAGUCAAUACUGAUAAGUGAAAAAUUUUAUAUUAUAGAUCAAGAAAUCGAGGAUACACGAGGAAAAGAUAAAAUUCCGGAAUAGUUCCAGAAAUCUCUACAACUACUGCAAAUUGUUCCGGGUAAGUUCGUACGGUUAAAUUAUUAAAUUUCAAUAUUAUUUUAUGAAUGGUGAUUAAUAUUUAUGUAUGUUAAUUGUUGAAAAUAAUUAAAUUGCAUACAAAAUUUAUGAAAUUGAACUGAGUAUUUCGGAGGAACGGAACGCAGGAAAUGAGUACGAUCUUUCAGUGAAAAAGAUGAAUUGACGGUAAAUUACCCAAGUAAACUGAGAUUCAAUAUUUGUUGCGAAUUCUCGUGUUUUCUUUCUGUUUAGCUCUUACGAGCUUCCGUUAACUCAUAUGAGUUUCAAUUAACCCUUUUGGGGUUUCAGUUCAGCUCUGGUGAGCUUCAGUUAGCCUUCGGGCUUCCAUUUAGCACUUAUGUGCAUCAGUUAGUCUUCGGGCUUCAGAUCACAAUGUACUCAAAUCCGUAAGUUGUUCCUUAAAUGGACAAGUUGGUAAGUCAUAAUUGUAAGUGUGGAAAAAGAAAUGUAAGUAAUGUUAUCAUUAUUUUUUAGCUCAAUUAAGUAAAUUAUUUUUAAAAUGAGAUUAUGACAUACAGGAUGAAAGUAACUUACUUGAAAUGUCCAUAUGAUUUGAAUUUUGGAAACCAAUAUUUGGUAAGGUUUAUGGUUUAAGCCGACGAACUUACUAAGCUAUAGUCAACUUACUUGUAAUGUUUAUUGCUCUUUGUAGAUUAACGGGAGGGUUAGAGGAUUGGAUCAUCACACUCAAGUCACACUAUCUCAAUUUUCCAGUAGAUUUUGUUAUAAAUACUUUAAAUGGUUUAUAUGGCAUGUAUAGGAGCUUAUAUGACUAUGUUUUGUAUCAACUCAUGAAUAUAUUAGUUAAGUUAAUAUAAGUUGAUAUAUGACAUGAAUGGAAAUUAAUUAAGAUGUUUAAAUAUUACUUGAAAGUAUGAAUGGAUAUAAUGUUAGAUAAAAUAAGGAUUAGCGAUAUUGUUAUGAAACGAAUGUGAUUUGGAUGAAGAUUGUAUUUGUUGAGUUGCUGUUUUUGUGUUGAAUUGGUUGCAAAUUUUAAACUGCAGGGAAGGUUAGAUGUUUCUAAAGUGGUUAUAUUGAAUUUUUUUUAAAUAAUUGUAAUAAUUAUUAUAUUACGAAAAAUUUUCGGAGUACUUGAAUAAGUCCCUAUUCAUUUAUAAUGUCGAGACCAUUCUUAAAUCGAGUUUGAAAUAAAACGGGGUUCUACUUUGAAAAAACGAAAACAGGAGUCGCAACCAAUCUUUUUAGGUGUGAUUGGAUCACCUUUGAAAACAUUUUGUUUAAAAAUCAUUAGUUUUGGUCUACGAAAUCAGAAAACGGGUUCGAGAGCCGGUUACGUACGAGGAAGGGUUAGCACCCUCGUAACACCCAAAAAUUGGUACCUAAUUGAUUAUCAAGUGCCUUUAAUGUCGGAAAUUUAAAAAUUUUAAGAUGCAAUCCUCUUUUAAUAUUUUUGACUUUGAAAAUUAGGGUUCACUUGUAUCAAAUAAAUUAAAAUAUUACAUCCAAUAAGUUAGGGCACAAUAUUUUUAAGAUAUCUGACACUAAGUUAGCCUUGUUGGAAAUCCCUAUCUCCAAACAACGAAACGCCAUAUCCAGUAAGUUAGGACACAACGCCUUGAAAUUCUGAGACAGUUGCUUGCACUUAGAAAACCUUAAAAACUUAGAAGGGUGCUUGACUAUUCGAACUCAACGAGAAAAGUUGCAACCCAAUAAGUUAGGGCACUAUUUUUCUCGAAAAUUUCAAACACCAAGCAUUGCCUUUAUUUUUUUGAAAACUUUAGAGUCUCGUUUUUUAAGAUUGAUGCAUGAAGGAGUAUAUUAACAUAACAUACGAGAUAACAUGUUAUAGUAAAAGCACAAUAGCAUGAAUAUCAUACAUUAACUAACAUAUACAUAUAAGAAACAUGGCAAAUUUUAAAUAAGUAAAAUAUACAUAAAACACAAUAUAUAUUUAAGAAGAAUAGGUAAAAACAUAUAAACAUGUAAUUCAUCAUAUAUUUAAACAUAUUGAUAAUAAAAAUGAUGCAUGAUAUACAAUUUGACACAUAUGUAUAAAUAAUAAUAAUAUGCCAAACACUCAACAUUUAAUUAUGAGACCAACAUUUAAUAUAUUAACAUAAUAUAUAAAAAAAAGGGGUUGUGUAUAUAUAUUAAAAUAUAAAUAAAGUGAGUAAUUUUUUUAAAAAUGUGUGAAUUAAAAUCAAAUUUUCGGCAAUGUAAUGCUGAUAUAAUAUACAUAAUAACUUUAGUUUUAGGAUAAUAAUAAAAUAAUAAAAUAUAAAUACUAUGUUAUUGUACUAUGUAAAAUAUAAGAUAAUAAACAUAUUGUAUAAUAAUAUAUAAAAUACUAAUUUUAUAGUUUUGGAUAAAAAUAUACAUAGGUUUUAAAAAAUAUAAAGGAAAUAAUUAAUACAAUAUUUAGUAUCAAUUUAUUAUGAAAAUAAUAAUGUGAAUAAUAAUAUACAUGAAAAAAAUAUAUAAUAGAUAAUAAUAAUAUGAAAUAAUAUAUUGUUAAAAUGUAAAAUAAUAUAUAAAUAUAUAAAUAUUAUGUGAUAAAAAUAUAAUAUAAUAAAUAAUAAGUAAUGAUAUAUGUUAAAAUAUAUAUUAAUAUGAUAAUAGAAAAAUAUGAAGUAAUAUAAUAUAAUAAAAUAUAAAUAAAUAAUAAUAUAAAAUAUAUAAUACAUAAAAUAAUAUAUAUACAAUUUAAAAUAAAUAAGUUAUAAAUAAUUUUAAAAGGAAUAAAGGGACUAAAAUUAAAUUUAAAUAAAAAUCAGUGGUUAAUUUGAUAAUAAAAGAAACGGAUUUGGACUUAAUUGAAAUGCCCAUUAAAAUCUUACGGACUCAUUGGGAAAUUUUCCCUUGUCCCAGAACGGUACCGUUUUAACCUAGGCCUUAAAGUGACCACAAUUAGGAUUAAAUUAAAACCGAAAUAAAACCUUAGGGAUAAUUUAUAAAUAAUUAAAAAUGAAAUUUAAAAAACAAAUUAAAAAAAGAAAAAAAUUGGAAGGACCAUUAGGGCAAUUAGACCUUUAUUUAAAAACACGCGGAUCCUUCCCGGGUCACGGGUCAACACGCGGAUCCUAGGGCCUUAAAACGACAUCAUUUUUGGCUUAUGGGACUAAACCAAAACGGGGCCGUUUUGAAAGGGCUAUAUAAGCCCAAUAUUAGGCCAAAAAAUCAUUUCGGUCCCCCUUUUUUAAAAAAAAAAACUGAGAAUUCUCUCUGAGCCUUCCUGGCUCUCCUGAGCUCCGGCCCUUAGUCGAUGGUCCUCCGUUCAUCGGACCACAGUGUUUCCCCUCACGCGCCGUCACCGACUCCGCCGUGUAUGACGGUCGAGACCUAAAAGUUUCGUCUUUCCGAGGUGAAACAGAAGGUACUGUUCUCCUUUUCUUUAUUUCUUUCCUUUGUAAAAAAAACUUAAAUAUGUUAUGCAUGCAAAAGAAGUAAACUAGUAAAACCGAAAACAAAAUAAAAGAGACGAUCUAUUACCCUUUCAAAAAGAUCUGCUUUAUUUCUCUGCCUUUUGAUCGAAUACAAAAAUUUUAUGACGUUUUCUGUGUAUAUUUGUCUAUCUAUGCUUCUUGUUUUCUCUCUGUAUAUCUAUGUGUGCGUAUAAGCCUCCUCCUUUUUACAAGUGAAAGGGAAGGCUUUAUAGCCUUAGUCCCUUACAUAUUCUGGGAAAGAAAUCUAUGAUUUCUUUCCAUUUCGUGUCUUCUGUAUCUUUGACUAAUAUGCUGUGAUUUUCUUGCCAUUUCCUGCUCUACUUUUUCGCGUAUGUGCUGUUUGUUUCCUUUUCUUGCAGGUAACUCGCGAAGAUCUCGGUGGCUGGGCUUGCAGUCAUGGAUUCGAAUCUCGGCAGAUGCCCAUUUGUGCACUGAUGACCACAAGACAGUCUCUUUUGCGGAGAUCUCAGCGUCAAAGGAGGUACCGAGGUCGGAGGUGAGGCCUAGUAUUACGGUGCACCGACGGUGGUGACGUUCUGUAAUAGCCUAAAUUUUUAGUGGUGUCGGAACAGUGAUUCGAGAUCACUAAAUCUGACAAAUGAGUAGAAAAUAUUAAUAAUUUAGUGAAUAUAAGUUAAGUGUGAAGUUAGGAAAAUUUUUGAAAUAGCGAAUAGUGUACUAGAAAUAAGAAAUUUUAAAAAUUAGAAUCGGAUAUGAGAUAUCGAGAGUUUGAAAAUUUUAAAACUAGCCAUAAAUAUUUUUAUAAAUAUUUAUGGAGUGUUAAUAAGUUAGUAUUAAAGUUUUGUUAAGAAAUUUUAAAGUUUCGAUAGUUAAUUGAAUAAAAAGGAUUAAAUUGUAACAAAUGUAAAAUUAUGGGAAAUGGUUAAAUAGCUUAAAUGAUAAAAGAAAGAGGGUUUAAAAGGCAAAUAGACCCAAGGUUUAUUUGGGCUGGACGGCAAGAGGCAUGAAAUCAGCAGGAAAAUUGAUGAAUUAAGGGCAAAAUUGGAAUAUUGCAAAAUUUACUUAAUAAAGCUAGGACUAAAGUGGAAUUAUCUAGAUUUCUCAUUAUUUUUUUGCAUUCUCAUCAGCAAAAACACCAUAGAAGGGUUUUCUUAAGCUGGUUUUUCAUAUUUUUACUGCAAAUCAAGAAAUCAAGGAUAAACGAGAAAAAGAGAAAAUUCCGGAAUAGUUCUAGAAAUCUCUACAACUACUGCAAAUUGUUCCGGGUAAGUUCGUACGAUUAAAUUAUUAAAUUUCAAUGUUAUUUUAUGAAUGGUGAUUAAUAUUUAUGUAUGUUAAUUGUUGAAAAUAAUUAAAUCAUGUACAAAAGUUACGAAAUUGAACUGAGUAUUUCGGAGGAACGGAACGCAGGAAAUGAGUACGAACGUUCGAUGAAAAAGACGAAUUGACGGUAAAUUACCCAAGUAAACCGAGAUUCAGCAUUUGUUGCGAACUCUCGUGUUUGCUUUUUGUUUAGCUCUUACGAGCUUCCGUUAACUCAUAUGAGUUUCAGUUAACCCUUUUGGGGUUUCAGUUCAGCUCUGAUGAGCUUCAGUUAGCCUUCGGGCUUCUGUUUAGCACUUAUGUGCUUCAAUUAGCCUUUGGGCUUCCGUUUAGCACUUAUGUGCUUCAGUUAGAUUUCGGGUUUCAGAUCACGAUGUACUCAAACCCAUAAGUCAUUCCUUAAAUUGACAAGUCGGUAAGUCGUAAUUGUAACGUGUGGAAAAAGAAAUGUAAAUAAUGUUAUCAUUAUUUUUGAGCUCAAUUAAGUAAAUUAUUUUUAAAAUGAGUUAUGAUUUACAGGAUGAAAGUAACUUACUUGAAAUGUCCAUAUGAUUUGAAUUUUUGAAACUAAUAUUAGUAAGGUUUAUGGUUAAGCCGAUGAACUUACUAAGCUAUAGUUAGCUUACCUAUAAUGUUUAUUGCUCUUUGUAGAUUAACGGAAGGGUCAAAAGAUCGGAUCAUCACACUCAAGUCACACUAUCUCGAUUUUCCGGUAGAUUUUGUUAUAAAUACUUUAAAUGGUUUAUAUAGCAUGUAUAGGAGCUUAUGUGACUAUGUUUUGUAUCAACUCAUGAAUAUAUUAGUUAAGUUAAUAUAAGUUGAUAUAUGAUAUGAAUGGAAAUUAAUUAAGAUGUUUAAAUACUACUUGAAAGUAUGAAUGGAUAUAAUGUUAGAUAAAAUAAGGAUUAGUGAUAUUGUUAUAAGACGAAUGUGAUUUGGAUGAAGAUUGUUUUUGUUGAGUUGUUGUUGUGUUGAGUUAGUCGCAAAUUUGAAAUUGUAGGGAAGGUUAGAUGUUUCUAAAAGGGUUAUAUUAAUUUUUUUUUUUAAAAUUAUAAUUAUUAUUAUAUUACGAAAAAUUUUCAGAGUACUUGAAUAAGUCCCUAUUCGUUUAUAAUACGUAAUUUAGGCCUCGAGGUUUCAUAAAAGAGACUUAAUGAUUUAAUUUUAAUAUAUUUGUUGUUUAUUCAUGAAUUGUUUGUAAAUUAACCAAUAUGUUCGGUAACGCCUCGUAACCCUAUUUCGGCGACUGUUUCAGAUUAGGGGGUGUUACAUUUAUUGGUAUCAAAGCCCAGUUUAGCCGAUUCUCGGAAUAGACAUGAUACGUAAAAUGUUUAGAAAUACAUGCCAUAUAAAUCUGUGAUAGUGUGAUGCGUAUGAUCUGAUUUAACCCUUGUUUUUUUAAUAGAUUGUAAAGAUGUCGGAUAGACCUGAACAUACUGAAUAGAAAGAAGCAAAUAGUACAGUAUAGACAUCUGAACAACGGACAAGAAGCGAUGUUCCAAUUUCCUUGAUGCGAGAACAAGAACUUAGAAACAUGAUUAUUGGAGUAAUGAAUCAUUGGUAUAAUGAGAGGAUGCAGGAAAGGAAUCAGACCCAGCAACCUCUUCCCCCUAUAGUACCACCAGUAAUAUCCUCGGUUGCUCCUCCACCUCCUCCUCCGGCAACUGAAUCAAGUAAGAGAACUCCGGUAGAAAAACUCAAAAAAUUUGGGGCUGAAGAAUUUCGGAGCAGGUCAAAUGAUGAUCCAAUAAAAGCUGAGUAUUGGUUGCAUAGCACAAUAAGAGUUUUUAAAGAAAUGGCUUGUUCUCCAGUUGACUAUUUAAGGUAUGUUGUUUCCUUGUUAAAAGAAGAAGCAUAUCACCAGUGGGAGACAAUAGAAGCUGUGGUACCAGCCGAUAAACUUACUUGGGAAUUUUUCCAAGCUGAGUUUAAAAAGAAAUAUGUUGGUAAAAGAUAUUUAGAAAAGAAAAAGAGAGAAUUUCUUGAUCUUCGACAGGGAAAUCGGACAGUAGCUGAGUAUGAGAGGGAGUUUGUAUACCUUAGCAGAUAUGCUCGAGAGAUUGUUCCUAUAGAAGAAGACAUGUGUGUUCGAUUUGAAGAAGGUCUGAAUGAUGAAAUCAGAAUGAUGAUAGGUGGUACGGAAAUUCGAGAAUUUAUAGUGUUAUCCGAUCGAGCUCAAAAGAUGGAAGAAGCGUACAACAGAAAGAUGCAACGAGAAAGAAGAAAUAAAUAAUCUUAUAAAAGAAGCUCCUCCAAAACAUUUUCAGUAUUUCCGAUUAAAAAUUUUAAGGAGGAUUCCAUUAGAGCUACAUCGGUACCUGAACGAUUGAAGACUAGAGUAACUCAACCUGAUCGUGGAAUAUCAAUCAGAUCAAUUGCUAGUGAAGCCAGUGUACAAAAUACUCCCAGGUCUAAAUGUCAACACUGUGGAAAAUACCACUUGGGUGAAUGCAGAGGUAAAACAGGAGCUUGCUACAAAUUUGGAGCUACUGAUCAUUUUAUCCGGAAUUGUCCUCUAUUACAAAAAGAUGCAGAAGAACAAAAGGAGAAACAGAUGACUACUUCUUAGAGAAGUAAACAUUCGAGUCAAAGCAGUGCUGCAAGAGCUACUCGCUCGAGUGCAAAAGAUUCUGUUGCUCGGUCAGAGGUUAGAGCAUCAGCACGUACAUAAGCCAUCAGAGCUAGAGAAGAAGCCACGGCUCCAGACAUUAUUGCUGGUACUUUCUAUCUCUUUGAUGUUAUUGUAUAUGCAUUAAUUGACCCAGGGUCUACACAUUCUUAUAUUUGCACAGUAUUAGCAUUAGAAAAUAAAUUGUCUAUUGAACCAACUGAAUGUGAUAUUCAAGUUACUAAUCCGUUAGGACAAAAGGUGAUGAUAAAUUUAGUGUGUCGAAAUUGUCCACUGAAAAUAAAAUGCUGUGAGUUCCCUGCUGAUUUAAUGUUGCUACCUUUUUGGGAAUUUGAUGUUAUAUUGGGAAUGGAUUGGUUGACAAAAUAUGAUGCUGUGGUAAAUUGUCGUGAGAAGCGGAUCAGUUUGAAAUGUCGGACAGGUGAUAUACUUUCUGUUGAGCCUGAGAAUUCAAAUGAUGUUGUUAAAAUUAUUUCAGCUUUUUCGGCUCAGAGGUUAAUGCGGAAGGGUAAUAAAGUAUUUUUAGCUUACAUACUUGAUACUCAAGGAUCUAAACCAAAACUAGAACAGUUGCCGGUUGUUAAUGAAUUUUCUAACGUAUUUCCUGAAGAAUUACCGAAUUUACCACCAGAUCGGGAAGUUUAAUUUGUGAUUGAUGUAGUAUCGGGGACAGCUCCUAUAUCAAUGACACCAUACCGUAUGGCACCAGCUGAGUUAAAAGAGCUGAAGACACAAUUGCAAGAAUUACUAGACAAAGGGUUUAUUAGACCGAGUAUGUCACAUUGGGGUGCACCAGUUUUGUUUGUGAAAAAGAAAGACGAAUCUCUAAGACUGUGCAUAGACUACAGGCAGCUAAACAGGGUUACAAUUAAAAAUAAAUAUCCUUUGCCUCGCAUUGAUGAUUUGUUUGAUUAGUUGAAAGGUGCUGCCGUGUUUUCAAAGAUAGAUCUUCGAUCCGGAUAUUAUCAACUGAAAGUUAAAGAAUGUGAUGUGCCGAAAACUGCCUUCAGAACUCGGUAUGGUCAUUACGAGUUUUUGGUAAUGCCUUUUGGUUUAACUAAUGCCCCUGCUGCAUUUAUGGACUUAAUGAAUCGGACUUUUCAGCCUUAUUUGGAUAGAUUUGUAGUUGUGUUUAUUGAUGAUAUACUAAUCUAUUCAAAGAUAGAACCCGAGCAUGCUCAACAUUUAAGGAUAGUGUUACAAACUUUGCGAGAAAAGCAAUUAUAUGCAAAAUUCAGUAAAUGUGAAUUUUGGCUUCAUGAGGUGGGAUUUCUGGGUCACAUUGUUUCAGCCGAAGGGAUUCGAGCAGAUCCGAAUAAAGUGUCUGCAGUGGUAAAUUGGAAAACUCCAAAGAAUGUAAUGAAAGUACGAAGUUUUCUGGGUUUAGCUAGAUAUUAUCGUCGUUUUAUUAAAAAUUUGUCAAUGAUUGCUUCACCUAUGACACGAUUGCUAUAGAAAAAUGUUGAGUUUGUGUGGUCCGACGAAUGCCAGCAAAGUUUCGAUCAAUUGAAGAAUAUGUUCACAAAAGCUCUAGUGUUGACUCAACCAGAAUCAGGUGUGCCAUAUGUUGUAUACAGUGAUGCAUCUUUGAAUGGUUUAGGUUGUGUGCUGAUGCAGUCGGGAAAAGUGGUGGCCUAUGCUUCUCGGCAGCUAAAAUCACACGAGAAGAAUUAUCCUACGCAUGAUUUAGAGUUGGCUGCAAUUGUUUUUGCUUUGAAAAUUUGGAGACAUUAUUUAUAUGGUGAAAAAUGUUAUGUGUAUACAGUUCAUAAAAGUUUGAAGUAUUUGACGACGCAGAAAGAGUUGAAUUUUAGACAGAGAAGAUGGCUCAAGUUAUUAAAAGAUUAUGACAUUUUUAUCGAUUAUCAUCCGGGGAAGGCUAAUAUAGUUGCGGAUGCACUCAGUCAGAAAUCAUCUUUGUUUGCACUCCGGUCAAUAAAUGCCCAUUUGUUAGUGAAGAUGGAUUUGUAAUAGCGGAAUUGAAAGCCAAACCUGUGUUUCUCCAACGAAUUCGGGAGUUGCAAGAUGAAGAUUCAAAGUUGGUAUUAAAGAAACCAAUAGCUCGAGACAAGCAGGAUUCAGGGUAUAACAUUGAUGAGAAUAGUAUGUUAUACUAUCGUAAAAGAAUUUGCAUUCCAAAUAAUUCAGACUUGAAAAAUGAUAUUCUUUCUGAAGCUCACAGUAGUAGGUAUUCUAUUCACCCUGGAAGUACAAAAAUGUAUUGUGAUUUGAAACAGAUGUAUUGGUGGCCUGGUAUGAAAAGGGAAAUUUGUGAGUUUGUAGCAAAGCGUUUAAUAUGUCAACAGGUGAAAGCAGAACAUCAAGUACCAACGGGUUUAUUACAACAUAUUAUAAUUCCAGAGUGGAAGUGGGAACAUGUUACGAUGGAUUUUGUAUCCGGGUUACCUGUGACCCCAAAGAAAAAAGAUUCAAUCUGGGUAAUUGUCAAUAGAUUGACAAAAUCAGCACAUUUUAUUCCAGUCAGAACAGAUUUUCCACUGGAGAAGUUAGCAGAACUGUAUAUUUCUGAGAUUGUGAGGUUACAUGGGGUUCCAACAUCCAUUAUUUCGGAUCAAGAUCCAAGGUUUACAUCAAGGUUUUGGAGCAAACUACAGGAAGCUUUAGGCACAAAGCUAAAUUUUAGUACCGCUUUUCAUCCUCAGAAUGAUAGGCAAUCAGAGCGGGUAAUUCAGAUUUUGGAAGACAUGUUGAGAUGUUGUAUACUUGAGUUUGGUGAUAGUUGGGAAAAGUAUUUACCACUGGCUGAAUUUGCUUACAACAACAGUUAUCAAUCCAGUAUAAAGAUGGCGCCAUUUGAAGCUUUAUAUGGAAGAAAAUGUAAGACUUAAUUGCAUUGGUUAGAAUUGAGUGAAUCCAAGCUAGUGGGGGUCGAUUUAAUUCGAGAAACUGAAGAAAAGGUUCAGAUUAUCCGAGAUUGUCUGAAAGCUACUUCGGAUCGUCAGAAAUCAUAUGCUGACUUGAAAAGAAGAGAAAUAGAGUUUAAUGUGGGUGAUCAAGUAUUCUUAAAGGUGUCGCCGUGGAAAAAAGUAUUACGAUUUGGCAGAAAAGGAAAACUAAGUCCAAGAUUUAUUGGACCAUACGAGAUUAUUGAAAGAGUCGGCCCUGUAGCAUAUCAGUUAGCUUUACCUCCAGAGCUUGAGAAGAUUCAUAAUGUGUUCCAUGUGUCUAUGCUGAGACGUUAUAGAUCAGACCCUUCACAUGUGAUUCCGCAUACAGAAAUUCAGCUUCAGUCAGAUAUAACUUAUUCAGAAGAACCGGUGAAGAUUUUAGCUCGGGAAAUUAAAGAACUGCAGAAUAAAAAGGUACCAUUAGUUAAAGUAUUGUGGCAUCGACAUGGUGUGGAGGAAGCAACCUGGGAAACAGAGGAAUCAAUGAAAUCACAAUAUCCGAACCUAUUUUCAGGUAACAUAUUUUGAGGACGAAAUUUCUUAAAAGGGGGAGAAUUGUAAUAGCCUAAAUUUUCAGUGGUGUCGAAACAGUGAUUCGAGAUCACUAAAUCCGAAAAAUGAGUAGAAAAUAUUAAUAAUUUAAUGAAUAUAAGUUAAGUGUGAAGUUAGGAAAAUUUUUGAAAUAGCGACUAGUGUACUAGAAAUAAAAAAAUUUAAAAAUUAAAAUCAGAUAUGAGAUAUCGAGAGUUUGAAAAUUUUAAAACGAGCCAUAAAUAUUAAAUAUUUAUGGAGUGUUAAUAAGCUAGUAUUAAAGUUUCGUUAAGAAAUUUUAAAGUUUCGAUAGUUAAUUGAAUAAAAAGGAUUAAAUUGAAACAAAUGUAAAAUUAUGGAAAAUGAUUAAAUAGCUUAAAUGAUAAAAGAAAAAGGGUUUAAAAGGCAAAUAGACCCAAGGUCUAUUUGGGCUGGACGGCAAGAGGCAUGAAAUCAGCAGGAAAAUUGAUAAAUUAAGGGCAAAAUUGGAAUAUUGCAAAAUUUACUUAAUAAACCUAGGACUAAAGUGGAAUUAUCUAGAUUUCUCAUUAUUUUUCUGCAUUCUCAUCAGUAAAAACACCAUAGAAGGGUUUUCUUAAGCUGGUUUUUCAUAUUUUUACUGCAAAUCAAGAAAUCGAGGAUAAACGAGGAAAAGAGAAAAUUCCAGAAUAGUUCCAGAAAUCUCUACAACUAUUGCAAAUUGUUCCGGGUAAGUUCGUACGGUUAAAUGAUUAAAUUUCAAUGUUAUUUUAUGAAUGGUGAUUAAUAUUUAUGUAUGUUAAUUGUUGAAAAUAAUUAAAUCAUGUACAAAAGUUACGAAAUUGAACUGAGUAUUUCGGAGGAAUGGAACGCAGGAAAUGAGUAUGAGCGUUCGAUAAAAAAGAUGAAUUGACGAUAAAUUACCCAAGUAAACCGAGAUUCAGCAUUUGUUGCGAACUCUCGUGUUUGCUUUUUGUUUAGCUCUUACGAGCUUCCAUUAACUCAUAUUAGUUUCAAUUAACCCUUUUGGGGUUUUAGUUCAACUCUAAUGAGCUUCAGUUAGCCUUCGGGCUUCCGUUUAGCACUUAUGUGCUUCAGUUAGAUUUCAGGUUUCAGAUCACGAUGUACUUAAAUCCGUAAGUCAUUCCUUAAAUUGGCAAGUCGGUAAGUCGUAAUUGUAACGUGUGGAAAAAGAAAUGUAAAUAAUGUUAUCAUUAUUUUUUAGCUCAAUUAAGUAAAUUAUUUUUAAAAUGAGAUUAUGAUUAUGAUUUACAGGAUGAAAGUAACUUACUUGAAAUGUCCAUAUGAUUUGAAUUUUUGAAACUAAUAUUGGUAAGGUUUUUAGUUUAAGCCGACGAACUUACUAAGCUAUAGUUAGCUUACCUGUAAUGUUUAUUGCUCUUUGUAGAUUAACGGGAGGGUCAGAGGAUCGGAUCAUCACACUCAAGUCACACUAUAUCGAUUUUCCAGUAGAUUUUGUUAUAAAUACUUUAAAUGGUUUAUAUGGCAUGUAUAGGAGCUUAUGUGACUAUGUUUUGUAUCAACUCAUGAAUAUAUUAGUUAAGUUAAUAUAAGUUGAUAUAUGAUAUGAAUGGAAAUUAAUUAAGAUGUUUAAGUACUACUUGAAAGUAUGAAUGGAUAUAAUGUUAGAUAAAAUAAGGAUUAGUGAUAUUGUUAUAAGACGAAUGUGAUUUGGAUGAAGAUUGUAUUUGUUGAGUUGUUGUGUUGAGUUAGUUGCAAAUUUGAAAUUGCAGGGAAGGUUAGAUGUUUCUAAAGGGGUUAUAUUGAAUUUUUUUUAAAAAAAAUAUAAUUAUUAUUAUAUUACGAAAAAUUUUCGGAGUACUUGAAUAAGUCCCUAUUCAUUUAUAAUACGUAAUUUAGGCCUCGAGGGUUCAUAAAAGAGACUUAAAGAUUUAAUUUUAAUAUAUUUGUUGUUUAUUCAUGAAUUGUUUGUAAAUUAACCAAUAUGUUCGGUAACGCCUCGUAACCCUAUUUCGAUGACGGUUUGGGAUUAGGGGGUGUUACACGUUCGGAGUACCCCAGUGUUUCUGGACAGCUCAUUGAUUAGGGCCAGCUGGGGUGACGUGAGGGGACAGGGCCAUUGAUGGCUCUUGCUUCGAGAGUUGGAACGGCUCUGAUGACGUGGCGCAGCUUCUGGAUCUUGUUACGGUGCUGAGGGAAAAGGCAGAAACCCUAGGGUUCCCUGCCUUAAAAAAAUUUCGGCCAACUGGGCCACCUUGUAAUUGUGUUAGGGAAUUAGGGUUUGGUAGGUAUUGGGUUUAGAUUGUAUUUGGGUGUAACCGGGUAUACGGGUAGUGCUUCUGUAUUGAACCAAAAACACUUGGGCUUUGUAAUUGGACUUUUAAAUAGAUGUUUUAAAUAAAUACUUAUUUAUUUAAUUCUUUUAUUCUGUUUUCAGCCCUAUCAAAUUUGGGCUACUACAGCUACCCCUCUUUGCUUAUUGCUGUGUGACGGGAAUCAAGCAAAGAUUUAGAAAGACCAAAUUUGACCGGUCUUAUCAAAUCAUGGUCUUCAAUCUGCUUCUUGUAAACCUAUGACUCUCAUGUUGAUAUCUUCGAUCUGCUCUUCGCUGAACACAAAGAGGCCAAAUCUACUUCUUCAAUUUGUUCUCUGACAAUACAGAGAUGCCAAAUCAUCUUAGAUUUUCUUCAGCGUAAGCACGCGAAAACCAAAUCAGCUAUGUCUUCGAUUUGCUCCUUGUAAGCACAAGGAUACCAAACCAUCUUGGAUCUGUUUCAGUCUAAUCAUCUGAAGGUUAGAUCUGCUAUGUGUCUGCCCUCCGUCGAAUAUGGAGACGCCAAACUUCGAUUUGUUCUCUGACAAUACAGAGAUGCCAAAUCAUCUUAGACUUGCUUCAGCGUAAGCACGUGAAAGCUAAAUCAAGUAUGAUUUCUAUUUGUUCCUUGUAAACACAAGGAUGCCAAAUCAUCUUGGAUCUGCUUCAGUAUAAUCAUCUGAAGGUUAGAUCUACUAUGUGUCUGCCCUCCGUCGAAUAUGGAGACGCCAAACUUUGAUUUGUUCUCUGACAAUACAGAGAUGCCAAAUCAUCUUAGAUUUGCUUCAUCGUAAGCAUGUGAAAGCCAAAUCAGCUAUGUCUUUGAUUUGUUCCUUGUAAGCACAAGGAUGCCAAACCAUCUUGGAUCUUGCUUCACCCAGAUCUGCUAUGCUGCGGUCUAUUACCCUACUGUUUAGGGGAUUAAGGCGCGUCGUUUUUGAUAACCUGUAGAAUGAUUAUGCCUGAUGAUUAGGAUGCUACGAUCGAAAUGAGUCGAAUUUCCUAAUUAAACAUGUUAUGAUGCAAAAUGUUGUGAACAUGACCCCUUUCCUAGACGUCACCACUCAUUCCUUCAUUUGUCUUUUCUUUUCUCAAAGUAUUAUUCUUGCUCAGCCUGUAGGCCUGUACCCUUCCUCAAAUGCUACGAUCCACUGAGGAUGUCUGUAAGAUAAUCUUUCCUUAGAAUUGAAUCGUUGGUUUUGUCCAUUUUCCUUUUAGACUGGAACAAAGAAAUCCCUCGAGUUCCUUCGUCCCUUACUUAUGUGAAUUUCUCGAACAAUUGUCCUCGUUUUAGUUUCUUGUAUUAUCUAGAAAUUCCAGAGUAAUGCGCAAAACUUCGUUUGUGAACAUAUUUAGUUCAUCUAUUAUUAUUUCAAUGCAACAUACUUAAAGAAUAAUGGAAGAUAAAUAAAUCUCUAAGAAUAAUUGGAUUUGAAUGAAAGAUACAAAGGAAAUUAAUCUGAAAGCCUAUAUUUGAGAAAAAAAAUCUAAAGAUAGCAAACAGGCCAAAAAUUAGAUGCGCUAGAUAUCGCCGCUUGAGCGCUUAUACAUCAACUUCAUAAAGGCAUGUGUUUAGAAGAUUCCAAAGUACUCUGUCGAUACCCUAGUAUGCAACGUUCUUCGUUCUUUAUUGAGCAAGAUUACCGGAUGCUUCAAAAUUUGAGUCGCCCUUUCGGGUUUUCAACUCAAAACCCUUUUGGUCACAAGGCGCCCUUUGCGGGUUUUCACCUUGGCCUCUCCAUUCUUCUCUUUUUUCCUCUUCUCUUUUUUUUGAUUUUUUUUUAUUUUCGAAAACUCAAAGCGCCUUUUGCGUGUUUUCACCUUGAAUUCUCUUCUCCUUUAGACAAAGUAUUUUUUAACUGAGUCUGAGUUCACUGGGUUGGGUAAACUUUUCCCAUCCAUUUCCAUUAAGAUUAAUGCACCGCCAGAGAAAGCUUUCUUCACGACAUACGGCCCCUCCCAAUUCGGCAUCCAUUUCCCCCUAAAGUCUUUUUGAAUAGGAAGGAUCUUUUUUAGUACAAGGUCUCCCUCGUGAAACUCUCUUGGUCGAACUUUCUUGUCAUAAGCUCGCAUCAUUCGCUUCUGAUACAUCUAACCAUGUUGAAUGGCUCUUAGCCUCUUUUCCUCAAUCAAGUUCAACUGGUCAAAUCGGGAUUGAACCCAUUCAGCUUCAUCUAACCUUAUCUCUGUCAAAAUUCAAAGAGAAGGUAUUUCUACUUCAAUAGGUAACACUGCUUCCAUCCCAUAAACUAACGAGAAUGGGGUUGCCCAGUAGAGGUUCUGACAGAUUUUCGAUAGGCCAGGAGUGCAAACGAAAACUUCUCAUGCCAAUCUCUAUAAGUCUCAGUCAUCUUCCCCACUAUUUUCUUAAUGUUCUUAUUGGCUGCCUCAAUUGCCCCAUUCAUUUUUGGACGAUAGGGAGAAGAAUUGUGAUGCUUGAUCUUGAACUGGUCGCAAACCUCUACUAUCGUUUUGUUGUUCAAGUUCAAUGCAUUGUCAGCUAUGAUCUUCUCAGGCAUUCCAUACCGACAAAUGAUCUCCUUCUUCAAGAAUCGACUCACAGCUGACUUAGUAACAUUCGCAUAAGAAGCGGCCUCUACCCAUUUUGUAAAGUAGUCAAUUAUCACGAAUAUAAACCGAUGUCCAUUCGAAGCUUUCGGUGAUAUUGGUCCAAUGACAUCCAUGCCCCACAUGGAGAAAGGCAAUGGAGAAGUCAUAUCAUGCAAAGGUGAAGGUGGUAUAUGAAUUUUUGUCCCUAUAAAUCUGACACUUAUGGCAUUUCUUGGUAUAGUUGAUACAGUCCCCUUCCAUAGUGGCCCAAUAAUAGCCAAACCUCAUGAUUUGCCUUGCCAUCGUGAACCCAUUUGCAUGUAUCCCACAUACACCUUCAUGAACUUCUUCUAAAAUUAGCUUAGCUUCCACAGCAUCGACACAUCUCAAAAGUACUUGGUCAUUCCUUCUCUUGUAUAGGAUAUCCCCGUCCAAGACAUAGUCACAAGCUAACCUUCUCAAAGUUCAUUUGUCAUUUUCAUUGGCCUGUUCAGGGUAUUUAUGAUCUCUCACAUAUCGUAAUAUAUCUUGAUACCAAGGGUUAUCAUCCUUUUUUUUCCUUCUCAAUGUUACAACAAUGAGCUGAAGCCUCGUAGACACUCAUUUGAAUUGGUCUUAUCUCUUCCUCUCUAUUCGCCUUAAUUAUUGAGGCCAAGGUUGCUAAAGCAUCUGCCAUCUGAUUUUCUUCUCGUGGGAGAUAAUUGAAGGUGAUGUCAUCAAACUCCUUAAGUAACCCUAAAACUAUCUAUCGAUAAUUGAUCAAUUUAGGGUCCCUUGUCUCCCAUUCACCUCUAAGCUGAUGAAUUACCAACGCAGAAUCUCCAUAUACUUCUGGGGUUUUUAUACCUCGCUCUAUAGCUGCUUGAAGUACCAAGACUGCCCCAAUUCCAUUUCUGACUGCAUUAGAAGCCCCAUCAAAAUUUAGCUUCCAAGGAGAAUCUUCGGUCGUUGCUAUACACAUUAACUCCUUAUUUGGAAAAAAAAAUUCAAUGGCUCAUAAUCCUCUAGAGCCCUACUGGCCAAGAAGUCUGCUACCGCACUUCCUUUUAUAGCCUUCUGACUUAUGUAGACUAUAUCAAACUCUGAAAGCAAAAUUUGCCAUCUCACCAUUCUCCCAUUUAGAGCCGUUGACUUCAUCAUGUAUUUCAAUGGAUCAAGCUUUGGGAUGAGCCAAGUGGUAUGGUAUAGCAUGUACUGUCUUAAUCUCCAAGUUGUCCAAAUCAGUGCACAGCACAACUUUUCAAUUGGUGGAUAUCUCAUUUCACAGUCAAUGAAUUUCUUACUGAGAUAAUAAAUUGCCUUAUCCUUUUUCCCUGAUUCAUCAUGCUGACCAAGCACACAUCCCAUAGAAUUAUUGAACACUGACAAGUACAGUAUUAACGGUUUAUCUGGGCUAGGUGGAGAUAAUACCGGAGCAUUCAAGAAAUACUGCUUGACCUUUUCAAAAGCAUCUUGACACUUCUCAUCCCAAGUACCUUGAUUGUGCUUUCUGAGGAGGUGAAAGAUAGGAUCACAUUUCUCACUUAGUUGUGAAAUGAACCUAGCGAUGUAAUUCAACCUUCCUAGGAAUCCUCGAACUUUUUUUUGAGUUUGUGGUGGAGGAAAUUCUCGUAUUGCUCUGACUUUGUCUGAAUCAACUUCUAUUCCCUUUUUAAUAACUACGAAACCCAAUAGCUUUCCCGAUCUAGUUCCGAAGGUGCACUUUACCGGAUUGAGCCUCAACCGAAACUUUCUCAACCUCAAGAAUAGUCUUCUCAAAAAUUCAAUAUGCUCUUUCUCUGUUCGGGACUUAGCAAUCAUGUCAUCAACAUAUACUUCAAUGUCCCUAUGCAUCAUGUCGUGAAACAAGUUCACCAUGGCCUGCUGGUAGGUUGCCCCUACGUUCUUCAAUCCAAACGGCAUUACUUUGUAGCAAAAAGUGCCCCAUAAGGUUAUGAAGGUGGUUUUAUCCAUGUCCUCUAAUGCAUCUUUAUCUGAUUGUACCCUGAGAAACCAUCCAUAAAGGAAAACAACGAAUGUCCCACCAUGUUGUCUACCAAAGUGUCGAUGUGUGGCAAAGGAAAAUUGUCUUUUGGGCUAGCUUUAUUUAGAUAUCUGUAAUCAAAACAAAUUCAUACCUUUUCGUCCUUCUUAGGGACCGGCACAAUAUUAGCUACCCAUUCGGAGUAUUUGACCUCUUGUAAGAAUCCUGCAUCGAACUGCUUCUUAACCUCAUCUUUUACUUUUAGAACAAUGUCUGGCCGCAUUCUCCGUAAGUUCUGUUGGACUAGUUUGCAAUCCUGUCUUAUCGGAAGAUAAUGUACUAUAAUGUUGGUACUCAAUCUGGGCAUAUCUUGAUAUGACCAUGCGAAGAUAUCUUUGAACUCCCGAAGCAAUUCAACCAGACUAUGCCUUGCGUCCUCGGUAAUCAGUGUUCUAAUUUUCAACUCUUUCCCUUCCUCUAGGGCUACAUUUUCUAUUGCCUCUUUCUCAUGCGGCAUAAUUCUUUUUUCCUCCUGUUUUACCAUUCUUAACAGAUCAGGAGACACAUCACAAUCUUGAACAUCUUCAAAAUCCUGAGAUUCCUCUAAACACAUGUCUUGCUCGCAAGAGAAAUCAGGAGUUGUAGUAUCAGUGCUCAUAUCAUUGAUAUCUAAGGAACUGUAGGGGUAUGAAAAAAUAUACAAAGAAUGAAUAAAUCUAAGAAUAAUUGUUUAUGUGCUAUGAAAGAAUGAGAAUUGCAAAAUUUUGACGAAAUAUUGAUUGAUAAAAAGAAACCAUAUUUGUCCAAAUUGAUAAUAAAGUUAUUUUUUAUUAAAAUAAUAAUAGAUAAUCAUAAGCCUUUUUCACAAACGUAAUCUUACUACUCCUAGGCCCUAGAGUAACAGACAUGUUUCGAGAAUUACUCUGAAAAAUUGCUAAAGACUACAGGAAGGUCCUCCGCAAUCCAAUUGUUCAGAGAGCUCCCCGGUUCAUAAGGGCGAAUGCCCUCGAGGCUUCCUUGCUCCAAUCCCUCAUUGUGUACAGCAUUAAUCUGAUGACUUUCUUUUACUAGUAACCCUCAUGACUUAAAGGAUUUGGAUAUAGGUGGGAAUGUCAUCAGUUCCCACUCCACUUCUCCUCCGUUCAAAUGCGCCUUUCUUCUCGCUUGGCGCUUCUCAAUCUCUUGCCUCCGGUGCUUAUGGUCUGGCUUGAAGCCCAAACCAAAGCGAUCCUUCUUCUCAAUCAGUUUUGGGAUUUGAACCUCUCCUUGCAACUGUCUUCCUAGUCCUUUUCCUGGCAAUGAUCUCUUCCCCAUCAUCAUUUGUAAGGCCAUCCUUGUGGCUCUAGACAUUUUGGGUACCGUCACCUCACUUCCUUCCAAAAUGAAGGUUGCAUUGAUGAUUUCUAAAAAGCGAAAAGAACACUCAAUAUCCUCUUCAUUCGCCUCGACAUAAGGGGCCUUGCUAGUGACUGUUGCUAUAAUGUCCUCCUCCGUAUUAAUGGUUAUUAACCGUCCAUCUGUCACUAACUUCAAUUUUUGGUGCAACGAGGAGGGCACCGCUCCUGCUGAAUGUAUCCAUGGUCUCCCUAAUAAACAAUUAUAGGAGGGCUUGAUAUCCAUCACCAAGAAAUCAACUUCAUAUGUAUUUGGCCCAAUUUUGAAAGGGAUGUCAAUUCGUCCCAUCAUCUUCCUUUCGGUUCCAUCGAAGGCUCUUACCACAUUGUGACAUGUUUUCAUAUACGAACUAUCAAUGGGUAAUCUGUUCAAUGUAGACAAUGGAAGGACGUUCAAAACCGACCUAUUAUCAACGAGUACACUUGGAAGCGUGUAUCCCUUGCACUGAGUAGUAAUAUGCAAGGCCUUGGUUGACCCUAUGCCCCCAGGCGGAAUUUCAUCAUCAUUGAAGUAGAUGAAAUUGUCAGCACUGAUGUUAUUUACCAACCGGUCCAACUUGUUAACGGAUAUGUCGUGGGUGACAUAUGUUUCGUUAAGUACCUUCAACAAUGCAUCCCAAUGCACCUCAGAACUCAGAAGCAAGGCUAAUACUGAUAUACGCGCUGGCUGCCUACGCAACUACUCGACCACACUAUACUCGCUAUGCUUAAGGAACUUUAGACACUCCUUAGCCUCUUCCUCCUUUACCGGCUCUUUGACAGGCACUUCAACCUCUUUCUUCUUCUCAACAUCAACAUCCUUUGUUUUCGUGGGCUCCACUCUGAUGCCCCCCUCAUCAUAAUGCUUCCCAUUUCGUGUAUGGGAACCUUCAUUUUGCACGCCCCUAGACGCACUGGCUAUACUCUCCCCCUCAGGUAUUGUUACACUGCAGUCAUAGCUCCAUGGUACCCUCUUGUCAUCCUUGUAAGGGAAAGGAGUAGGUUUAUGGAUGACAACCUUGGGCCCGGUUUGCGCCCCAACUUCAUUAUUCCCCUGCAAGGAAAUAAUAAUUCUUGGUCGUCUGGUUCCUUGUUGUUCAUUUUCCAGUACACAUAUUUGUCUUUUGCAAGAACUACCCUCAAAAAUCUGUAACUCUUUGUUAACUAUAAGGCCUUGCGCCAUGGCCUUGAACUCCUCAUAAUUUUGGAUCAUAUGACCCACCUCUCCAUGGAAUUCACAAUAGUUCCCCAUUCUUUCUCUACCUUUUCCAGAGGUCAACAUACCUCUCUUCACCAUCUCCUCCUAUAUUACUUUCAUGGGUGUCUUCACCUUAGCACCAUCUUCUUUAAUUCUUCCUUCCCUGGUUUCAUCAAUGGCAUUCACUCCUUGAUUGCCAUGAUCUGGUAACGAAUUUUCUACAUUAGGGGUACUGUCGAAUUUCACAACCCCCAUCUUGAUAAGCCUCUCUAUGGUCUUCUUGAAUUCGGUGCAGUUUUCAAUCGAAUACUCCGGCAUUCUCGCAUGAUAUUCGCAUUUAGCAUUUGCAUCAUACCAUUUGGGGUACGGUGGCUGUAGCGGUUUCAGGUGAAAUGGAGCAGCAUGUGCAUCGUAUGAGCUUUGAUAAAGCUCACGAUACAUCACAGGGAUAAGCGUGAAUUGCAUCCUUUCCGAAUUUUGUCUUGUGCCCGAUUCCUGUCUUUGAGUACUUUGUUGCUCGACCGCGGCUACUUUGGGUUGACCAACUAUGAUUGUCCUCGAGUUAAGACUAUUCAUGUUAUUCACCUCGUUGUCCUUUCUCCUUGGGGCCGAUCUUUUAGCCGCUUCUCCCUCAAUUUUACCGCCCCUUAUGGCGUUCUCAACCAUCUCUCCUGCCAUAACUAUAUCCGCAAAAAUUUUCGUGGUGCUUCCAAUCAUGUGAGUGAUGAACGGCGCUUUCAAAGUGUUGAUAAACAACAUAGUGGUCUCCUUUUCUAACAGUGGUGGUUGUACUUCCAUUGCCACCUCCCUCCAUCGUUGUGCGUAUUGCCUAAACCUUUCAUUAGGCUUUUUCUCCAUGUUUUGAAGCGUGAUCCUGUCCGACGUCAUAUCAGUUACAUGGUUGUACUGUCGCAUGAAGGCUUGUGCAAGAUCUCUCCACGAACCGAUUCUUGCACGGCUCAACUGAUUGUACCACUUAGCCGCUGCUCCUACUAAGCUGUCUUGAAAACAAUGGAUCAAUAGUUGAUCAUUGUUCACAUACCCAGUCAUUCUCCUACAAAACAUUGUUAUGUGUACCUCUGGGCAAGUAGUCCCGUUGUACUUUUCAAACUUCGGCAUCUUGAAUUUGUGAGAAAGCACCAAGUCUGGGACCAAACUUAAGUCUUUGGCAUCAAUCCCAUGAUGGUUGCCAGUGCCUUCCAAAACCCUAAACUUCUCCUCCAACCACUUGCAAUGAUCCUCUAACUGUUUUGAGGAUUCGAUUGCCAUUCUUUCCCUCUCCAUCAUAUCCAGAUCAGGAGUGAUAGGGUUGAUCGGGCUAUCGCCCAAAUUAUUUCCUAACCCAGAUGGGAAAUUCACGGGGAUUCCAGCAUUAACCGGCCUAUGUUGAGGCCUUAUAGUGACAAAUGGCCUUCUAGGAGGUGCCUCGGUUUGCAGUGGCACAUGAGACUGAGUAAAACCCGGAGGAUGAUCCUCACCCUCCUCACCAGUGAUAGCCAUGGAGGCCUUCCCUUUAUCAGUGGCCCUUAGAAGUUGAGCCAUUUUGGCCAUCAUAUUCCUCUAAGCCUCCAGUAUUUGCUCCCUUGUGUCAUUCUGCAUCUUGGCCAACUGCACUUGCAAUUGGUCUUGCAUAUCCUUUUGCAAUUGUUCGAACCUUUGAUCCAUACUCUUAGUUUUAGUGCGAGUGCCGUAAGGAUGUGUGAUUUCCAGAUUUUCUUUUCUACCUCUCUCUUUGGAAUUAAACUUUAACUAAUUAGGGUCUUUCUAUAACUUUGAAUACAUAUGAUGUGAUGAAAUGCAAAUGCAUGAAUGCAAAAAGGCAUCGAUCUCGAUUCAAUCUCAUUUAGAAAACUUUAUUUAGAAAAAGAAUAUCUUUACAUACAAAUACAUUACAUAUACGCCUUUGCCCUAAUGCCCAAAGUUCUAACUUUAUCUAAUAAAAGGGCUAACUCUCGACCUUUAUCAGACACUGACCCAUACAUCAUACUCAACGCAUCAGCUCGUACUGCUAAGUCUCGAACAUAUUCAGCAAUCUCUCGGAUCUGGGCUAUAGCCUCCCCAAUAACGUAAUCCCUGUCUCUAACUUGACCUUUAACUUGAUGGAGCUCUCCUUUUAUACAAUCUUCUUGUGCCUUGAGCUGCUCAAUCCGAAGUUCACCAUCAUGCAAUGCCACUUCCAAAUCUUCAACCUUUCUUUUUAGCCCCUUCAACUCGACCGUAGGAUCAUGGUUUCGAUGCCAACGAAGGGAUCUUCCAAGCUCAGUUACCUUGGUCUUCAACCCUUUAUUCUCUUCCUCUAAUGUCAAAUUCUGCAACCGCAUCUCUUGGAACUUCCUCUCCCAAUACUUGGCUCUAGCUUUCUCCACUUGAACUUCUUUCUGCCACUGUUCCGAAGACCUUCCUAACCCUACUCACUUUAAAGAUACUUGUGCCUUCUUAUACUCCUCUUUUAAAUCAUCUCGGUCUUCCUCAACCUUCCUUUUUUCCUUCCUAACUUUUUCAACCUCCUUCCUUUGCAGGUCAACAUCUAGACUCAGGUACAUCUUCUCCUCCUCAAGCUUUCCUAUCUUUUUUUCAAGUUCCAAAUUCUUUCUCUUAAAUUCUUGCUUCAUGAUAUUAAGCUACGAGGGUAUCACUUGUAGAUAUUCCUCCAUUGGUCGGACUUCCUCCAUUUUUUUCAUAGGGACAUUAUCGUUAAUCCUUCUGCUCCUCCACUCGACAUAUCCCGGUGUCAUAGCAGGAUUAAUGGCCACUCCCUUCAACCGAUAAGUCUUGUUCCAAGCACUAGAAACCUCGCUAACCUUCCUCUUGUAAUCGGCUCCUCUGUAUACAAACUCACUUUGAGCCAACCCAUGAGUUGCUGGUACGAACUGUCUCAAUCCAUGCUGCCUUAGCACGAGCAAAAGGGCAUAACCAAUGGCACCCCAAAUUCCCAACAAGGGAACCCAAUCAAAGCUGCCGCAUCGAUAAAGUAUCUCUCCAGGAACCAUCCAUGGAGCUCUCCACUCAACAUCCUCUGACUGUAGAUUCCGAAGUAAUGCCAUCUAAUUCUCUUCUGGCACAUUCACUUUCCUAGAUGAGGCACUAUAUCUUUCAACGGGGAGUAGUUCUCAAAGAAAACCCGAUAAACAAUCCCAUCAAUCAAUCGGAAGUGACUGUAGAACCAAGCUAAAAGUAACUGAGCACACCCUAUAAACCUGCCUGCACCAGCCCUCCUACAUGCACCUAAGGACCUGAAUGUCUUUGUCAAAAUCGCAAGGACGGAAGUAACCCUUCUACUGAGUCGAUGAAAAAGAUACGUGGUUGCCUCAUCCACAUAUCCCAAAGCCCUAAGGAAAACCAUCAGUCCAUACAAACUUAAGGAAAAAGCGUCUACCUUCUUCGUCUCAUCUGGGUGUGUCAAAAUCAGAUCUUUUAAAGCGUCCCACGAAAUGCCCUUGCACUCAUCCUUUUCUUCAAUUCUGGUCGCGAUCUACUGCUCGCUCAUUCCCGUAAUGGUCAUUAAUUUCUUCCAAAAGGUAGGGACACAAGCAGCUCGAGAAUAGAUCCUAUCAUUCUGAAACCUGGGACAACGAAGUAAGGCAGUGUACUCCUCCACAGUAGGUACCAAAUCUACUUCCCCAAAAGUGAAACAACUGUACGCCAGGUUCCAAAACUGAGUAAGGGCUCGGAACAAGUGCUCAUCUACCUGAAUAUUGAGCAAGUAAGGUAAAUCUCUGUAAUUAUUGUAGAAUAACUGCUUGGUUUCAUUGCCCCACUGAUCCCAAAUUUCCUUAAGCUCUUGGAGAUUAUUCUAUGUGACACUAAUACGAGUAUAAUUUGACAGCUCUGAAACAUAUCCCAUAGUUAUACUGUCUCCCUUUUCUAGUUGAGUUUGCUCUGACCAUCUAUGAACAUCGGCGUUGCCCUCUACUCUAUCAAGAAGUCCGUUCUCCAUAAUAAAACUUCCUAACUUAGAAACUGACCGUGAAUCGAUACCUUUGUAAAUGCAGAAUGAUAUGCAAACAAAAGAAAAGAAAUAGUCAGUAUCACAUGAUAUCAAUAAAUCUCAACGAUAAUUUAUAAGGGUAAUAUCUAAAGUAUAGCUCUAACUAAGUUGGGCUCUUACGAUUUUUCUAUAUGAGGUUAGUUCUAAAGUUUGAGGUACCCGAACCAGCAGAUUCCUCGAUUCUCACCCACUAUAGGCUCAUUUGAAACGAGUUCAGUUCAGGGGAAUACAUUUCCCUAUAGCUACACGGAGAUGAAAAUCUCACGAAACCAUAAGUACAGAUGUAUCCCGAAAGUGAUCCACUAUCCUACACGGAGGCGAAAACCUCACGAAGGCGUAGUUUCUCACUCCCACUUAAGGGUGUAACCACAACGGUCAUGCAAAUACUAUACGUAUCAGAGUAUAGCAACACAUGCAAUAAUACAAACAUAUGUAAUGCAAAGAGGAUUAAAUUUUAAAAUUUUUAAUUUCUGACAUUAAGAUAAGAGAUAAUCAAUUACACGGUUUGACUCUCUUAUUAUUUCCCAGUGGAGUCACCAAGCUGUCGAGACCAUUCUUAAAUCGAGUUUGAAAUAAAACGGGGUUCGACUUUGAAAAAAUGAAAACAGGAGUCACCACCAAUCUUUUUAGGUGUGAUUGGAUCACCUUUUAAAACAUUUUGUUUAAAAAUCAUUAGUUUUGGUCUACGAAAUCAGAAAAAGGGUUCGGGAGCCAGUUACGUACGAGGAAGGGUUAGCACCCUCGUAACGCCCAAAAAUUGGUACCUAAUUGAUUAUCAAGUGUCUUUAAUGUCGGAAAUUUAAAAAUUUUAAGAUGCAAUCCUCUUUUAAUAUUUUUGACUUUAAAAAUUAGGGUUCACUUGUAUCAAAUAAAUCAAAAUAUUACAUCCAAUAAGUUCGAACACAAUAUUUUUCAGAUAUCUGACACUAAGUUAGCCUUGUUGGAAAUCCCUAUCUCAAAACAACGAAAAGCCGUAUCUAGUAAGCUAGGACACAACGCCUUGAAAUUUCGAGACAGUUGCUUGCACUUAGAAAACCUUAAAAACUUAGAAGGGUGCUUGACUAUUCGAACUCAACGAGAAAAGUUGCAACCCAAUAAGUUAGGGCACUAUUUUUCUCGAAAUUUCCAAACACCAAGCAUUGCCUUUAUUUUUUUUGAAAACUUUAGAGUCUCGUUUUUUAAGAUUGAUGCAUGAAGGAGUAUAUUAACAUAACAUACGAGAUAACAUGUUAUAGUAAAAGCACAAUAGCAUGAAUAUCAUACAUUAACUAACAUAUACAUAUAAGAAACAUGACAAAUUUUAAAUAAGUAAAAUAUACAUAAAACACAAUAUAUAUUUAAGAAGAAUAGGUAAAAACAUAUAAACAUGUAAUUCAUCAUAUAUUUAAACAUAUUGAUAAUAAAAAUGAUGCAUGAUAUACAAUUUGACAUAUAUAUAUAAAUAAUAAUAAUAUGCCAAACACUCAACAUUUAAUUAUGAGACCAACAUUUAAUAUAUUGACAUAAUAUAUAAAAAAAAUGGUUGUGUAUAUAUAUUAAAAUAUAAAUAAAGUGAGUAAUUUUUUUAAAAAUGUGUGAAUUAAAAUCAAAUUUUUGGCAAUGUAAUGCUGAUAUAGUAUACAUAAUAACUUUAGUUUUAGGAUUAUAAUUAAAUAAUAAAAUAUAAAUACUAUGAUAUUAUACUAUGUAAAAUAUAAGAUAAUAAACAUAUUUAAUAAUACAUGAAAACAUAGUAAUUAAUAAUGAAUUUUGAAAUAGUAUAAUAAUAUAUAAAACACUAAUUUUAUAGUUUUGGAUAAAAAUAUACAUAGGUUUUAAAAAUUAUAAAGGAAAUAAUUAAUACAAUAUUUAGUAUCAAUUUAUCAUGAAAAUUAUAAUGUGAAUAAUAAUAUACAUGAAAAAAAUAUAAUAGAUAAUAAUAAUAAUAUGAAAUAAUAUAUUGUUAAAAUGUAAAAUAAUAUAAUAAUAUAAAAAUAUAUAAAUAUUAUGUGAUAAAAAUAUAAUAUAAUAAAUAAUAAGUAAUUAUAUAUGUUAAAAUAUAUAUUAAUAUGAUAAUAGAAAAAUAUGAAGUAAUAUAAUAUAAUAAAUAUAAAUAAAUAAUAAUAUAAAAUAUAUAAUACAUAAAAUAAUAUAUAUACAAUUUAAAAUAAAUAAGUUAUAAAUAAUUUUAAAAGGAAUAAAGGGACUAAAAUUAAAUGUAAAUAAAAAUCAGUGGUUAAUUUGAUAAUAAAAGAAACGUAUUUGGACUUAAUUGAAAUGCCCAUUAAAAUCUUACGGACUCAUUGGGAAAUUUUCCCAUGUCCCAGAACGGUACCGUUUUAACCUAGGCCUUAAAGUGGCCACAAUUAGGAUUAAAUUAAAACCGAAAUAAAACCUUAGGGAUAAUUUAUAAAUAAUUAAAAAUGAAAUUUAAAAAACAAAUUAAAAAAGAAAAAAAUUGGAAGGACCAUUAGGGCAAUUAGACCUUUAUUUAAAAACACGCGGAUCCUUCCCGGGUCACGGGUCAACACGCGGAUCCUAGGGCCUUAAAACGACAUCGUUUUUGGCUUAUGGGACUAAACCAAAACGGGGCUAUUUUGAAAGGGCUAUAUAAGCCCGAUAUUAGGCCAAAAAAUCGUUUCGGUCCCCCUUUUUUUUAAAAAAAACUGAGAAUUCUCUCUGAGCCUUCCUGGCUCUCCUGAGCUCCGGCCCUUAGCCGGUGGUCCUUCGUUCAUCGGACCACCGUGUUUCCCCUCACGCGCCGUCACCGACUCCGCCGUGUAUGACGGUCGGGACCUAAAAGGUUUAUCUUUCCAAGGUGAAACAGAAGGUACUGUUCUCCUUUUCUUUAUUUCUUUCCUUUGUAAAAAAACUUAAAUAUGUUAUGCAUGCAAAAGAAGUAAACCAGUAAAACCAAAAACAAAAUAAAAGAGACGAUCUAUUACCCUUUCAAAAAGAUCUGCUUUAUUUCUCUACCUUUUGAUCGAAUACAAAAAAUUUAUGACGUUUUCUGUGUAUAUUUGUCUAUCUAUGCUUCUUGUUUUCUCUUUGUAUAUCUAUGUGUGCGUAUAAGCCUCCUCCUUUUUACAAGUGAAAUGGAAGGCUUUAUAGCCUUAGUCCCUUACAUGUUCUAGGAAAGAAAUCUAUGAUUUCUUUCCAUUUCGUGUCUUCUGUAUCUUUGACUGAUAUGCUGUGAUUUUCUUGCCAUUUCUUGCUCUGCUUUUUCACGUAUCUGCUGUUUGUUUCCUUUUCUUGCAGGUAACUCGUGAAGAUCUCGGUGGCUGGGCUUGCUGUCAUGGAUUCGAAUCUCGGCAGAUGCCCAUUUGUGCACUGAUGACCACAAGGCAGACUCUUUUGUGGAGAUCUCAGCGUCAAAGGAGGUACCGAGGUCGGAGGUGAGGCCUAGUAUUACGGUGCACCGACGGUGGUGACGUUCGAAGUACCCUAGUGUUUCUGGACAGCUCAUUGAUUAGGGCCAGCUGGGGUGACGUGAGUGGACAGGGCCAUUGAUGGCUCUUGCUUCGAGAGUUGGAACGGCCCUGAUGACGUGGCGUAGCUUCUGCAUCUUAUUACGGCGCUGAGGGAAAAGGCAGAAACCCUAGGGUUCCCUGCCUUAAAAAAAUUUGGGCCAACUGGGCCACCUUGUAAUUGGGUUAGGGUAUUAGGGUCUGGUAGGUAUUGGGUUUAGAUUGUAUUUGGGUGUAACCGGGUAUACGGGUAGUGCUUCUGUAUUGAACCAAAAACACUUGGGCUUUGUAAUUAGACUUUUAAAUGGACGUUUUAAAUAAAUACUUUUUUAUUUAAUUCUUUUAUUCUGUUUUCAGCCCGGUCAAAUUUGGGCUACUACAUAUAAUACGUGAUUUAGGCCUCGAGGGUUCAUAACAGAGACUUAAUGAUUUAAUUUUAAUAUAUUUGUUGUUUAUUCAUGAAUUGUUUGUAAAUUAACCAAUAUGUUCGGUAACGCCUCGUAACCCUAUUCCGUCGACAGUUUGGGAUUAAGGGGUGUUACAUUUAUUGAUAUCAGAGCCCGGUUUAGCCGAUUCUCAGAAUGGACGUGAUGUGUAAAAUGUUUAAAAAUACAUGCCAUAUAAAUCUGUGAUAGUGUGAUGUGCAUGAUCCGGUUUAACCCUUAUUUUUUUCAAUAGAUUGUAAAGAUGUUGAAUAGACCUGAACAUGUUGAACAAGAAGAAGUAAAUAGUAGAGUACAAACAUCUGAACAAAGGACAAGUAGUGAUGUUCCAAUUUCCUUGAUGCGAGAACAAGAACUUAGAAACAUGAUUAUUAGAGUACUGAAUUAGUGGUAUAAUAAGAGGAUGCAAGAAAGGAAUCAAAAUCAGACCCAGCAACCUCCUCCCCCUACAGUACCACCAGUAGUGCCCUCGGUUGCUCCUCCACCUCCUCCUCCGGUAACUGAAUAAAGUAAGAGAACUCCGGUAGAAAAACUCAAAAAAUUUGGGGCUGAAGAAUUUCGAGGCAGGUCAGAUGAUGAUCCAGUAAAAGCUGAGUAUUGGUUGCAGACCACGAUAAGAGUUUUUAAAGAAAUGGCUUGUUCUCCAGAUGACUAUUUAAGGUGUGUUGUUUCCUUGUUAAAAGAAGAAGCAUAUCACUGGUGAGAGACAAUAGAAGUUGUAGUACCAGCCGAGAAACUUACUUGGGAAUUUUUCCAACCCGAGUUUAAAAAGAAAUAUGUUGGCAAAAGAUAUUUAGAAAAGAAAAAGAGAGAAUUUCUUGAUCUUCGACAGGGAAAUCAGAUAGUAGCUGAGUACGAGAGGGAGUUUGUAUAUAUUAGCAGAUAUGCUCGAGAGAUUGUUCCUACAGAAGAAGACAUGUGUGUUCGAUUUGAAGAAGGUCUGAAUGAUGAAAUCAGAAUGAUGAUAGGUGGUACGAAAAUUUGAGAAUUUGUGGUUUUAUCAGAUCGAACUCAAAAGAUGGAAGAAGUGUACAAUAGAAAGAUGCAACGGGAAAGAAGAAAUAAAGGAUCUUAUAAAAGAAGCUCCUUCAAAUCAUAUUCAGCAUUUCUGAUUAAAAAGUUUAAGGAUGAUUCCAUUUGAGCUACAUCGAUACCUGAACGAUCGAAGACUAGAGUAACUCAACCUGAUCAUGGAAUAUCAAUCAGAUCAGUUGCUAGUGAAGCCAGUGUACAAAAUACUCCCAGGUCUAAAUUGUCAACACUAUGGAAAAUACCAGUUGGGUGAAUGCAGAGGUAAAACAGGAGCUUGCUACAAAUAUGGAGUCACUGAUCAUUUUAUCCGGAAUUGUCCUCUGUUACAAAAAGAUGAAGAAGAACAGAAGAAGAAAUAGAUGGCUACUUCUCAGAGAAGUAAACGUGCGAGUCAAAGAAGUGUUGCAAGAGCUACCCGCUCGAGUGCAAAAGAUUCCGUUGCUCGGUCAGAGGUUAGAGCACCAGUACGUACAUACGUCAUCCGAGAUAGAGAAGAAGCCACGGCUCCAGACGUUAUUGCUGGUACUUUCUAUCUCUUUGAUAAUAUUGUAUAUGCAUUAAUUGACCCAGGUACUAAACAUUAUUAUAUUUGCACAGUAUUAGCAUUAGAAAAGAAAUUGUCUGUUGAACCAACUGAAUAUGAUGUUCAAGUUACUAAUCCGUUAGGACAAAGGGUGAUAGUAAAUUUAGUGUGUCGAAAUUGUCCACUGAAAAUAAAAGACUGUGAGUUCCCUGCUGAUUUAAUGUUGUUACCCUUUCAGGAAUUUGAUGUUAAAUUGGGAAUGGAUUGGUUGAAAAAAUAUGAUGCUGUGGUAAAUUUUCGUGAGAAGCGGAUCAAUUUGAAAUGUCAGACAGGUGAUAUACUUUCUGUUGAGCCUGAGAAUUCAAAUGAUGUUGUUAAAAUUAUUUCAGAUUUUUCAGCUCAGAGGUUAAUGCAGAAGGGUAAUGAGGUAUUUUUAGCUUACAUCCUUGAUACUCAAGGAUCUGAACCAAAACUAGAACAGUUUCCGGUUGUUAAUAAAUUUCUUGACGUAUUUCCUGAAGAAUUACCGGGUUUACCACCAGAUCGAGAAGUUGAAUUUGUGAUUGAUGUGGUACUGGGAACAGCUCCUAUAUUAGUGACACCAUAUCGUAUGACACCAGCUGAGUUAAAAGAGCUGAACAUACAGUUGCAGGAAUUACUAGACAAAGGGUUUAUUAGACCGAGUAUGUCACCUUGGGGUGCACCAGUUUUGUUCGUGAAAAAGAAAGACGGAUCUCUCAGACUGUGCAUAGACUACAGGCAGCUAAAAAGGGUUACAAUUAAAAAUAAAUAUCCUUUGCCUCGCAUUGAUGAUUUCUUUGAUCAGUUGAAAGGUGUUGCCGUGUUUUCAAAGAUAGAUCUUUGAUCCGGAUAUUAUCAACUGAAAGUUAAAGAAUAUGAUGUGCCGAAAACUACCUUCAGAACUCGGUAUGGUCAUUACGAGUUUUUGGUAAUGCCUUUUGGUUUAACUAAUGCCCCUGCUGCAUUUAUGGACUUAGUGAAUUGGAUUUUUCAGCCUUAUUUGGAUAGAUUUGUAGUUGUGUUUAUUGAUGAUAUACUGAUCCAUUCAAAGACAGAACUCGAGCAUGCUCAACAUUUAAGGAUAGUGCUACAAACUUUGCGAGAAAAGCAAUUAUAUGUAAAAUUCAGCAAAUGUCAAUUUUGGCUUCAUGAGGUUGGAUUUCUGGGUCACAUUGUUUCAGAUGAAGGGGUUCAAGUAGAUCCGAGUAAAGUAUCUGCAGUGGUAAAUUGGAAAACUCCAAGGAAUGUAACGGAAGUACGAAGUUUUCUGGGUUUAGCUGAAUAUUAUCGCCGUUUUAUUAAAAAAAUUUCAAUGAUUGCUUCGCCUAUGACACGAUUGCUACAGAAGAAUGUUGAGUUUGUGUGGUCUGACAAAUGCCAGCAAAGUUUUGAUCAGUUGAAGAAGAUGUUGACAACAGCUCCGGUGUUGACUUAAACAGAAUCAGGUGUGCCAUAUGUUGUAUACAGUGAUGCAUCUUUGGAUGCUUUAGGUUGUGUGCUGAUGCAGUCGGGAAAAGUGGUGGCCUAUGCUUCUCAGCAGCUAAAAUCACACGAGAAGAAUUAUCCUACGCAUGAUUUGGAGUUGGCUGCAAUUGUUUUUGCAUUGAAAAUUUGGAGACAUUAUUUAUAUGGUGAAAAAUGUUAUGUGUAUACAGAUUAUAAAAGUUUGAAGUAUUUGAUGACGCAGAAAGAGUUGAAUUUGAGACAGAGAAGAUGGCUUGAGUUAUUAAAAUAUUAUGACCUUGUUAUCGAUUACCAUCUGGGGAAGAUUAAUAUAGUUGCUGACGCACUCAGUCGGAAAUCAUCUUUGUUUGCACUCCGGUCAAUGAAUGCCCAUUUGUCUGUUAGUGAAGAUGGAUCUCUAAUAGCAGAAUUGAAAGCCAAACCUAUGUUUCUCCAACGAAUUUGGGAGUUGCAAGAUGAAGAUUCAAAGUUGGUAUUAAAGAAACAAAUAGCUCGAGACUAGCAGGAUUCAGAGUAUAACAUUGAUGGGAAUGGUAUGUUAUACUAUCGUAAAAGAAUUUGCGUUCCAAAUAAUUCAGACUUGAAAAAUGAUAUUCUUUCUGAAGCUCACAGUAGCAGGUAUUCUAUUCACCCUGGAAGUACAAAAAUGUAUUGUGAUUUGAAACAGUUGUAUUGGUGGCCUGGUAUGAAAAGGGAAAUUUGCGAGUUUGUAGCAAAGCGUUUUUCAAUAGAAAUAAAUGUAUAUAAUCCUGAAUGAGUCUAUUUUCAAUAGAAAUAAAUGGGAACAUCAUCCGAAUCCCGUACGAGGAGAUAAUUAAUUUUUAGUGAAGAAGGGUCUGAACUGUCACAGCAGAAUAGAGGUGAUUUUAAAGAAUAAAAUGUACUUAUUGGCUAAACCAAAAAUUCUGAAAAUUUUAUGAUAAGAAGAUAUGUGAGUCUAGUUUUAGGAAAAAUUAGCGGAUCCUAAUUUUGAGUUCUGUAGAUCAAGAUAAAAAUAAUUUAGUGACUAUUGUAUGGACGGACAGCAUUGAAUAUACAUAGAUAAAUAGUGAAAUUGCAGAUAAUGUUACUUAUAAGCGGGUUAUAAACAUUAAGGAUAUGAAAUAGAAUGAAUGUGAAGUCAAUACUGAUAAGUGAAAAAAUUUAUAUUAUAGAUCAAGAAAUCGAGGAUAAACGAGGAAAAGAGAAAAUUCUGGAAUAGUUCCAGAAAUCUCUACAACUACUGCAAAUUGUUCCGGGUAAGUUCGUACGGUUAAAUUAUUAAAUUUCAAUAUUAUUAUAUGAAUGGUGAUUAAUAUUUAUGUAUGUUAAUUGUUGAAAAUAGGUAAAUUGCCUACAAAAUUUAUGAAAUUGAACUGAUUAUUUCGGAGGAACGGAACGUAGGAAAUGAGUACGAUCUUUCAGUGAAAAAGAUGAAUUGACGGUAAAUUACCCAAGUAAACCGAGAUUCAGCAUUUGUUGUGAAUUCUCGUGUUUGCUUUCUGUUUAGCUCUUACGAGCUUCCGUUAACUCAUAUGAAUUUCAGUUAACCCUUUUGGGGUUUCAGUUCAGCUCUGGUGAGCUUCAGUUAGCCUUCGGGCUUCUGUUUAGCACUUAUGUGCUGCAGUUAGACUUCAGACUUUAGAUCACGAUGUACUCAAAUCCGUAAGUCGUUCCUUAAAUGGACAAGUUGGUAAGUCGUAAUUGUAACGUGUGGAAAAAGAAAUGUAAGUAAUGUUAUCAUUAUUUUUUAGCUCAAUUAAGUAAAUUAUUUUUAAAAUGAGAUUAUGACAUACAGGAUGAAAGUAACUUACUUGAAAUGUCCAUAUGAUUUGAAUUUUGGAAACUAAUAUUUGGUAAGGUUUAUGGUUUAAGCCGACGAACUUACUAAGCUAUAGUCAGCUUACUUGUAAUGUUUAUUGCUCUUUGUAGAUUAACGGGAGGGUCAAAGGAUCGGACCAUCACGCUCAAGUCACACUAUUUCAAUUUUCUGGUAGAUUUUGUUAUAAUUACUUUAAAUGGUUUAUAUGGCAUGUAUAGGAGCUUAUAUGACUAUGUUUUGUAUCAACUCAUGAAUAUAUUAGUUAAGUUAAUAUAAGUUGAUAUAUGAUAUGAAUGGAAAUUAAUUAAGAUGUUUAAAUAUUACUUGAAAGUAUGAAUGGAUAUAAUGUUAGAUAAAAUAAGGACUAACGGUAUUGUUAUAAAACGAAUGUGAUUUGGAUGAAGAUUGUAUUUGUUGAGUUGUUGUUUUUGUUUUGAAUUGGUUGCAAAUUUUAAAUUGCAUGGAAGGUUAGAUGUUUCUAAAGGGGUUAUAUUGAAUUUUUUUUUAAAAAUAAUAGUAAUAAUUAUUAUAUUACGAAAAAUUUCUGGAGUACUUAAAUAAGUCUCUAUUCAUUUAUAAUACGUGAUUUAGGCCUCGAGGGUUCAUAAAAGAGACUUAAUGAUUUAAUUUUAAUAUAUUUGUUGUUUAUUCAUGAAUUGUUUGUAAAUUAACCAAUAUGUUCGGUAACGCCUCGUAACCCUAUUUCGUCGACGGUUUGGGAUUAGGGGGUGUUACAGGAAGUGUUCUGAGAGGCGACCCUCACCUAUAUUCUGGCAGCUUGGCUACUUAUUAUCUGAUACGUGUCGUAAUGACACAAUAUGGUGUAUAGGGAUGGGUGGGUGUUUUUAACCCCACGUGGUGUGUUGGGAUGGUCGGAGAUGUUGUGUAGAGGAUGAGGGUAGGAUUCUGUAUAUCUUAUCUGUAUAUCCGAUUAUGUUGACUGUAUCUGAAUUGGGCAAGGGCCGUAUUCUGUAUCUGAUUGUAAAUGAGAUAUCUGUAUGCUGGCAUGCUUAAUUUUGUUGGGUUAUACAUUGAGUUUACGAAAACUCACAUUUGUUUAUCUGUUCUGUUCAGGUAAUCCACAGACUUAGGUAGAUCCAUGCGGCAGAGCCUCUCGGUGACCACGAGUUCGUAAACUGAUUAAAUUUAUGGUAUUUAUUUUAAUUUAAGGAUUAUUUCUAGAGUUUUGUAAUAAUUGGACUCUCCGGACUUUUUGGUUGAUUUUUGGAUUUGGAUUUUCGUUUUAGUACUUUAUUUGCGACUGAUAUCUAAAAACUAUGAUUUUUACUAAAACAAAGGUUUUUUUUUUAAAUACAAACUGUAUUUUUUUUAAAAUAUAACGGUUUUAAGAAUUCCGCUACAAAUUACGUUUUGACAAAUAAAUGGAUUAAGUAACACUUUCGAAAAUUGACAUAAAUGAAUAUGAAUUAUGAAAUGUGAAUGAUUUGACGAGACUAAUCUAUUUUCAAAACCCUACCUAGUGACACCUCCGGAUUCGACCAUAAUGUCUAGGUUGAGUUUGGGGUGUUACAGUAACCUACAAUGAGACAAAAACACAACUCUUCGUCCUUAAACACGGAACAACAGUGAUAUUGUUAAAAAACAAUGGCAAUAAGGAUUACACAAAGGGAGGUUCGAUAGAAAAGAAAUCACGAUGGUUUGAAUUUCGAGGAGUAUGCUGAAUAAAAGGGAGAAAAGAGAACAAGGAGAAGAAAUGAAAGAAAAAUUUCAGAAGAAAAUUUCAAAGAAAAACAAAAUUGAAAUUGGUUGAAGAAGGGGAAAAGUGGGAUGGUAGAACUAAGGAAAAAAAUGUGGUAAGGAAAAAAAUGUGGGAAGUGAGAAAAAGGGACAAUAGAACAUGGGGAGAGAUUUUAGGGUAAUUUGUUUGUGUUUUUUUUUUAAAUUCUUUCAAAUAAGAAUAAAAUAAAUCUAAUAAGAUCACAACCUACCAAAUUAGUUAAAAAUUGAAUUAAACUGAAACUCUAACAUCCUGGCGGCAAUAGAAGAGUCUAAGAAAAAAAAAUUCACUUUGCAUAGACACAAGAUUUGAACACAAGACCUCUAAGUAAACUAAGAUUUUACCAUCGAACCAACAAGCUCAUUUGUAACGGUCUAAUUUUCAGUGGUGUUGGAAAUGGUGAUUUGAGAUCACUAAAUCCAACAAAUAAGAUUGAACAAGAUAGUAAUUUAAUAUUUAUGAGUCAAGUAAGAAUUUAGAAGAAUUUGUGAAAUGGUGAAAUUAGUGAAUUAAAAGAAUUUAUUAGGUCAAACGGGUCAAAAACGAGGUAUCGAGACCUCGAAUUUGAAAAUCAAGCUAUAAAUAUUUUUAUAAAUAUUUAUGAAGUUUCAUUUAGCUAGUAUUAAAGUUUGGUUGAGAAAUUUUAACGAUUAGGUAGUCAAUUAAAUAAAAAGGACUAAAUUGUAAUAAAAAUAAAUUUUGCUAAAAGGAUUAAAUAGCUCAAGUGUUAAAAGAAGGAAGAUUUAAAGGGAAAUUAAGCCUAAAAGUGAAUAGGCUGGACGGCAAAGGCAAGAAAAUCAGCAGAAAAAUAAGGGAAAUAAGGGCAAAAUUGGAAAUUUUACAACUUUAACAUAUAAAAUAAGAAUAAAAUUGAAGAAUCUAGAGAUCUCUUCAUAUUUUAUCAACCAAAACGCCAUAGAAGGUCUGGAGAAAGCUGGUUUUUCAUAUUUUACAUCAUGUAAGUUUAAUUCUUGCUUUUUCUUGAUAAUUUUUAUGUUUUUAUGACUUUUACAAUUAGGUCCACUUGUAGAAUUCAUUAGUUUUUGAUUUUAUGGGUGAAAUUGGAAGUUACCCUGGAUGGAUAAGGGAAUUUUAUGAUUAAUUAUUAUGAAAUUUAAGUUCUAAUUUCAUAUUAAGGUGGUUUUAUUAAGUGAUUUUGAUAGGAAAUGAUAUUUAGGACCUAAUUAUGAAAAAGUUGUGAAUUGAAGGUUUCUGUUGAAAUUUAGAAUAUAAAAGGUUUUGAAAUAGUUUAUAAUGAUAAAAUAAAGUGUUAAUUGAGAAAAAUUAGUUCAAUUGAUGGGUGAAUUGAGUAGGGACUAAAUUGUGAAAACUGUAAAUUUUGGGGUAAAAGUGCAAUUUCGAAAUUUGAACAGCAUAAAUUGUGAAGUGAAAUAGAAUUGAAAUGGAUGCUAAUGAAGGAAUUAUUUUAUAAUUAUAGAUCAAGAAAACGAACUGAACCGUGGAAAGGAGAAAAUUUAAGAAUAGUCCCUGAAUUUCUACGACUUUUGCAAAUUAGUCCAGGUAAGUUCAUAUGGCAAAGUUCAAUGUUUUGAUAUGAAAAUCUUAUGAUUGUUAAAGUAUUUCAUUGUUGAUGAAUACUAUCAAUUUGCAUUAAUUAAUAAAUAAUGUGUAACUAAAAGUACAAAUUAGUAGGAACAAUGGAUUUGAGUGCUUCUAUUCUGUGACCCUGAUGAAUUGACGAAAAAUAUGUGAUAACUGCGCCCGUUUAAGACCAUAGCUGGGCUAUGGCAUCGGUGCAAUGUGAUAAUGUGACUCCGUAUAAGACCAUAGCUGGGCUAUGGCAUCGGUAUAAUGUGAUAAUGUGAUUCCGUAUAAGACCAUGUCUGGGAUAUGGCUUCGGUAUGAUAUGUGAACCGUGUAAGACCAUGGCAAGGCUAUGGCUUCGGUGUGUGAUGCGUAACAAUGUGAAAGUCCAUAGUUUACUAUGGCAAUGUGAUAAUGAAGCACUCAAUUCCCUUAUUGUUCCCUAAUUUGACAAUGAAGUAAAUGAGAAAUGGGCCUAAGGGAGUUAAAUUGUGAGUAGCCAUAUGGAAAUUAUUCCAAUGAGUUAUUAAUGAAAUUGUGAUUUGGAGGAUGAAAUAGUUAAACUAAUAGAUAUAUGAUUGUGUACGAUAUUUGAUAUGAUUUGUGUUUUUAUGCCUAUGAGCUUACUAAGCUUCAAUAAGCUUAUUUGUGUGUGUUUAAUAUUUUUAUGUAGAUUGACUUGAAGUGAAGUGGGUAGAUUGGAUCAACACAACAGGGCACACUAUUCAGAUCAAUUCUGGUAGUUUUUGUUUUAUGUUUAAAGAUUUAUAUGGCAUGUAUAGAGUUUGAAUGAAUUGAAGUAAAGAUGUUAUGAACUAGUUAACAAUAUUUGUACUGAAAUAGUUUUUGGUAAGUAGCAGUAGUUUGACUUUGAAAAUUCACCAUAAAUUGUGGAAAUUGAGUUAAGGGCUGGAAAAAAAAUGAGAUUAAAGCCUAAUGAGUCUAGUUUCAUAUAGAGGAAACGGUGCAUGCAAUUGGAUUUUAUGUUAUGAGAUAUUUAAAUUGUGGUGAGACAGAGUCUGAAUAACUUCGAGUUCCCCUGUUCUGAUUUUAUAAAAUCAUUAAAAAUUGCACAAAAAUAAUUAUGAGUCAUACUAUAUAUGUAUGGAUUCCUCAUUGGGUCUAUUUUUAAGAAAAAUAAACGGCAUGAUUAUUUAAAUUUUUUACAGAGAGAAAUUUGGUUCGUAGUGCACAGGGGUCAAAGUAUCCAAACCCUGAAAUAGGGGAGGAUUUAACUAAUAAACUGUACUAAUUGGGCCAACCAAAAAUUAUAUAAAAAAAUUUGUAAGUAGAUAUAUGAGUAUAAAUUCGGGAAAAUUUUACGGAUUUGGAUUUCGAGUUUUAUAACUCGAGAUAUGAAUUAUUUAGCAACUAUGAUGCAGUUGGACAGCUUGUCUGAAAAGUAUGAUAUAAAUUAUCUGAAUUUGGUUAAGUGCUCAAAUAAGUUUAGUAGUGCCUUGCGCUCGACUCCGGAAAUGGUCUCGGGUAAGGGGUGUUACAUCAUUCUUGUCAAAAAUUAAGCAAAAAUAAUAGAUAAGCUUGAUGUUCAAAGAUAGAGGUUGAAACAAAAAAUAAAUAAAAAUUCAACGAAAAGAAUUUGAACAUAGGACCUUAGGCACAUAACUAGAACGCUUAAUCACUGAAACAUAUUAAUUCACUUUACACAAUUCCUACAACCUUAACUCAAAUGCAGGGCGUGACCACUCUUAGUUUACUAACCAAAUUUAUACUAACCCGAUUUUUGAGUUGUGACACCCCCUAUUUGGCAUAGCUGUGUGGCUCACACGGUCGUGUGGCAUUGACAAUUUCAAUUUUUGACCAAUUGAUUAGAAAACGCCCAUUUCUAAAAAAAAUUUACGAAAAUGGGUCGUUUUUUUCAAAAAUAACGAGAACGGUCCGAUUUUACUAAAACGCGCUGAGCUAGCGUCAUUUUCAAAGGAAAGUCAGAAAAGUGCGUCUAGCUCAGCGCUUUUUUCCUCUUAGACCUCUAAAAUGCAUCCAGGCCAGCGCGUUUAAAACUUACAAAACUUACAGAACAGGCCUUUAUAUAUACCCAAAGUCUCAGUUCUCUUAUUUUCUUAAGCAAUAUGGGAUGUGAGAUAUGUGCAUAUAUAGACUCAUGAAUAGGUUUGCGACUUGUUUUUAGACAAUGUGGGAUUCCUUCCUCUUUUAACUAACGAUUAAAGGCUACACUAUAUUUUAUAAUUUUUUUACAAAACAAUUUCUAUUUUUUUAUAUUUUGUUAAAUUUUUCUCAUAUUAUAAAAUUACCUUUUGAGAUCUUUAAUCUUGUUGCAUUUUAGAAUUGUUAGCAUAUACAAAAUGAUCAUAAUAAAAAAAAAGAAAACGAACAACAAGUUGCACAUAUGAAAUUUGUAUAUGCAAUAAUUUCUAUUCAAUUUUAAAUAUUUGAAGUUAAUAUCCAUGCAAUUCUAUUUUUUCAAAAUAAAUUUCCAUUAUUUCAAUUUAGAAGUUAUACUUUUAAUAUUUUAUUAUUAUUUAUUUUCUGUUAUGAAUGUUUGAUUAAUAAAUAAAUAGUGAGUAUUUGGUACUAAGAUAGUAUACUUUUUUUGUAAUUUUAAAAAAUUGAUUUUUUUUAAUAUUUAUAUUUUUAAUAUUUUACUAUACUCAUUAAUUUUUUAGUCUUAAUUUUAAUUUAAUUUCCAUCACCUAAUGAAUGUUGAUAAAUUUAUUUCAAAUGUAUUUUGACUAGAUAGAUUAUCUAUUUAAAAAUAGUAUAUAAAGAUGUUAAAUAGGUUUUUUUAUAUAGAAAUAUGUAAUAUACAUAAAAUAUAAUAAUUAUUUUUCAUAUUUUUAUAUCUAGAUUAAAUUAAAUUAGCAGUCACUUAACUAUGAUUUUGAAAAGAAAACAAAUGUAUAUGGAUCAAUUCAUUAAUAGUUUCAUACCUAUACAUUAUAUUAAUUGUUUGCAUCAAAUUUUAAUGUUCAAUAAAUAAAUUUAUAUAAAAUUUUUAAUGAAUAUCUAAUAAUAUUAGUAUUCAAGUAUACAAAAUGAAAUUGCUUUAAAUAAACAAAUGCAACAAAACAAGACUCCAUUAAUGGCAAAUGAAAUAAAAUCUUCCACACAUCCCCCAAACACCUUUAUUUUAAGCUCAUUUUGGUCAUCUUCAAACAAGAAGAGAUAAAAUCCUACAUCAUUUUAUAUUUUAUAAUCUUUUUACUUAUAAAGUUUAAAAAUUUUAUUUAUAAUGUAAUAGAUGUUAACUUUUUGUAAAAAAUUUAAACUCUAUAAAUAAAUAAAAAAUAGUGUUGCCAUUUUGGGUCUAUAUAAAGGCCCAUUCUUGUAAAUUUUCAAAAAAUUGGCCUAUUUUUGUAAUUUUAUUUUUAAAAAUGGCCUUUUUUUUGGAAAUUUAGUCGUUAGAACAUGGGAAAAAGUGUUGACUUGUAAGUGCUUUAAUAAAACGCGCUGACCUGGACGCAUUUUACAGGUUAGAGGGGAAAAAAGCACUGAGCUAGACACACUUUUCUGACAUUCCCUUGAAAGUGACGCCAACUUAGCGCAUUUUAGUAAAAUCGGACCAUUCUCCUUUUUUUAAAAAAAAAAAAGUGGCCCAUUUUCAUAAUUUUUUUUGGAAAUGGGCCUUUUCUGGCCAAUUGGUCUCAAUUUUUCACUGUUUUACGAAGUUUCAACUUAGCGCCACACACCUGAUUACUUCUGGGAUGUCUAUAGAACAACACCACUCCAAAAUAUGCACAAAUGACAUCCACAAUUAACUAGUUAGCACAAAUUUUCUCUCAACAGACACACUUAUUCGACACUUACUCAAACAAAAUAUUCAACCCAAAAGAACAAUAGGCACUCGACCAUUACCACCUAACACCGGACAGCCCCUAAUUUAGCAUAAAAACACUUACCCUAGAAGAGGAGAUUGCUUAAAUCCUCAACCGCCGGGAGAGUAAGCGCGUCACAAAUUUCACCUAACAAAAAUAUAAUUAAUCGAAACCCCAUUCAACCAAGAAUCUAACAAAUCCCAAAAGAAACCAAAAUCAACCUUAUUAGAACACAAACCAACAAAGUACACUUCCUUGAAGAUUAUAAUAGGAAGAAUUACAAUCUAAAUGGUGGUGAAACAAAAAAUAGGCGGGACUGGAGUGAACAAUAGAGUGAUAUUUUGUAAUUUAAUGGAAAUAAACAAUAAGAAAGAAAAAGAAAAGAUAAAAGUAAAAAGCUAAAGAAAUUUGACAGAAGGAGUUGCAGCAAAAGAAAUCCACGUGGAAAAAUAAAAUUUAGUAAUUAUAAUAUCCAAAUUAACUAGAUUUUCUACUAACUUAUCAGAUUGACCAAAGUUUGAAUUCAAUCCAAAUUCCUACAACAUAGGCGGCACAAUAGAACAAGAGCAAAAAUAAUUCUAUUUUUUUACACACAAGAUUUGAACUUGAGACUUAAGGGUAAGCUAAAGCCUUACCACUAAACUAGCAAGCUCAUUAUUGUCCACAAUUAAACAAAAGUUAUAGAUAAGCUAGGUGUGACUAGCCAAAUAUAUGGAUAAAAAUAACCAAAAUUCAAGGAAAAAGAAUCAAACACAGCACCUCAAGUACACAUCCAGAACACUUAACCACUGAACCAAAUUAACUUUCCUUACACAACUCCUACAACUUUUCAUUAAAAACAAGGCAUGACACUGACCGCCUCUGGACGUACUGACAUCCAGAGUGUGAAUACUGCAACUAAAGAUAUAGAUUUGAGGCGAUUUUCCACAAGUAUACAGAUUAGGUUGUAAUAUAGUUACAGCGAAGUAGAUAAGUACUCCGAGGAUCGUACCCAAGGGAUUGUAGUUUGCCGAAAAUUGCUAUCAAGCCAAUUUUUGGAAAUAAUUACUAAUCUACUUGAUUCACAAGAUAGUAGUGUUAAUAUGGAAGCAAGAUGAUGAUAAUAUUAAUAAACUAAAUAAAUUGAAUUAAGCAUAAAUCCACUCCUAAGUUCAUGUAUCGGCUUCUCCUAUCCCUUGUUUUGACUACGUGAGUUCCAUUAGCCGAGAUCCAAUUGCUUAACCUAAUUAAUUAUUGAUGUAGGGCUCUAUUCAACCAGCUAGUCAUCAACCUAGUUGUGCCUCUUAGCGUUAAACUAGAUUAAUGUGUCGGCAAUAAUUACUUACCUCUCGACCUCACAGUUCAGACCGGUUCAAGGCUAAGGUGUUCAUAGAUAGACCAUACCAAUUUUGGGUUAAUUCCUACCUAAAUGACUUCCUAGGAUUGUCAAGCCUAGGGUUUAAGUUCUUCCUUUCCCAAACAGUUGAUCCACUAAGAAAACUCUACCUUUCAAUCAAUUAAUAAGAUUAAUACAAUUGAAACAUGAGAAAUAUAGAUAAAGUAUAAAGAGAUAUAAACAAUAUAAUAAAGGAAAGAUAUGCUCAUGGAUUUAUCAAUAAAAGUGUGGCUCCGAAAUAAUAUACACUCGUGAGAGUCUCACUUCAAAAUAGGAUCUUUCAAUUACAAGAACAUAAAAUACCCCAAGUAAAAAACUAAGAAUGGAAUCAAAACUCUAAGUAUAUUUUCUGUCUCCCUAAAAUUGUGUCUUUAAACUGAUUACAAAGGUCUUUAUAUAUGCUAAACUCGAAAUAUUAAAGUGCCCAAAUUGUCCAUGAAUUCCUUAGAGUUCAACUAUGACAAAUACACCUAAUUUCCCUCCAAAACGUAAUUAUCACGUACAGGACUUUUUUGGGCUGCGCAAGGGCUAUGUUGCAACACAAGACUGCUAUGUUACAACAUAAGGGGUAUGUCGCGACACAACAGGGAGCAUGUUGUGACAUCGAAGGCUGUUUCGCUCCAGGAUUCAUUUUUGGCUUCUGUCUUUGAUGUUGAGACAUAAGUGUCUUGGUGUCGUGAUAUAAACAUUAGUUUUGGCCUGAAUAUACAUCUUUAGCUCCCAAUUUAUCCUACAAGACCAUGUAAUCCUAUUUAGAUAUAUAAAAUGUAAUAAAAACUACUAAAAAGCAUAAAUUACUACUAUAAGCAUGAAAACCUAAAUAUAUACUAAGGUGCUUUGAUUUAACUAUUAAACAAACUAAAGUUAUAUGUAAAAAUGAUGUAAAUAAUAGUGUAAUUCAUGGUAGAUCAUACCCUUCUCGAUUCACUAACCCAAUUUUUAGGAUGUGGCAACUACGUUCUCUUAUAUUAUACUUGAAUUGUGUGAAUGUACUCAUUAAUUUAUAUGCAUGUAUAAUUUUGGUAAAUUUGGCAUCUAAAAGACUAAACUGUAAAGUAUAAAAUAUACGAAAACUAUGAAUAGAUAUAUGAUAUUGAAUUGAUGUGGAAUUUUUAUAUGAUUGGACAGUAUGUAUGUGAUGAUGUAACAUGAUUUAAAAUGUAUAUGGAAUGUUAUGUGAAAUAUGUGUAUACGACUACAAGGUUUGAAAUUAUACAAAAAAGAAAAAUGGGUGUUUGAUCAAGGAUUAAUUCGGUGGCUUGAGAUCCAAUAGUUGUUGUAGAUUCUCUAAAGCUAGUGUUAGUAGCAUCGUACAAAGCUAAUGUUAGCAACCCUUAUCUGAAGCUAAUGUUAGCAGCCCAAAUAUGUUAGCACAUGAAGUAAAUUAGUAAUGUGUAUCCAAUUUCAAUAAACCGAGGUUCUAUGGAUGUUAAAUAAAAACUAAAACGAUAAUUAAAAUGGAAAUGGAACGAUUGAAUUAUGUGAACAUGAAUUGAGUUGUUAAUUUUGCAAAUUGGGCAUGGUAUGAAUGAUUGUAUCACAUGAGUUAAGUUGUUAAUUUUGAAAACUUAGCAUGGUUUGACUGAUUAUAUUUGAUAUAGUUUGAGUAACAUGGUUUGUUAUGCAAUUAAACUAACCUAUUGGUUGUAUUGUUGAUUUGUACAUGAAAGCAUAAGGUGCCAAAGGAUGUCAUGAAAGCAUAAGGUGCCAAAAGUGCAUCUAAGCACCAAUUGUAUUAUUUUGAGUUAGGCAUGAAAAGGGACCAAAAUGGAUGAUUUUUUUACUUAUUUGGCUUUAAGAAUGGAAGAUUUUUUUAACCUAUUUGGCUUUAAGGUAUCCAUACCUUAGAUGAGGUAUUGGUACAUUAUGUUUUUCAACUGAAUCUUUGUAAAACAGAACACUAAAAUGAUGUUGAUACUAAAGGAAAGUAUCGAUACAUAAAAUGUUUUCAAUUAAGGAAUUAACCUUGAAUUGGAAUGAAAUACGAUAUAUUAUGUCAUAAAUUGAUGAUUUGAUAAACCAAGCUAAAUUGAUUCGAUUUAGAUCGGUUGAUAGUGAUAAGGACUGAAUUGAAUAUAUGUGAAAAUAUGAUAUAAUGUUAUAAAUGCGAAAUUGAAUCAGUAUUGUUAUGUAAUAUACUAUCGUAUUUGAGGAUUGAUGGUUGGUUGACGAAAUUAUGUAAUGAAAUUGAGAAACUGUUACCUUAUUAAUUGUUUGGGCAAAGUCAAAUAUAGUUAGCAUACCAUAGGCUAGGAAUAGUUCAAGUUACUUCGACUACGUGUCGAUGAGGCACUGGGUGCCAAACCACUUCUAUUAUAUCAAUGAGGCAAUGGGUUCCAAACACAUUGAUGAGCGCUAGGAGAAAACUAUUUACUUUAGCAUUGUCUGAUGAGGCACUAGGUGCCAAACUUGUGUGAUUGGUUGGAUCUGUGUAUCUGUCCAAGUCUGAUUUAGGUUAAUAGGGAUAUGUAAAUGGGAUAAAUGAUAUUCAAAUGGAGUUGAUAUAUUGAUUUGAUGAUACAUAAAUAUUGUGAAUCGGUUAUACAAGCCUGGAGGGCAAUAUGGAAAUGUGACAAGUCGAUGACUGUGAUUCAGAAUUUGUAUUAUGAAACAAAGUAGUGAUUGAAAUUAAAUUGAAAUUUGAUGUAUUUUUUAUAUAAAUAUUAAUUGAUAUGAUAUGGGAAUAAAGGUCAUAUAGUUUAAUGUUAAUUGGGGUGAGAAUGAGAUUGAAUGUGAUUCUAAGUAAUUGGGUUUGUUUUAUAUUUGAUUUGCUAUAUAAUGUGGUUAAAUGUUUACUCACCUUUUUUAUAUCUGAUUUUUCAUGUUAGGAAAACUUUACCAAGCUAAGUAGUAUUAUAUUGUAAACUGAGGUAAGUUAUUGGUUUAAUGCCUAUGAACGUACUAAGCAUUGUAUAUGCUGACCUCGUUUGUUUUCACUUUCCCUGUAGAUUGCCAAUUUGUAGAACAUGUCAAGCAGAUCGUCCGAAGCUCACACUAUCCCAGUAUUGGUUCGGUAGUCUUUAGACCAUAUAAUGGCUUGGUUAUGUGUGGCAUGUACUUAGGAGUUUGUUUUGGUGUACUUGUAUAAUGAUAAGGCUUGAAAUCAAUGUUGAUAGAAUUAUAGCAGAGAUAAUGCUUAGUGGAAAACAUAUGCAUUAGUAAAUGGAUUAAAUUGUGCAUUUGGCAUUUGAAAUGGCAUUCGAGCAUGCAAUUAAAUAGGUAAUAUAAUGUCAUGAAAUGGUUAAAAGGCUUGGUUGAUAAAAAUGAGUUUAUUUAAGUUAAUUUGAUAUGUUUUGAUGCCAAAAUGUGGAAAAUAAUGCAUUAGUUUAUUUGAAAUGGUGAUAUAUGAUAUUUUGACAAUGGUAUGAAUUAUGUGUUUAUAAUAUGUUGUGAUGUUUUGAGUGGUUAACGAGUAAGAGAUAACAUAAUAGGUUGAUAAGGAGUAUUGGAUGAUUUUGAUACCUUGUGUGAAAUUUAUGGUGGCACUUGCAUGAUGAUGAAUAAAUAGGUUUAGUAGGUGAGUUACUUUGAAGGAUGAGUAGUAAUAGAUUAUUAUAGUUAUAUGACAAUUUAAUUUGCAAUUUUUAAUUUGCAAUAGGAGAAUGGAAUAAGUCUGGAUAUUGUCAAGUUGAUUUGGUUGGUAUAUGUUUUAAUGUUUGAAUAGAGAGUGAAGCAAUGAGUUCAAUGUAAUGGACCAUGAUUGGAAUAGCAUAAUAUUCAUUGAGUUUUGGCUGAUGAUAUGUCUAUUGUCGAAACCUUUUUUUGUCUUGAACUAUUUUCUUUUUAAAAAGGAAGACGGAAUCGCCACCAAUCUUUUUUAUUAGAUGUGAUUGGAUCACCUCAAAAUUUAAUCAUUUUAAUAAAAUGUCAAAAUUAUGAAGUGACGAUUUCUUUUACAAAAUUCAAGAAGUGGGUUCGGGAGUCGGUUACGUAUGAGGAAGGAUUAACAUCCUCAUAUUGGAAAUUGAAAAUUUGAAGAGAAUCUAAAAUGCGACCCUUGCAUACAUGAUAUUAUUAGAUGACAUUGUUGAAAAACAUCACUAUCUAAAUUACAUUUUAUGGAAGAGGCUCUUUUUUUUCGAGUCAAUCAAGAAGAUGAGUCAUGUCUCGUAAGUUAGGGGCAUAACAUCUUGAAUCCCCAAAAAUAAAGAAUAUCCAUCGUCUAAUUAUUACCUAAACCCUAUACAUUUUCAAUUUUAAAUAGGAUAUUCAAUUAAUUCAGUUCAAGAAGAAAGCCAUAUCCCGUAAGUUAGGAGCACAACCUCUCAUAUUACCUACAUACAAGAACAUUGCCUUGUUCUUAAUCUGAAUUAUUACCUAUAUAUAAAAUUGUAAUUUCAGAGAUGAUGCAUUUGUACAUUGUUGUGUGAUUUGAAUUAUUGAUAUGUGUGAAAUUACCAUGGAGAAUUGUUCGAUGAACACUGUUUCUGUAUAUGAUUUUUCGUUACACCGAUUAUUCUUGUGUUGAGUUAAUCUGAAAUAGUGAUAUUUUGAAUUAUUAUUUGAGUAUGAUUAUUUUGAAUUCUGAGAAAUUUAUAGUGAAGUAUUUUAUGAGAAAAACCGUUAAUUUGAAGUGCAUUGUGAUUGUGUUUAUUCUUGGAAUUGUUAAAAUGUCUUGUAUUUUAUUUUGAUUUGAUUUCCUUGUGAUGGAACCUACAGUGAGCUUUCAUAGCUGCCCUUUUUAAUUUCUUCCUUUGCAAAAAACUCACAAGGUUAGGAUGCGGACUCAGCAUUCAGAGAGCCUCGGAUCGGGUUAGUUAUUAAAAUAUUUUAAAAUUAUUAUUUGAUAUUUCCCUUUAUUAUUUUGUGACUGUAUUAUUUUAUUUUGAAUUGUGGCAUGGGACCUAGUUUACGGUUUUUACUUAGGCAUGCAUGAUAUUUAAAUAAUUUAGGCUAUUAGAAUAUGAAUUUUUAUUUAAAUUAUGAAUGAAGCAUGGUUUUUAUUAAAAUUACAUUAAUACCACUUUUCUGCUACUAAGUUGAAAAUAAGUUUUUGAAAGUUUAAUUAAAUUAACUAAGUUUUCAAAAUUAGAUUAUGUUAUAAGAAAAAUGUUAAAAUAAAUCAUUUUUGCUAACUCAUGUGUUUUUCCAAAAAUAGACUAAAUUUUCUUUAAAAAUAAAUAAAUGUUUAAAAAUCGACUGGUUUUAAACCCCGAUUGCUACUAGGCCAUCUCGGUGGCCGAUGUAAUCUCCCGGAUUCGGGUCUAGUGUCUAGCCGGGUGGAGAAGGUUACCAAUUAAGAUAAUUAAGAAUUUAAAUUAAAUUAGGAUUGUCGAAACCCUUUUUUUUUAAAUCGACAUAUUUUGAAAACGAAGAUAGAGUUGCCACCAAUCUUUUUUAUGAGAUGUGAUCAGAUCACCUCGUAAUUUGAUUAUUCUAAUAAAAGGCUUGAUUUACUAAAACAAUGAUUUUUGGUCUACAAAAUCCAGAAAAUUGGUUCGGGAGUCGGUUACGCACGAGGAAGGAUUAGCACCCUCGUUACGCCCAAAAUUGGUACCUAAUUUAUUACUAGAAGUCCUAGUAUUGAAAAUUAAAAAAUUUGAAUAGAAUUUAAAACACGAUCCCACUUUGCAUAAUGUUAUUUUUAAUUAAAAAUCACUUGAAUAAAUCAAAAAGUAUGUAAAAGGUCAUAUUAUCUCGAGGUAACAAAAGGUCAUAUCCCGAAAGUUAGGACAGGCAUCUUGAAUCCUCGAAAAUAAGCUUGCUCUUUAUUUUAAUUACUAUUUAAACCUCAUAUGUUUUAAUUUUAAAAGGAAUGUUAGGUUAUCUAGGUUCAAAGAUAAAGUCAAACCCCAUAAGUUAGGGCACGACUUUUCGAAUCUCCAAAUUCGGAACAUUUGCCUUAAUUUUAAAAAUUUCCUUUUUAUGCAUCGAGUAAAAAAAUUUAUGUAAUACUUAAAAUGGUAUAUAUAUUUAGUUUAUUCAAACAUCGUAUGAAAAAAGGACAAAUAUGUUUAAACAUAGUGUAUGAUACAAUGAUAAUGAAAUAAUGUGAAGUGACUAUGUGUGUAGUAUUCUAAAAUAAUAAAGAAUAAAUAAAGGAAUGAUACAAUAAUAAUAUAAUUAUAAUAAUAAAACACCAAUAAUAGCAAUGGCAAUAAUCCCAUUAAUCACUAUUCUAUUAUUAAUUAAAUAAUAAAAGAAAAAUAAACAAUAAUAAUAUAUGAAAAUAAAGGAAUAAAUAAAAAUACAAAUUUUAAAUACACAAAAAGUAAAGAAAUGAAUAAAUGAAUGAAUAUAUAAAUAAAUAAAUAAAACAUAACAUAACAAUAUACCUAUAAAAAUCUAUAAAAGAUUGAAACUAAAUGAAUAAAGGGUAAAAUCAAAAUUAAAAUGAAAUUUAGAGUCUAAAUUAUAAUAAAAUAAAUAAAUAACUAUAAAAAGGACUAAAUUGAAAUUUAAAAGAUAUUUAGGGGACUAAAUUGUAAAAAAAAUAACAAAACAUAAUAAAGGACCAAAAUAAAAUGUGAGAAAAUAACCAGGGACCAAACGGAAAAUUAUCCCAAACCCUGGGACAUGUGUCAUCCCCUAAGCGGGUCUAUAGUGAUCCAGGGACUAAAUUGAACAAAAAAUAAAAUAAAUGGGGAAGAUUGAAAAAUAAAAAUCAAGCAAUAGGAUUGAAAAAUAAAAAUCAAGCAAUAGGACAUAAUUGAAUAAUAGUGAAAAUGCGAAAGGAUCAAAAUAGAAAUUAGACCCUCCAUUGUCGAAAACACGCGAAUCCUAAGGCAGGUCGAGUCGGUAAUCAGGUCACGCAAUAAAACAAUGUUGUUUUGGGGUUUAUGAACCCAGGCCAAAACGACACUAUUUUAAUCCCCUAUUUAAGUUUUAAAAAAAUGAAAAAGAAUCAUUUCACCAAUGUUUUAAAAAAAACCCUUUUUUCUCUGUUUUCUCUCUGGGCACAGCCCAAAAUCUAGGUAAGGGAGCCGCCGAGCUCCACCGAUCACCGGCGACAGCUCCGCCAUCCAUGGUGGCCAGAAAAAUAUUAAAAAAACAUUUUUGGUCAUUUCGUUUCCCUAAGCCUAGAUCGGAGAUCAUUUUUCCAAAAAACCCACCGAAUAGCAGAAAUCUCGAUGAAAUCCUUCGAUUUUUUAGUUUUAAAAAAAAACUUCUCAAUAAAGCCACCUUUCAUCAUAAGUGGCGACCUCGGCCUCUCUCGCUGGUGGGACACAAAUCGCCAAGUAAGUGUUUUCUUUUUCUUUUUAUUUAAAAAGACUCGAAAAAAAUAAAUACAAGAAAGAAAAUCACCUCCAGUUUUUUUGUAUUCUAUUUUUUGAUUUCUUUUUUUGUGUUUUUUUUUGUUCGAUUUCUAUUUCUUCCAAAAAAAAACUCCCAUUACAAUCUGUUUUUUAUGGCUUUUAUAGCCAUUACAUUGCAUAUUAUUUUCUACUGUUUCGUGACUGUUUGUGUAUCUACUCCUAGGGGUGUGCAUAAUUCGGGUAAAACCGAAAAAAUUCGGUUAACCGACCGAAUUCGGUUAAUCGGUCGGUUAACCGAAUUUUUUCGGUCGGGGGUCGGUUAAUUUUUUUAUGAUUUUUCGGUUAACGGUUAAUUCGGUUCGAAACCGGUCGGUUAACCGAAAAUUUUCGGUUAACCGAAAAAAUUAAUAAAUAAAAUUAUCCAACCCAACCCAAACUCAAUUACCCAACCCAAUAAAACUAAAACUAAAGUUUACCCAAUUACCCAAUCCAAUAAAACUAAAACUAAAAGACAACCCAAUUUACUAAAGUCUAAAACCCAAUUUACUUUAAUAAUUUAUAAAUUUUUUAAAUUUUAAAAAUAAAAAAUAAAAAAAAUUCGGGUAUUUUUCGGUAAUUCGGUUAAUUCGGUUAAUUCGGGUAAUUCGGGUAAUUCGGGUAAUUUUUAACCAAAAAUAAAAAAUACAUAAUUUUCGGUUAAUUCGGUUAACCGACCUUAUUAACCGAAAAAAUUUCGGUUCGGUUAAAUUUUUUUUAAAAAAAAUCGGUUCGGUUAACGGUUAAAAUUUUUGGAAGGUCGGUUAAUUCGGUUAUAGUAAUUUCGGGUCGGUUAACCGGUCGGUUAACCGAAUGAACACCCCUAUCUACUCCUGUCCUUUUCUUCCUUUUUCCUUGCAAGUAGUGGUUGAGGAGCGGUUGAUGAUGACAGAGGCUAGGAGUAGCGACAGCACUAGGGUCCGACGCUAGGGCUAGAUUAGGGUUUUUGUUUAGUUUUAAAAUAGUUUAGGUAUUAUGGGCUUUAGGGUUUUUUAUUUGGGCCACUUGGGUUUGAUGUAAUUUUCGUCUAAUAUUUGUAAAAGGACCUGACUGUUAUUGAACUUUUAUUUAUUUUAAUUUUGUUUAUUAUAUUUUUUGUUUGUUGGGCGGGGCAGAAUUGGCAUGUUACAAGGAUAUUUAGAGUUUUAACUUAGAUAAGAUAAUUAGGAAUUUAAUUAAUAGGUUAAAUAAAAUUUUAGAUUUUAGUUAAGAUAAUUUAGAGUUUAAAUUAAAUUAGUAUAAUUAAAAUUUUAAUUUAUUUAAAAAGAGUUCUAAUAAAAUGGUAAGUAUAAAAAUAUUUAAACUGAAAUUUUAGGGAUUAUAGGUUAGACCCUAAUUCAGUUAAGAAUAUGGUACAUAUUAUAUUACAAUAUUAUAACAAUUAUUUGAUAUUUUAUUUUAUUUAUUUCAUUUUUGGUUGUGUAUUAUAUUACAAUAAUUAUUUGCUAUUAUUUAUUAAAAUUUUAAGUGGAAUUUUUUUAAAUAUAAUUAAGAUUGAAUCAUACAUGAUUAUCAAUAACAUACUAAAAUAGCUAACAUUGAAUUAAAACUUGUAAUUAUAUCAUCAUAUAUUUAUACAUGUCUUAACUUGUAAAAAGUUUAAACAAGACGGUGCAAUUUAUAAUUAAUAGUAGAAGAGUAUAAUGAUCAAGCUAUGUUAAACUAAUAAUACAUGCAAUAUCAUUAAAGUAAAAUACAUAACAUAAACUUCAUUAAAACAUAAAUCAAGCCAAGUGACAACGUUCAAAAUUAAUUUCACUAGAACAUACAAUAUAACAUAAACUAUAUCCAUUCAGAAUCUCUAUGCAAAGAGAUUCACCAUUGGUGCAUGGAGGAAUGCGCAUACACAUUUCCCGCUCACCAUCUUUUUUAUUAACUAUAUAAUUACUAUAUAUCAUGAAAUUACUGCAUGAUGAUGGCACAUGCACCAGUGUCAUAUGGUUCAAGGCUUAGUGACCGAGCCAGAUUGAAUAAACAUGGACUUCGGCCAUUCAGGCAUUUUA